rnacentral:lncRNA from 1 species
UUUUUUUUUUUUUUUUUUUUUGGGGUCAAAUUAUAGUUCUAAGUUAAGGCCAACCAUCUACAAAGACACCAAAGCUCAUAUCUGCUCACAGAGAUUUUGGGAAUGUUGUGAAUAUUUAUAAUUUAUGGUCAGCAUAAUGGAUUUAAAUAAAAGAAUGUUUUUAGUUUUUGAACUUAUUUCCCAGCGCCGGUUUUAAUCAUAAUGCCAAAGCAAGUGUACUCAUAUCAAGCUCUUAAACUCCCUCACACAUUCAUCAUCGUUUCUAGCUUUACUGUUUUGAUAAAAUAAUCACAAACUAAUGCUCUUCCACUAGUUUGGAAAUACUAUGGACCACUGACAUGUUGGAGAGGAAUAAAUCCCACAUCAGAAAAGUAGCAAAUAAAAUAUAACUUAUAAAUGAGUGGAUCAUAUUCAAUUGUACCUGAAGGAAUUCCUGCAAGUAUAUAAAGUGGAUGUAGUAUACUGAAUGAAAGAAAAAGGGUUGUCGUUCCCACAUGGAUAUUAGUUCAACUCAAAUUAUGAAAUAUCUAAACUAACAGUCAUAUUUAUGCUUUGAUGGAACUAACAAACUCUUUCAUUUCUCUAGAUGACAAUUCCCGUAUCUAAGUUCAGGUACGACACUAACGGCAUAAAUUUAACAUGUAAGACUCGUUACGUUCUAAAAAACAAGAGAAUCAUGCAAACCAUUACUUCAGUUACGACAAUAUGCCUCAAAUUCAUCUUCUGAUUUACUAGAUGCAAAGCCGUAAGGUGAUCAAUCAAAGAACUCAAACAUAUAGCAUCGAUUAAAAUAAUGACUAAGAAUUCAUCAAAAAGAAACUAUAAAUCAAUUAAUCAAUCAUAAAAAACAUAAACAAUCAUGUUUGGGCAUCAUCCUAACUCUAGAAAAGGUUUAACAAAAGAACUAAGUAAAACAUAGAAAACAUGGAAAGGGGAUGAAGGGGAAGAUGGAUGGAUGGAUGGUCUCUGCUCCUUUAGGCGUCUUCAAUGUGCUUCUGAGACCUCCCUCUUCAUGUGAAAUUUGUGCUCCUUUAUAUAAAGAAGUUUACUGCUCAUCUUUGGCUUCAUGUUUCCUUGUAAGAUUUAGAUUCAUACUCCUUUCUUGAUAUGGAAUGAGAAAACCUUGAGAUAUCUCUUGUAGAACUAGGAAUACAUGUACUCCUUGAAUUUUCAUCUGCAUUAUUGUCCUUGAAGCUUUAGGGUUGACGGUCUUGUGACACGAAACUUGAGUUCUCCACAAAUGUCUGCAAAAUUUGAGCAGAUUUCUGAUCUGACCUUUCUUCAUUCAAACAAUCAUAACUCACUCCAUAUGUAUCGAAAUCGAGAUCCGUAAAAUUCGACAGAAAAUAGACUUUUGUAGCUUUCCAAUGAUAUAAGGCUCAUAAUUUGAUUCGAUUUGAGUCGUUCCCAGUAAUUCGGCGAAGUAGUACGUUUUGCACAGGCAGAUUCUGGCACUUGGGAUUGUUGUCACCUUUCAAUCCUUAUCUGCGCAUUUUAGCUCCAUUUUCUUCUCUCUACGAUACAAACCUACAAAAACACUAAAUUAACAUAAAUCAAUCACAAAUAAGAGAACUAAACACAAAUACGAAAAUUAGGAGGCAUAUAAAUAUAGGAUAAUAUGAGCACAUCAGUACCAAGGUAUUUUGUGAUUAAAACCCAACAUCUAAAGGUGGUUAAGUUGGGAAAGUAUCAGUAAAAGAUGUUUCACGGGACACGUUUGUCGCUGUUUAACAUGGUAUCAGAGCAGGUCCCUCUCCAAUUGAUUCUCCCAUUCUCAUUGGCCUAAUUUGUGUUCAUUCUAUCGCCCGGUUCGGGGUUCUUAUCUCACCAUCGGAAAGUUUCGAUUGGAUUGUCACCAAAUGUCCUUUGGUUUGUUCCAUCCUAAUUCAUUCCACGUGCGGACCUUAUAUCAGGUUGAGGGGGCGUGUUGGACGUGUUAGAGAGGAAUAGAUCCCAUAUCAGAAAUGACUUCCACACUGGAUGCUACAUGGAUGGAAGACAUGGAUGGAAGGGCAGACCUUAAGUCAGGUCAAGGGGGCGGGUUGGACAUGUUUGAGAGGAAUAGAUCCCAUAUCAGAAAUGACUUCCACACUGGAUGCUACAUGGAUGGAAGGGCAGACCUUGCCCAACCCAUGCUCAGGCGAGGCUGGAGAUAGAAGAAAUCAUCGGUCUCAUUCGCGUAUAUCAGAAUCAGUGGAGGCACUGUCUCUAGCCUCCACGAAUUCUCUCUCAAACCUUCUCUCUCCCAUAAAAAUUUCUCUAUAAGUCGGAGAGUUAUUAAAAUAUCUCAGACAUCCGAAUAUACUCUAAAAAUCUCAUGAACUCUUAGUAUUGUAAACUUAAAUACCCAGUACCUACUAAUACUCUUGAUAAAUUCUUUCCAAAAUUUAUUCUCCAGGUACUUAUCGGUCACAAAGAUCGAUAAGUAAAACAUUUAUUGAUCAACCUCAGUUAGACUCGACAAGUAGAUCAAACUAGAUCUAGAUGUUGAGCAAACUAGAUCAAACUCGAUAAAACAAGGAUGUGCAAGAUGCUGAUACCACAACUGGGCUCAAACAAUUUGAUUUCUAUACAUCUCUUCUACAACCUUCCAAAGAUCCAGGGCUAAUUCUGAGAAACUAAAAAUAUCAGAGAUAGCAGGUUCCAUGGAGUUGAGAAGCCAAGACAUAACGAGCAGAUCUUUGGCAAGCCAAACCUCAAAUGUGGGAGUGAGUUGCUCAAGAGGUUGAACACUUCCAUUUAUGUGUCCAAGCUUUGAUUUCCCUCCAAGUGCAAGAGAUAUAGCUCUUGACCAAGACAAAUAGUUGAACUCAUUGAGUAAGACAGAUGUGAGACAAAGAUUAGGAUUACCUUCAGCCUCAGUUGAGACAAUUGUAGAAACAGAUGGAGAAAUAGAAUAAUCUUGUUCCUCUGCCAUUAUUGCUUGGAAAGUGUGAAAUCUCGAACUUUCUGUAAAUAAUUUAUCUAGACUAUAUAUGAUUUAUUUAUAUACAUAGAUGUAUGUGUGAUUCCUUGAUUGUUUUUGUAACGAAAGAGAAAGUUUUUCUUAGAGCUAAAUAAAAUAAAUCUUUUCAACUAAAUGAGGAUUAACAAGUAGUUAAUAGAACUUAAAAACAAAUUGAGUAUAGUAUUGUUCUCAUUUCUUUACAAAUAAGCUUUAUAGAAACAUAACACAGUUUUUGUUCAACAUACAAACUAUGCCUAGUCUCAAACAAAGAUAAAUACAUAUAGCUGCAAAGUAUUGAACACUUGAUAUUAGUACAUGUUUUCUUAAAGCUACAUUAGAUCAUGUGCCUUAUUUGUAAACUUGUGCUUCAUGAUUUCUUUAAAUGUUGCUGCCUCACAUCUUACAAAAUUUCCGGUUAGAUAUACCCUCUUUCAUUUGUUGCUUUUGGCUAGAACCAUUUGAUUAGACCUGCAACAUUACAUACUAAUCAGAAAAAGAGAUAAUUACACAUAUGAUGUUAUUUUGUUUUACUUAUUGAAUCACCUAGGAGCUAGCUUGUGUGUGACAUAAAGUUACACAUGUUUUACACUUCUUACCCUGUUUGCUUGUGUUUUGCAUAUAGUUGUUGAAUGAACAGCUUAAAACUUGGUCUCCAAGUAGAAAGCUUGUGUGUGACACAAAGACACAAAGUUACACAUGUUUUACACUUCUUACCCUAUACCAAAGUGUACAACCACAUUUUUGCUUGUGUUUUGCAUAUAGUUGCUGAAUGAGCAUCGUAAAACUUGGUCUCCAAGUAGAAAGCUUGUGUGUGACACAAAACACAAAGUUCCACAUGUUUUACACUUCUUACCCUAUGCCAAAUACCAAAGUGUACAGCCACACUUUUGUUUGUGUUUUGCAUAUAAUUGCUGAAUGAGCAACUUAAAACUUGGUAUCCAAGUAGAAAGCUUGUGUGUGACACAACGUUACAUAUGAUUUACACAUGUUUUACACUUUUUACCCUACACCAAAGUGUGCAGCCUCACUUUUGUUUGUGUUUUGCAUAUAGUUGCUGAAUGAGCAGUUUAAAACUUGGACUAUAAGUAGAAAAUUGUUGUUUGCAGAUAAACAUGAAUUUCAAUUUAUUUUUAUAGAUAUACCUGACAAGCACAUUCACUAGUAUAAAUAGAGGUCUUCACAUGAAGUAUUAACAAGUAGAGAAGUUCAAGAGUUAGAAAGAAAGCCAGGAGAGAAAAUUUAGAGUAGAAAAAGACUAGCUAGUAGAGGUCUGAAGAAAGUGUUAGAAUCUGGUAGUGAAGUUUCAGUUUUAGUAAAACAAGUUUGAGGUAGGGGAAGUUAUGGGGAAUCUCAAGUUUUGUUUUAUAAACUUGUUAUCUUGCUUUUGAGUUGUAUAUGCUGCUGUUAAAGAUGGUUAUUGUGUUUAGCUUUUCAUCAUAUUAUUAUUUGAUCUUGUGUCAUCAUCAUAUCUGAUGUAAUAUAAGGAAUAAAUGAAGUAUGGGGUUGAGACUAUCGCUUGAAAGAGACCAGCUACGUCUGCCUUUGUAUAUAUGUAGGGAGAGAAGCCCUUUCAAUUUUGAUUGACAAAACGUUCUUAUGGCAAGAAGACAUUGAUGACCAAGGAUUGUACAAGAGUACCAACAACUGUGUCACACCCUAAGUCGAAAUUUUUUUUUAAAAAAAUAUGGUUCUUUUCCGAGUAAUUAAGGAUGUGAAUAACUUCAACUUGUCAAGGAUAAGAGAACCUUGGACAAGUAAAAAUUAUAUGAAAAUCUUUGAAUCAGAGGUAACUUAAUAAAGGAGUAAACUUUAUUUCAUAAAUAUUGUUCUUACAACAAACAGGAAGGAAAACUUAUAGAUUAAGCCUUAUUACACAAAUAGAAAUUUAAAAACAGCAGGUCAUAGUUUACUCCUCGUAGACUUCAUCCCUUCUAGGUAUUAAGUUUUUAUCCCUUAAAGAGUAACAUCUGCACAAAUUCAUAAAGGGGUGAGCUAUAAACUCAGUAGAUCAAAUCUCAUGUCAUUUCAAUAAACAAAUAAUGUAUGCACAUAUAUAGGUUAAGUUUUCAAAUUGGUACUCUUGUACUAUCCUUGGUCACCAGUGUCUUUUUGUCAUGAGAUCAUUUUAUCAAUAUAACAUUGAAAGGGCUUCUCUCCCUAUAUGUAUACAAAGGCAGACAACUGUUGGUCCUUUUCAAGUAAUAGCCUCAACCCCAUAACUUCAUUCAUUUCUUAUUUAACAUAAGAUCAAAUAGUAAUAUGAUAUUGACACAAGAUCAUAUAAUAAUAUGAUGAAAAACUAAACAUAAUAACCAUCUUUAACAAACAACAUGUACAAUUCCAAAGCAAGAUAAUAAGAUUAUAAAACAAAGAGAUUCCCCAUAACUUCCCCUACCUCAAACCUGUUUUACCAAAACUGAAAUUUCACUAUUAGAUACUAGUAUUUUGCUUCAGACCUCCAUUAGUUUCUUUCUUCUUCUAACUUUUCUCUAUGUUUCUGAACUCUACCUUUUUUUUAUUUCCUCAGGUGAAUACCUCUAUUUAUACUAGGAAAAGUAAUCAGCCACCUGUAGCUUCUCUAGCCUAUCUUAGUUAGACUCUUAUCUAUCUAAUUGUUAAUUUGCUGCCACCUAUUAAUGUAAAAACACUUCAAGUUUAUUUUCAAGCGUCUGCAGUUGUUUUUAAACUUGAUGCCCAAGUUUAAGCUGCUCACUCAGCAACUAUUUGCAACCCACAAGUCUGAUUGAGGUUUUCAGACUUUCACUUGUGAUUGGCUGUAUGUAGUCAUGUGUUAGGCAUAAGUUAGCAAGUAAGUGAAUCAGCAUUUCAAAUAAGACANNNNNNNNNNNNNNNNNNNNNNNNNNNNNNNNNNNNNNNNNNNNNNNNNNNNNNNNNNNNNNNNNNNNNNNNNNNNNNNNNNNNNNNNNNNNNNNNNNNNUGUGGACUUCCAAUGUUCAACUCAGUAGACACCCUUUUCAGACUUGGCGCCAUGUUGUUGUUGCCAAAGGAAUUAUAGGUGCACAUCCGAGGAGUACUUUCAUUAAACAAAUGAGACGCAUUGGAAUCACAGAAUAGAUCUUGCCUGGCUCCCUGCAUGCCAGCAGGAAAAAUGUUAUAGUUCAACAAGGAAGCAUUGUACUGCCCCAUUGUUGAAUUAGCUGCUCCUGUCAUAGGUAUCAUGAAUUCUUCCUCUCCAUGCCUCAGCAGCGCAGGAUUCAGUGGAGCUCUGAAUCUCUUUGUAAGGGGAUAUACAGUAUGAAAUGGAGGUGCAGGAUGAAGAGAAGGUGUAGAUGCGACAAAGUCAACUUGCCAUGGGCUCACCCUCUUGGCAUUCUGCAGAACUUCAGGUUCAUCCCAUGUAACCUAUUAUAUAGAGAUAUUAGAUAUUUAACUAAAUGCUAGGCAUGAACUAUAAAACUUAACAUGGUGCAUUCUAAAGGCAAUGAGAAAUGUAUAUCUUCUAAACAUCCAACACCUUUCUUCAUAAAACUUCUACCUAUAAUAUAAACAACCACAUUCUCUAUUUCUCCCACCUACGCAAUGUGUGUGCACUGUUGUGUUCAAGUAAUCUCAGGUAGAAUUCAAUGCAAAGCACAGAAAUUCUGGUUCGCUAAACUACAGACAUAAAAGGAAACAAACUUCUAUAGGGAUUCAAUCAAGAGAAACCUUAUGAAAAAGCAUAACCUCAAAUCUCAACAGAACCUUCUAUCACUUAUCAGCUACCACCUGAUCAAUUUGUCUUGACAUGAUUAUAUAUUUUCAGAACAGGUAGUUAGUUCUUUCUUUCCUUCUUUUUUUGCUUUCUAUUUCAAGACAAAACUAAUGAUUUUCAACACAGAUUAUUCAAACAUUUGAACAGAGCAAGGCCAGAGAAUGUAAUGCAUAUAUUCUCACAAAAGGUAUUGAUCAAGCAAAUCUUCUUUUCCAACUUCUCUUCCAACAUUUUAAUUUAUACAAGUCAUUCAAAUCAAGCAUCUAUAGAACAAUGCAGGCUGGUUUGCGUUAUUGAAAAUCAAAUAUUCACAUCAAUCCCAGCAAUAUCCAAACACCCAAAUUAAUCUGUAAAUUAAUCACUAAUAUAUACAGAAAAUUACAUUCAACUCAUCUACAUUACAUUAGAAUGUACCAUAUAAACAUCCAAUGAGUUUCACAAGCAUGCAUCAAUGUUAAGCUAAUAACCACCACAAUGCAUUCAAUGCCAAAAUCCGAGAAGAGAAAUGAAAUACCUGAAGCAUACGCCAUGGAGAUCCCUUCCAAGGCCCACUCUCCGGAACAAACACCGAAGACAGAGUGCCCUGAAACCAAGUCAUCCUGGAGGAGUCAUCAGUCUCCAUAGCCAUUUUCACUCUCAUCCCAGCCGUCCAAAACACAUUCAAUGCCUUCUCCACCACCUCCGCCUUCACCACGAAAUCAGCCCACCCAGCUUUCGGAUAAUACACCACCUCAAACGGCAUUUCCUGCGCCGCCAUCUCGGCCGCUUCCACCACAGCCUCCGCCGAAAGCUUCGUCUUAAACCCGUCCCCUCCAGAGCCUUCCUCCGACGACGACUUCAGACCAAUGUGAGAGCUCCACCUGGCGCAAUCGCCGCCGUGGCUGGCCCUCACGGUGCGCCUCACCCCGACGUACAUCUCUCCGCCUCCGGAGUUUCUCAUAAACACCACGGAGUCGCCGGCGACGAGCAUCUUGCUAUUGACGAACUUGCUCCAGCCGGUAGUGAGCAAGUGCCGCCGUGGAGUGCCGCGGUAGAUGUGGCGGAAGUCCCAAACGACGCCGUGGAGGUCGGUGACGGAGAGCGUCUGGACCGGCGGCUCGGCCUGGUAGUUGAGCGGCGGGAAAAUCGAAUCAGCGCAGAACCUCGGGACGGAGAAACCGCCGCCAUUGUUGGCGUCGGAAGGAGUCAAGAUCUUAGCGAACGACACCACCCUAUCGUCGUUUUCGCUCUCCACCUCCUCCGUCGCGGCGGCGCUGAGUUCGCGGUGGUGUGGGGAGAGGCCGGGGUGGACGGGGUGGAGGAGGAGCUUGGCGAAGACCUCGUCGGUGGUGGGAUCGGCGAGAAAUUUCACGGCGGCGACGCGGCAGAGAAUGAGAGGCCUGGAGAGAACCUGAGGAGAGAGAAGAACCGGAGACGAAGCGGAGGUGGAGUGUUCGAGGUGGCCCUGGGGGAAGUAGUAAACCCUAGAAUGGAGAGUGGGGAUGGUGAUGGAGUUGCCGGCGCAGGCUCGCCAGAUUUUGGGGUCGAUGGAGACGAGCUGCGGCUGAGGCUGAGGCUGCGGCGGCGCGUGGGAGUGAGAAUGAGAGCGUGAGCGAGUGUGACGCUGAGAAGUGGGAGACAUGGUGGCGGUUGGGAUUUAGGGAUUGGAGGAGGAGGAGGAAGGGAAUCACUCUCUCUCUCUCUCUCACUGUCUUCUUCAGAGAAAGAAAGAAAGCAAAUUGAAAAAGAAAACUGUCCGAGUCUGGGUUUUGAUGGAUCACACAGCUUUAUUUAUAUUUUCUGAUUUGGUUUAAUUAAUUGAAGUUAAUUAGAGGAGUAAUAGUGGGUUAAAACUACUCUCCGAUGGACAUGAUUGGUCGCCUCCCAUUUAUUCCGUCCAAAUUUUACGGUUUUCACACACAACUCCUAAACGGAAUCCACCACCCAAGUCCUCUUAGUCUAACCGACUCUUCUUACUUUCACACGUAUCACAAUUUUUUUGAGCAAUUUUUUUUGUAACGGAUAUACGAUUUCUGAAUCAUAACGAGCGAUUAUGUUUUUCAGCAAUGGAAUAUAGGGUAGUAUAUGAAAGCGGGGUUUAUAACCGGAAAUAGAAAAUCGGUCGCGACCUGUAAUAGCAAAGAAAAUGACAUUUGGAAAACAAUAAGACAAUGACAAUCUUGUGAGUUACGAUUGUCGUAUUGUGAUUUAGAGUGUGUUAAUUGUGUAUCUAGUAUAAUGAUAAUUUAAUGUCAUAAUAUAACAACAAAUUGAAAGUUUGUUAAUCGUAUGUUUUCGUGUGAACUUUUAACAUUAACGAAUAUUUUUUAUAGACACAUAAUAAAAGUUUCCCAAUGUCUAAUCGAUCGACAAGGUGACAACGCAACGUAGUAAUACUACAUGAGAGAGUAAUAAAUGGUUAGUCCAUUAAUUAGGUUUGAUAAAUCCAUCACAAUUACCGCUCAAUUAAAUUUGUUCUACGGAGGGGGCUUCAAUAAAUGGAGGAGUUGUCAGAGAAUCCCAUAGAGGGGGCCAUUGUUGUACAUUUUCUGUGACUCUUUUGACGUCACCUCUGCAUUGGUUGUGUACUUGAAUGAAUUUGAAUGGUGAAAUUGAAUGGAAUCUGAUUGGUGCUGAGUAGUGAAUGUCACACACACUGACACUGAGACAAGUCAACCCAUCAGGUUUGUUUGUUAGGAUAUUUUCCCUUUUCUUUAUUUUUGGUUUUGGUUUUUCUGGGGACUGUUUUUAAGCUAAUUGGCAACCCCGGAUUGGUUGGCUAUUUGAAUAUUGAAUAUUUGACUGUCCAAUCCAAAUUCAAAUUCAGAUAGAAAAAAUUUCGAGAAAUUGGUUAUUACUUAUUAGUGUUUGAGUUUGUGUUGGUCUUAAUUAAGUUCUUAAUUAAGGGACCUCAUACGAUUAUUAGGCAAGGACCGGUUUUCCCUGCCUCCGUGUCGCGGUCCGUAUUUGUUAUUUUCUUUCUCUACCAAAGACCAUUGCACACAUCAGACAUUUGUGUAAUUAGAGCAUUUCUUAAAAUCAAAUUCAGUUGCGGAAUAUGAGACCAAUGGGAUCAUUAUAACCACUUUUGUUCAUGAUAUUCGAGAAUCCAAUGACUAUGAGAUCUAAAUAAGACUAUUAUUUUUCUUAAAUUUGGCAUCAAUGUGAAUGUUCGAUAAUCUAAAAGUUUGAUAGCCCGACGUCUAUAUUCUUUUUUGUUUAAGAUCUAAAGGAACCAUGUUGUUAUAAAUUUGACAUCAAUGUGAAUAUUCAAGAAUCCAACACGUCCUCCAUUUUGUUUGGGAUGUAAAGGCCGUUCAAGGCAGCUAGAUCUCAUGAUGCCUAACAAUGCACAUUUGGUAGUUCCUCUAUUCUUGCUCCUCUAUUCCUAUGAGACCGAUUGUGGUACACUAAGAAUUAUCAGUAUAUAUGUAAGGUCCCGACAGGCGAUUAUGAAUGUUCUCGUACAUCAUCGAUGCUUGUAUGCUAGUGGACUUCACUUUCAUGUUCAAGAGUCUUCUUGACAUUUUUAAUAUACACAAACGUUCGUAGGCUAAUUCUUUGGUUAAAUUUAUAAGUAAUGAUCAUUAACACUAAUUUGAAUAUGUGACGUUAAUAGUGACAAAGUACAAAUACCUGGAUCAUAUUUUGUCAAAUACAAUGAUAUGAGUGUCAUUGUUGUUGACAUCUUUUAGGUGAAGACAAAAUGAUUCACCCUAGCAUAGAUGAUAAUACCACAAUCCAAAAUAAAAUGGGGAACUCUAACUUAUACGUAUCUACCACUUUGACCGGAAGAAAACAAGGCAUUGAUGUUUUUUGGAUAUUCACAUUCAAGGAUAAAUUAUUUGACAACAUUGUUUUGAAGAUUCGGAGUAAAAGAACCUAAUUUGAGGGUCCAUUGGAUUAAAGAAGAUAAUUAAAUCACAACCGACCAUGGCUGAUCCAGGUCUUAUUCUUUGUCAAGAACUCUUGGUUUGAUAAGAUUGUGCGAAUGUGAUUGAAUUGGGAAGAAGGCAAAACCACCCUAAUAUGAGGAUACGGUCCUGCUCGACUUUUCAAAACAAAUAAUUAGAAUUAUAUGGGUAAAACGAAACCAUUCCAUAAUGGUUUAUAGACGAAACUUGUUUUGAGUAUGGGAUCAGUUCAUCCUACAUAUGCUUGAUCUUUGUAUCAUUCUUCUCAAUGUGACAAUUUGGUAGAUUAUAACCAACCUCAUAAAGUUAAUGUUAUCCGUGUAGCCAAAUUUAACAUUUUGAGUCCCAUUCAAAUGGACAUCUACAUAAACCCUAAAUUUAACACUCUUUGCUCUAACUCCCUAUGGCGUUAGCCUUCUACAACCAAAAGGUCUGAAUCCACCGUACAAGACUCGCAAAAGUUUCCGACAUCUGAAAUCUGGUACAAGGAUCGGGAGAAUGUACAAUCUUACCACAAUGUCUUUAGUUGGCUGGGUUUGUUACAGAAGCCCAGACAGAACACAACCGAGAAUUAUCUAGAUGAGAAUAACUGGGACAACACGAGGUAAAACAUGAAGUACUGAAAUUAUUAUUGAAACAAAUAACAUAACCAAAUAAGACCCAAGGGUCUCUACGUCCAAACCAAACGAAAAGCAAAGCAUAAUAGGAGCAGGCUGGACAAGACAAGCCCAACCAUCAACUCCCACUUUAUUUCCAGACACAGACCACUAAUACACAAUUGGAAAUAAUAAGAAACACGACUCAUAAUACUGGUAAUCAAGCAGAAAAACCACCGAGAGCAUCUUAGGAAGCGCCCAUUCACUCCUCUUCUGUCUCGGACUCAGCGCUCUGGAGCCACUCAAUGAAAGGUUUAAUGUUCUUCCAAAUAGGGGAGCUUUUAGCCUUGCCACUUAACCCUUCCUGAUACCACUUCAUGAUGUAUUCCUCCUCCAGCACAUCUUCAUCGUACAGCGAUUUCAAAACCAAAGCCACCUCCUUUGUAGCAUCAGGGUUUGCCUUACCACAGAAGGACUCAAAUCCACGCAACAAAACCAGCUGAGAGCCCUCGGCUUUGGUUGCUUCAGAGAUGUACUUGAUCUUCUUGUUCACCUCCUUGGCAAACCCCUUUCCAACACCUUCAAAGAGGGCUUCAAGUAAGGCAUCCAUUUUCUCUUGGGGAGUACCACACAGAGUACCGAAAAGGGUUUUGAGCUGACUGGCACUGCUCCCUGCCUUCAAGGAUUGCUUGAUCUCAUCAACAAGCUUCCCAUGGACAUCAUCAACACCAUUCUCACUCUUGGCUUCUGCUUUCUUUUCACGCUCUGGAGACUUUGGUGGGGACUUUUUCUUCUCUUCAGUGGUAUUAAGCAUGACCAUAUCAGCAGUAACAGCACUCAACUGCUCCUCGAUUCGCUUCUUUGCUGCCUCAAUGGAUGUGUCUGUCUGCCACUGGACAUCAUCAUCGUCAUCAGCAGCUUGGUCCAUCCCAUCUCCCUGGCUCCUAGUAGGGGAGUGAUCUUCAUCAGAACCGGAGGUCCUCUUCUUGCUUGAUACUUUGGAGCCGGAGGUGCCUUUCUUUUUCGCCGCUUCCUUCUUAAGUUUCUUUUGCUCCUCAUCAGCAAUUUGCCCUUCCUUGAGCUGCUCUUUGUCUGCUCUCCUCAGGGCUUUCUUUUCUUUGGCAGAUUUCUUCUGCUCAGGAGGAUUCUUAAGGAUAAAAGUCGUAAGCUUGUCCCUCAUGUCAACAUCAGACACAAAUCCACAGGCUGCACAUUUAAGAUUCAGCAUCUGUGUCUUAGUGAUGAUAAUCUCAGUCUCCGGGUUCCCACAGCCAUAGCACUGCACAUACUUCUUAAUGAAGUUCUCAAGAAGUCCAGCAAGCUUAGCAGUGUCAUGAGCUCCAUUAACAUGGGACGUUCCAGUCUUCUCAUCAAACUUUGACUGGGCUCCAAGCUCACAACCAAAAUACUUGGUGGUAUACGAAGCAGGUCUGGCCAAGGCCUUCGCAAUUUCCACCAUAUUAACCACGUUUGUCUUGAUGCCGUUUCCUCUGCCUUCUAUCUUUGUUAUCAUCCUUGGCAUCUUAUACCUAUAGAAGGCAUCGUCACGGUUGGAAGCACCAAUGUUCUGUAGAGCCAUCUUCAAUAAACGUGUGAAAGACAAUCAAUAUAAAAGAAGGGCUCCUCUACCAGAAAAAUCAGCAACAAGAACAGGUUGCAUAAAAUGGCAACCAAGAGACUGAUUGUUAACGGCUUCUAAUGAUCCAAGAUGGAUGCAUUCAACUUCGGCAGCCGUAAACCUGUACUUUUUUCUAGUAGGACAGUAUUCACCAAGCAAUCCAAUUGAUGACCAAUAGAGAGAGGCCCGUUCAGACAUAAAAUAGGGUACAAACUUCACACUCUCCACUUUGAAAAACUACUGUAGCAGAAUAAACUGCCAACUUCCUGCAAGCAAACAAUAAAGGCAUUUAGCACAACACGUCCAAGAAACAUGAAAUAGCAUCCACCAAAAAGUUUUCAAUCAACAGCAAGAACAUGUGUAUCAACACCACUGACCAUCCACCAACAAGUUUUCAAUCAAACAGCAAUAAAAUACAAAUCAAAUUCCCACAAACAGCCACCAACUUUGCAACAAGGUGAGCUAAGAAGGAAUAAUUUCCAGUGUACCUGAGAUUUCUUCUUUCCAUAUUAAAAUCACAUACAAUCAGAUAUAUUUAGUAACACAAACACGCAUAGCUGACUGUAAAGUUAAGAGUUCUGGAUACCAAAUAAAACAGCACAGUUUCACUGAUGCAAUUAAACAACACACAACCAAAAGAAACGAGUGAUUUUCUGAUACUAGAAAAAGAAACAGACUGAUUUUCUGAAUAUAUUACAUGAACAGGAGCAGCACAUAACAUAUAGACUACACGAAUAAUCAACACGCUUCAAAAAAUUUCCUGCGAAAACAAAUCUUCACAAGCACGAACGAUUUUCAUCAAUCGCAAAUCCAAAUCAAUCGACGAAAAUCAAAACAAAAUAAACCACAACGCGUAAACAAAAAUUAAAACUAAGCAGUAAACAGCUACAGAUCUAUGUAAACAACAACAAUCCACACAGAGCGCACAAAAGCUCCGAUCAAACACGCAGUCAAAAUCAACAAUCGGCGAUAAAAUUGAAAGAAUCUAAACAGAAAGAAGGCAGAUCGAUUGAGACGGCGGCGAUACCUGGUGGUGUUGGAGGCGGAGGAGAAGAGAGGAAACCCUAGAGUAGAGGAGGAGGAUAUGAUGAGGAUGUAGGUAUGUGGUGUUAUGCUUUGCGUCUUGAGCGAGAGAGAAUGGAGAGAAAGCGAAGCAAUUUAUAUGCGGCGUUGGGUGCGAGAAGGUUACGCGUAGGGCUAACUCACCGCCUUUUUGUUUUUACUAUAUUUCUUUUUAUUUUAUUUUUUUCUAUUUGCCAACCUGUUCUUUCGUGGCCAUCUAGACGGGGUAAAAUCGUUUUACAAUUCUUCUUUUUGAAUUAACCUAACAUAAGUAAUGAGGUUAAAAAAAAUAAAAAAACUUUUGUAAGUGAAUAAUGUUGUCAAAGAAGUAAAAAAACUAAAUGGUCCCAUGACGACCGAAGAACCAAACUCGAAAUAACAUAAUGAAGACUACGGUUGUGUUGGAUGGCGGCUGACGGCCUGGUUGUCAAGGCGGUGACCGGGAACUCAUUUGGGCAUCCGGUUUUGUUUAGGGGGAUGGCGGCUCGCGGUUCUUUCCGAGGACGGCAACUUCAACACGACAAUUGUUACACGAAAUGUUACAAUGUUUACUAAUUUUUUUUUUUUUUUUUUCUGUUAUGAACUAUUUACUAAUGUUUUUUUAUGAUGAACUAUUCACAAUGUUGGUGCCUUGGUGGUAAUGUCAUCCAAAAUCCGACUCUAUGCUGGAGCCACAGAUUCACUCUUCACUGCAGACUGCAGGGUCUCGAGUCUCGACACGAAAUGUUAAACCAAUAAACCCAUGCCUUGAUCCCACCUUGUAUUUAAAUCCAGGGUUAAUUUUAUAUGGAUUAAAUAUCUUCAUUGAAAUGUCGCCCAACAGCAGUAGUUGAAUCAUUAAAGCUGCUGGAUGGUAGCUUGGUAUGAACAUUGUCACUUUUUUUUAUAUUUUUUUUUUAUAAAAACUCUGAUAUACAUCUUUUUUUUUCUUUGCCAGGAAUAUGUCUGAGGCUACAUGAGUGUUGCUCAGGAGUCAGGUCAGGUAAUAAGCUGUCUGGGCAUGGAGUUCGAACAAGCGUAGCAGCAAGUCGGUAUAUUAAUGAUUCAACUACUCUGGCGUAACAGAAUGUAUACGAGGGUGUGGGAUGAAAGCCAGUAAUCUUAGCACCUGGCUUUGAUGCACCUUGGUUCAAAUAAUUUGUAGAUAAAACUAGAACUUCCUUAAAUGUACUCACAUACCAUAUAUAUAAUCUGGGGCCAGGUACACAUUGUUGAUUCAACAAACAGAUUCCGAAACUUCCCUAGUUCAUUUUUCGCAUUGUAAAAAUGAUACCUUAUAUUCUUAGGGGUUGAUGAACACCUUUUUGAGACGAUUCUUGAUCCGGUGCCUCUGGAUAUUCAAUUAUAUCUGGAUGACUGGAUCACAUGCUUUAGUCAAUGGAAAUCAAGGCCAAUAGAUGAAACCUCAUAAACAAACAACAAAAGAAAUUUCCAGAGUCAAUGUGGCCAGACAAGACUGAUUCAACUCUCCAGAAACAAUUAAAUGGAGCAUCCAACAUGAACAUACUUGAUAUAAUCAGUUCAAUCUAUCAAAACUUUUAUGAUGAAAAUAAGAAUUGCUACCUAAUGCAUAAUUGCAUACUCGAACUCUCCUCACUUGAAAAAACUGUAUAACGGUUAUAAGGAAGAGUUCCUAGUUCAUUCAUCCGAUGGUCUCUGCCCCAAGACUGGAAUGUCCUCGUAUCGUUUCUGCAUCAUAAAGAAAACAACCUUAAAUUAUGCUCAGCAUAUACCAAAUUAUAUACUACCAAAAGCAGAAUCGCAACUGCAUAGAAUGUAUCCGCAUACAAUGUCCUUUAAAACCAUUCACUAUGGCCAUGGAACUCAAAGCAUCACGGCCCCCAAAUCAUUAUAUAGCAUGCGUCUUGUUUCAAUACAUGUACAUCCAGAUCUAAUUACCAUCCAAUCAUGCCUUAAUGCCUAUGAUCUAAUACUAUGCAAAACACACGCCAUGGGAAAAAAGUCAGGAAAAAGAAAAUACUACAAGAACAGUGUAAUUAAGUUCCUGAUUGAACUAUUGCCAUCAUCUAUACCUAGAUACAAAUUAGAUGAAAAAGAAGAAAAUACAUGGAUGUCAAAUGAUUCAUCAUGUUAGUUAUUUCAACUGUAUUGCCUCCAGUUCUGAAAGUAGAAUCUAUUCCAUCUAAACAUCUAACCCAUAGAGUAAAAGAUAAAGACACGAGCACCUAAAGUUCUCAGAGCCCCAGUUUCACAUACAUGAAAACAUUUCUGCAAAAUGGAAAUGCAUAAAAUUGAUUGAGUAAAUGAAAACUUCAAAAUAAGUGUCGUACCCCAACAUUAUUGUACUCCCACAGCCGAUGAACCCCGUAAUCCACAGCCUGAAACCAAUGCACAAGAAUUCAGCAAUGACAAAUAGUUUUUCUUCUCUCGUAACAAGCACAGUAGACAUUCAAAGGUCUCACAGAAAAACAAGUUCUAAGCAUACGACUAAGGUACUCUUGAUACUAUUUGAUUUAGUAAAAAUUACUGAAUCAAAUUGUAACAUGAAAAAAGAUGCAUGAACCAAAUUGUAAUAGUGAUUGAAUCAGAGCCCAAUAUGAAAUCAAGGGAAAUUUCCAUAUCAGAUAUAUGAGGAACGAAAGAGAAAGAAAGGCUGGGACGCACCCGUUCACCGAGGAAGGCGCCGGCAAUGACGAAGGUGACGUAGACGGAGUUGCGGCGCAUGAUGACCCUGUAGAGUCCUUCGAAGAGGCCUCCACCGCUUCUUCGAGGCGCUGAAGCCAUGAUGCCGAUAUCAAUCUAAUCUCUUUUUCUCCUUCUUUCUGAUCUAAUGUGCUUGGGACGAACUCUCGGGAUAUGAGGAUACAAAAAGCACGCCAAUUAGGAACGAACUCUAUUUUUUUAUCCAACAAAAUGUUAAAUUGCAAGUAAAAAUUAUGUCCUUUUAGAUGCGGUGAAUUUCUAGAAAUUUAAUUAAAAAUAAAAAAAUUUCUAAUUUCUUAAGAUUGAUUUCCCCGUUUAGAUUCUUAUCCUGUAGAAUUAACAAUUUUCAUGGGAAAAUAAUCGUGAAAUUUAGAAACUUAAAUUUCUGACUUGAAUUCCUAAAACAAAUAGGUGUCAUUUGUCAAUUCUCUCAACUGAGAUUAGUCUAUAUACAAAUUCUUAUCAUUUUAAAACUCUACAAAUCCAAAUAAUAAAAUUCUUAAUUAAUGGGAUUUAAAUUCAUGGAAUUUUAAUUUCUAUGAUUUUAAAAUUUCUAUGAAAAUUGAAAUUACUUCAUACAAACACAACGUUAAGAGUCGUGUAUAUAUGGUGCGGACGAGGUCACGAGGGACCAAACCGCAUUUUGAUUGUUAAUUUCGUUUCUCUAGACGAAACAAAAAGAGUUUGAGCAUUUGCAAUUUACGAUAUGGCGUGCUUUUCCAGCAAACGAGGGCUUGCUCAGUAACAUUAUAGCAGCGUCCAAGAAAUUUCUUCCAGAGGAAACAAGUUAAGAUUCGAUAUUGAAGAAAAGUAAUUUCAAAUACAAAAUUUGGGAUUUAUAUUGGCGCUUUGCUUAUUUAACUGCUCAUCACUGGGAAUAUCGGGAGAAGGCUAUGAAUGAAUUGAGAACAAUUUCAAAGCUCAAAAUCUGAUUCUUAUGUGCAUGAUUUGGUUAACACAAAAUUAUCAAACAAUACUUUUCACAAGACAAGUAAUAAUGAGAAAUGGAUCCAAGAGAAUGUCUAGACUGCAUAAUUCUGCGUCUCUUAUUGCUGCGUUCAACCAUAUCAACCGGAGGCUGUUUUCUUCUGUUGGAAGAUGACAGCAUAUACUGGAACACCCACACCGAUGCUGAAGGCAGUGAACACCCCAAGGCUCAUCUUCAAUGCCUGGUGCUUCAUCAUGUCCAAGUUAUACAUGUGCUUGGAAUGCAUGUAGAAGGGUUCAUCAUGGCCAUGUCCGCCCAUCCUCUUUACUCCAGUUGAAUGGAAGCCCCUAGUAGCUGCGACACCACAAUAACAACUACCACUUAGCACACAAAAUGAAAAGAACAGCAUUUAAACUUGUAUAAUCUAUACAUUUUUAGGAAUAGUAAUCGUAAGUUUGGUAUGAAAGCCCUCUCCCAUUAAAAAGAUUUACAGUAGCUUUGAACAUUCACUCUCCCAUUACAAGUGGCAGCCUCGUCUUUGACAAUAAGUCUUUUAGCAAAAUUAACAAUGGGGAUGGUUCACAGUGCAGGUUUCUUUGUGCACAUUACAACAUACUAAGUCGCUAAGCGUUUGACACAACCCCAAGAAACCCAUCAACUAUAAAUUUACCCAUCGAAUAUACAGAUAAUAUACUGUCGUCCACAUUUCAGUCUUCCAAAAGUUGAGUCAGUGCCUAGCUAUUUAUAGUCCACUAGUCCAGUAAGGAAAAAUUAAGUUCAUCUCAUGUGGUAACAAAAAUAAAUAUUUAGGGCAAUUCCCUGGAUUGAAACACGAGAAAGAAAACAUGUUACCCCUCGAUUUUGCCCCAUAUUCACAUAUUGGCCGGGUGAAAUUGAGCCCUCACACACACUUAUUUAAAGCGAGAAGCCAUUUGGAACGGCCAAAACAGAUUUCAAAACGCAUAACCAUGAUGACAGAGAUGUCACUGAGACAAGAAAAGAUAAACAUUUCUCAAAGUGACAAGUGAGAACUCAUUUGAAAUAGCCAGAGUGGGUGACAAAAGGAUAUGUGCAAGACCUUUCUUUAACAUAAGAGCAGAGAAUACAAGCUCUUACAAAACAAAAAAGAAAGGUAUUGCUUUUGGUUUUCUGUAUGCCCGCAUGGGAACAGAAGUGCCAUCAGAGGCAGUUCACUCUGUUCUUUGAAAGGCAUAACAAAGGAGAAGCACUGUGACCGAGUCAAACAUGGUCUGGGAAGUACAUGCGGUAUGGUCGCCUUUUUUCUUUCAAAUGUUUUAUUAAUUUUUAUAUAUUACAUGGCAAGAUUCAUCGAACUGUCGAUGCUUUCAUCUUAACCGAUUCACAGCAAUACACUCCACAAUGCCAUGAUCUAGGAUUUCUGACCAGCCAGGUCAGAUUUGAUAAUGUGUAUGCUAUCACAAGUAAAGGGGGUGGAUGUUCUUCAAAUGCAAAUAAUAAUAUCACAUCCCUACAGAUUUCCUAUUUAUCAUAUUUUGACAUCUGAAUUUAACCAUAUUCAGUUGUAUGCUCAAGGGUACAUCCAGCCAUCCUGGACUCGAUGGAAUUAGCAAGGAAAAAACAUACAGCAACACUUUAAUCACAAGAACCUUCAUUUAAACACUAAUUACACAGGAAACCAUAUUCAAUGUUUUGUCCAAAGUUUGUAAACACUGUCACAUUCUGCAAACACUUGCUAUCUAAAAAUAUACAGCAGCAACAACCAAAAUAAACAGCAGAAGACAUCAAAAUAACCUGAUUUCGAUAGCGAUGCUUCUGAAGACAUCAAGACCUUGGCACAGGUCCUCAUCCCAUUGCUCAAACUCAUGAUUGCGAGAGAUCUCCGCUACUGACUACCUUGUAAACCAGAAACAAAACUUGAAUCAAACAGAUAAACAACAGCAAAUUUAUAGAAAAUAAUUCCAAUAGAGCGCAAUCAAAAUCGUAGAAUCCAAAACUACUCUAAUUGAUUCCUAUUUCAAACAAACAAAAAAUCUCAUAGAAUACUAAUGUAACUAGGUUCAUUACAGUUGACCUGAUUGAGGAUUAAACAUGCACAGAUCUGUAUGUAUUUACAAAAGGAAACACACAGUCCAAUCCAGAAACGCAAUCACUGAGCUCCGAUUGAGCAAGCUCUCAUACAAAUCGGAAACAACAAUUACUGAAUUGAAACCAAAAUCGGCGAUUCAACGAUUUAAUAAACAGUUGCGAAAAUAAGAGAGCAGAAGAAUGUAGAAGAUGAGAGGUGAAACGUUUACCUUGUGGAAAUGAGGAGGAAACCCUAGAACUUUCGAGCAAUGCGUCUGAGAUGAUUGGGAUUCGGGGAGGAGUUAAAAAACGUAAUCCCGGGUCAUAGAACGGGUUGACCAUCUUAAGCCCAAUACUUUUACGGGUUGGGCCUCGUUGAGCGGGCUCUGUUUUUAUCUGGUCAAUUUCAAGCGCCAACUUCAUUUUCUCAGUUAUCAAAGAAAAUGAAAAGGUCCACUGAAUUGGUGGUCAAAUAAUUCCGUUCAUAUUUUUGGCUAAAAUUGAAAACGUGAUACAUAUGUUCUUUCGUUAAGCCUACUCUAUACUAGUCUGUAUUAUUGUAAAUAGAAUCAUAGGUCAUACAAAAUAAUGACUUCGAUAUAGUUAGAUCAUUAUAUCAUGUUCGGUAUCAAACCGCUCUUAAAACAAUGAAUUAUAAUUUAUCCACAAAAUUUGGUGAAUUCAUGUUAAGUUUCAAAAGGUGGUACCACUUUUAAGUUCUAUGGAUACAAUUUCUCCACAAACUAACAUAAAGAGCAAUCAAUUUUCCCCCAUUAGCACGAUUUUACAAUGUGCAUAUAACAGACCAAUGAAUUUAAUAGCAAUCUCGCAAAUAUUACAAAUUUACAAUGUGGUUAUGUGCAUGAACUAAUGUAAUCACUUUGCUUGGACUUGCAUUAUACACUAAUCUCGCAAAUAUGUCAAACUUGAGCCUAAUUAAUCAUGUUUGAUCGCCCGGGUCAAGUGGAAAGACUAAAUGAAGGAAGUAAAUGGGUUUCCAUGCUUAUAGGGUGUGAGGUGUGACCUUUGAAUCAAGGAAAUAAUUAAGAAGUAUUGUGGUGGACUCAUAGAAACUUCCUCUUUUCAUUUUCUUCGCCUACUGUUUGCUUGUACGUACUAGUUGGUUAGAUGUUAGUCGUUUUCGUGACAAGAAAAUGUGUUACUUGCUAUGUCUAAUGACUUGGUCAGAAUUAAUGUUAGAUAUCCUAAGGAAUGAGAGAUGAUCUACUUCCUCUUUUAUAGUUGCACCAACUUCAGUUGGUGAUCUUGAGUUUACAAUAAAAGUACUAGUUUUUUUUUUUUUUUUUUUUUUCCUAAUAUUGGAUGAUCUCCAUUUCUCCAUUGAUAUAUAUCAUGAGGUGAUUAUUAACUCAAGCUAGAGAAGUUCGAAGACUCAUUACACCCACUGCUCAAAUGAAAAAUAGCAAGCUAAAAACUUCUUGAAAAAUCAAACCAAAAGAUUGUCAAAAAAUAGACAUGCAACUGACUAGAACAAAAAAUUGAAAACCCCUAAUUGUCCCACAAUGUGACCAAGCAACCUAUAUGAAGCCGGGAGACCUAAUGGUAUACCUGUCCACAAGCUACAUGGGAAAUUAACAUAUCAUGGGCUAAGUAGGGCCCCAUCAUACCCUUGAGGGUUGAUUGCUUCGACCACCGUCUAUGGCUCAUACACCAUGAAGUCUGAAAUAUUCACACCAUCACCUGCUUUGCGUGCGUCUGUUAUGGUUACCACGUGACCUUCAUAUAUAUAUAUAUAUAUAUUAUUGUUUGGCUGACCAACAUCAUACCCCCAAAGAUGGAAUGAAACCUAGGGUUUCAAGUUGCAUAUCAUAGGAACCAAAGCCAAAGAUGUUUGGUGCGCUUCUCACCAGACACGUCUUCCUCUUCCCAACCUCGCUGAACUCCAAUGAGCUUUGCCGACGACAUUGUGGCAAUGAUUUGCUUCUCCGACAAAGGACGAAUAACAAUGUUGUGCUUCUCUUUAUGAAACCAGGGAAGUCUAAAGAUUACCUCAAAACACAACAAAAGGUGCCUGAGGCGGAGGAGCAGCCACCUCGAUAACAACUUCUUUCGAUCUCCUCUUCAUGAGGACAUUGAGUCCCACAGUGGUUGAUCAUGGCACAAGUACGGGCACAAUCACGGCAAUAGCCAAAGAGACGCUCGUACCUAAAUUGUACAUACUACAUACAUCACAUUUGCAUCUAGAUCCAUGCAACAAUUCUAAAAAAAAGAUCUCCAAGUCUCCAACUUAUAAUUAUUUCCUAUUUAAUAACGAAUGCUAGUGCCAAACUUAGGUACCUUGAAACCUCUAGUGAAACCCAUAUAAAUGGUUAAAUACUAUAAAUAUAAGGCUAAAUAUAAUAUAAUAAGCAUCGUUUCGAUAUUUUUGAAAACAUUGAUGUAAAACCAUAGUUGCCAUCAAUAUUCGGGUCAAACAUACCCGAUGUCCGACCAAAUUACCAAAUAAAAUUGAAGUCUUCAAGAGAUCCUCCAAGUCUCCAACCAGGAAUGUAGUAUUAAACCAUAAUAGAAAAUGACCUGCUGGAAAUGUGUAUAUUAGGAAGCCAAAUAACCCUAAACGUGUUAUUUACUUAGGAAAAUACAGAAUGCCCUACUGGUACUUUGUCAUGGAGUACAUGCCAACAUUAUUAGCAUGCAUGUUGUUGAAGCAAAUGAAGGACUUGUUAAUUACUUAAUUUCACAGGGCACAUGCAUGCUUUAUCUGCAUCCAAACUUUGAAGUGAUCCUCCCUUGAUUUGGUUUUACAUAACAAAAAAAAAAAAAGAACUUUUAUUUGAAAUCUACAUAAUAACACGUAAUAAAAUCGAAAAAAGAAGAUGUUUUCUGUCUGGAUUUAGGGUAAAACAUCCGGCAUGCGUCCAUCAAUAUAAAUUAUAUUUAACAACACAACAAACAUUACAAAUGAUUUUCUGUCACUAAUCAUGCUCCAUGCAUUUUCAAACUAAACUAAUUUCCCUUUCUUAUUUUUCUCUUGUGACAUUCACUUUCCUUUGGUCAAAAGGACUAAUUUCACUUUAGUUCCAACGUACAAAACAAAGGUCCACUGGUUCAAAAAUCCUCUACUAUGUCCAAAAAACGGGUCGGGUCAUCAUCACAAGCCAAAGAAACGGAUCUCUGACGAGUGGCGUAACUGGCGGGCCUAGACAAAAACAGCCGCCGUGGCCAAAACCCCCUCAACAAGACAUAAAGUCUCAUCUGAAAAUCAUAACGUCGUUGCCUAACCUCGCCGGUCCAAACUUUCAAGUGGCUACAAAAUAAUGGACCCAACACCCACUGACCCACGUCUAAAGCCUCAGAAGAAAAUUCAAAAACCCAUAAAUCACACCCCUAUAAAUCUCACCCUCCUUCCAGCUUCGUCACAACUUCUUCCUGCUACUUUCUCUCUGUAAAAACACGCAGGGAGGAUGAAGAACCGAAGCUCCGGCAAGAUCUCAGCGAAAUGGAUUCCCAUUUUCUGCGUACCCUCUUUCCUUCUCGGCAUGCUCAUCACCAGCAGGUAGAGUGAUCUCAAUGUUUCUUAUCAUGUAUGGUCGUGUUUCGGGUUUUGGUUUGGUCAUGAGUUUGAGAUUGUUGGUUUAAGUAGGAUGUGGGCUGUACCUGAAUCCAACGGUCAGCUCAUUUCUACUCGUCGGCAGGAGCAGGAGCUUCAGAUUGUGUCCGAAGAUUGCGCGACUAAGAAGGUGGUGAUUUGAAUUUUGGGUCUUCUUUUCUUUCUAAAAGAAGCUAAAUUUGUUGCUAAAGAUGGAAGCUUUGUUGGUUUUAUGCAGAAGCUGGGACAAGAGAAGGAUGUGAUGAAUGAGAUUUACAAAACCCACGAGUCAAUUCAGUAAGUUGAGCUGUGGUUGUGAUUAUCUUGGACUUGGUUGCUUUGUAUUGUGGCAGUUGUGUGAAUUUUGUGUACUGAUAAUUGGGUGCUUAUUUGCGGAGGCGUAUCAGAUCUUUAGACAAGCAAAUGGCGUCAAUUCAGAUGGAGUUAGCAGCAGCUCGGAGUUCUCAGGAGAUGGGGGUCUCCGGUGACUCCGCUGCCACCUCAGUGUUGCAGAAGGACAAUUCAGCUAAGCAGAAGGCAUUUAUUGUGAUUGGAAUUAACACUGCAUUUAGUAGUAGGAAGCGGCGAGAUUCGGUUAGAGAGACUUGGAUGCCUCAAGGUAUUUUAGAUUUGUUAUUACUCUUCUUAAUCUAUGUAUGUAUGCAUAAGAUCCCAGUGGUUUAUAUGGGCCUGAUUGCUGAAAUCGUGUCAACUGUUCGGCCAGGGGAAAAGCUACUACAGUUGGAGCGUGAGAAGGGGAUUGUUAUCCGUUUCAUGAUUGGCCACAGGUAAUUUGGCUUUCUAUCAAGAAUUGUCAUGAUGUUUUUUUUGAAAACUUACAUAGUGUCAUAGUCAGCGCGUGCAAUGGAUUAUGAAGAGGCAAUCCUCAUAUAUGCAUAUAGACUCAUCGCUUUACUUUUUUCUCGAUCCAUAUUUCGACCCUCAGAUUUCUUUUGAUUCAACACGUCAGAUAUUGAGAAUUUCAAUAUAACGGGAAACCUUGUACUAGAUGCCGUAUGAUCCAUUGGUAGCUCAUUUUUGGGAACAAGUUCUGCAUCACAUGCUUCCCUUGUUUAGUUUGAAGUCAGUUUUUAUAUGAAGACUUGCAAUGGGGUUAUAACUUUUCUUUUGCUUAUAUAGUACAUGAAAGUAGGAUCUACUAUGCAAGUUGGUCCUCAUGAUGUACCAUUCGAAUAUAACUAGAACCUGCCAUUUUUACUGAAGAGGAACUUGGAGUACAGGAAGAUAUCUGGAAAAUGUUAUAUCUAAUAAUAUACACCAGAAAAUGUUUAUUUAUCUGUCUUUUGUCAUGUAUGAUAUGCAUAGGAUAAUAUCAGCAUUUAAAACAUGAUUUAUAAUACAAUAUCAACAGGAUGUUCUGUUUUCGUAUGAAACUGACCUCAGUGGUACCUGGAUCAUUUAUACAGUGCAACAUCCAACAGCAUUUUAGAUCGAGCCAUUGAUUCAGAAGAAUCUCAACAUAAGGAUUUCCUCAGGCUGGUAAGAGAGCUGACAUAAACUAUCCAUGAGACUAUUAUACUAAUAAUCUGUUCUGACUUCUGAGUCUUGUUUUGUGCUGUAGGAACAUGUUGAAGGUUAUCAUGAGUUGUCAGCCAAAACAAAAACUUUCUUCACCACUGCAGUUGCAAAGUGGGAUGCUGACUUUUAUGUCAAGGUGGAUGAUGAUGUACAUGUCAAUUUGGGUAUGUGCUAUUGCUGCAUUGUCCUAUUUACUUUUUCAGUAGUAAAAAGAUAUGAAUGUCAUUACUAAGGAUGAUUUUCUUACUGUCUUGCUUGCACAGGUAUGCUAGCUUCAACUCUUGCCCAUCAUCGUUCAAAGCCUAGAGUAUACAUUGGGUGUAUGAAAUCUGGACCUGUUCUUGCUCAAAAGUAACUGUCCUGAGCAUUUAAUUGAUGAUAGAUAAUACUACUCUAUGAUUCUCACCAAUCCUUUAUGGGAGGAGUUAUUAAUUCUUAUGUUUCUUUAUUCUGUAGGAGUCUUAAGUACCAUGAACCAGAGCACUGGAAGUUUGGUGAGGCGGGAAACAAAUACUUCCGACAUGCAACUGGGCAGAUUUAUGCAAUCUCCAGGGAUCUAGCUACAUACAUCUCUAUUAACCAGUAAGAAUAUGUUGUUUUGUAUUGAUCUUCUUUCCAAUAUUUGAUAUUUCAUCCGAUAUGUAAUCAAAUCUGCAAUGCUAUAUGAUUUCACCUUUUCUUUUUUCUUUUAUACUUCGUUCUGCAAUGAUUGAACUCCUGGGACAACACUGUUUAUUGUUGCAGGCCCAUAUUGCAUAAGUAUGCCAAUGAAGAUGUGUCUCUUGGUUCGUGGUUCAUUGGUCUUGAAGUUGAACACAUUGAUGAGCGCAAUAUGUGUUGUGGCACUCCACCAGGUACUCUCUUUAGUACAGUGAAUAGUGAAUUUCUUCCAUCCCACUUUAGAGUUUAGAUAAAUGAAAAGAAUAAAAGGCAAUGUUCAUAUGGUUGUUCAAAUAGAUUCACUCAAGUGAUUAUUGGUAUAUUUGCGAGCAACUUUACUUUCCUGUAAGAACAAUACCAUUUUGGGCCAUUAGAUGCCCCUGGUUUACUCAUUACCAGGAAACGAUGGAUGUGUGAGUCUAUAUAUAUUUUUUAUUCUUGUCUAUAAUUCAGUUGAAUCUUCUGCAGAUUGCGAGUGGAAGGCACAGGCAGGAAAUGUCUGCAUUGCAUCAUUUGAUUGGAGCUGCAGUGGUAUCUGCAAGUCAGUGGAGAAGAUUAAAUUUGUUCAUGAAAAGUGUGGUGAAGGGGAUGCAGCUGUUUGGGGUUCGUUGUUCUAGAUCACUUCUUUUUGUAGGGUCUUUGCUGUCAAAACAAACAAGUACAUACAGUCCGUUCAAUAGUGAUGACAUCAAAGCAGCAACAGCAUUUUGAUUAUGGUGGAGGUGGUCAGGUGGACAUGUCCAAGAUUUUGCUUCUUCGACUCUCAGGGAAGACUUAAUGAGCUGCUGCUUAAGUUAUGCGGAAACAGUUCAUCUGAACUGUUGAUGUGACACCAUUUGUGUUUCAAGAUGUCUUCUGAUUGUAAUUCAGCGCAGGAGGAUAUAAGGGUAUUUAUACAAAUUGAUAGUUGUUUCCUGAUAUUAGUUUUAUAUAGUGAGAUAUGUUCUUAUGUAGGCCUUCCUUCCACUGUUACAGUAUAAUUACCAAUGUAAUGCACAAAAUAGAAAAGACAUUGCUUCCAUUACUUGAUAUGUGAUGAGAAUGAGAAUGAUUGAUUAAUAGAUUUCCUAUUUUUGAAGUUUUGAAAGUUUGAAACAUGGAUGAGCUCUUAUGCCUUCGACAGCACACUUGAGCAGAACAAAUAGCUAUCAAAUUAUGAAUCACUUCUUUGUUUUUCUGCCGGAUUGAACCCUUAAUCUUUUCGAUGAUUAUCAAUUUACCCAUAACUUCAAAAUUGCUUCUUAACUGGUCUAUUGUCUAUUUACGAUUUAGUUGUUCUAAAUUUGGGCUUCUCAUUAUAUGAGUUGAGAUAUUUUCAGGUUCUUCAACAUUUGCAAUAUCAUAAGCAAAUUGGAAAGUUUAAUUUUUUAGUUAAGUUUUGACACCAAAACUUGAGUUUCUCAUUAUAAGAGUUGAGAUGUACUCCUUGUCUUUCAAGCUAGGCAAACCAUAUGGUCUUGUUUGAUCAUCUUCCUAAAGUCUCAAUUCGCUGAUUUUCUCCUACUAGGCAAAGGAAUCAUCAAUUCUGCGAAAAACAUCCAUUUUUUUUUUUUUUAAGAAAAAGAUAUGAAAAGCAUGUUUAAAAUUAAAUACGAAAAUAAGUUCAUCAAGUAGAUCUUACAUAAACUGAACAAAAGCCUUGUCAUAAACGUCAAUUUCACAUGAUAUUUUUGCUCUUUAAAGGCCCAAAAAUAAUAAAUGGGCUUCAAUAAUUAGAUGAUUUAAUUUGGGUGUUCUCUAUCUCUGAUAGAUAUUCUUCAUCGGCUCCAUCGCACUGCUCUGCGUCUCUAAUCGCCGUCGACAUGUCCAAUUCCAAUCGGACGCUUAUUGAAAACGCCGACGUCUUCACGGGGCUGCACGACUUCCUCGAACGCAUGCGUCAACCGUCCGCCGGCGACUUCGUCAAGUCUAUCAAAAGGUCAAAAUCAAAUACCGAAAUUGAAAUUUGUUGACGAUUUGAAUUCGAUUGAGAAGUUGAUUUAGUUUAACGAUUCGGAUUUGAUUGCAGUUUCAUUGUUUCGUUUUCGAACGAUGCUCGUGAUCCGGAGAGGGACAGUGCGGCGGUGCAGAGCUUCUUUGCGCAAAUGGAAGUGGAUUUUAGGGUUCAUCCACUUUGGGCUGGCUGUUCUGAAGAGGAGCUCGAUAGUGCUGGCGAGGUCAGUAAUUUCUGUUUUACUUAGCCGGUAACAGUCAUUUUGUCUCUAGUUCCUACACAGUAAUUGAGCUUAUGAUUCAUACUAUUCUAGUCUUGCUUAGUUAUAUGAAUUUGAAACCAACUAGUAACUAGUAAGUAACACGAGUGAGAUCACUGAGAUGGAUCUUUAGUUGAGCGAUUUUUGUGUAGUUCCACUAGUUCUAUAGGUGAAGAAAUAUGUAGUAAUUGCUGUUUCUGGACUCACAUUUGAUAUUUGAGAAAGGUAAGAAAGCCGUCGAAGAAAGCAAAACGAAUAAGAAAAGAAAGAGUUCUAGUGUAGUAUAGAAUGGAGACAGAAGAUUGGAACCCCAAAAAUGCAACAAUGCUUGCUGGAUUAGUUGUGCUCCUACAAAAUAUGCAAGAACAACAGAGUGAUAUGAUAAUAGAAAACGUACAUCUACGAACUUUUGAAUGCAAAAGCCGCAAGAUGAAGCGACAGCUGCAAGCAUAGAUGUUCAUAACUAUCGGCAAUCAAUAGGGCUUGAGUGGCUGACUGGAUUUCAGUCCUCAAAUUCAGUACUGAUUGCCAAUUUGCCAUAACAAAACCAAAACUAAAACUUUGUUUUGCUUGACAUAAACAAAACCACAACAACACCCAAAACAAAAGACCUGCGAUGAAACCAAGACCAAAGGAUAGCAGGAGCUGUAGGAGAAGAAAUUGAGAAAGAGAGAGGCUGCAGAGGAGCAAAGGGUUAUAUACUUAAAAAAGCCUAUAGGUAAAGAAAGACGUAGUAAUUGCUAUUUCUGAACUCACAUUUGAUAUUCAAGAAAGGUAAAAAAAGCUGUCAAGAUUUUGCAAGGAGAGCGAAAUGAAUACGAAAAGAAAGAGUUCUAGUGUAGUAUAGAAUGUGGAUAGAAGAUUGAUUUUCGUAAAAUAUUUUGUGCUAAUUUUCCUCGUGGAGGAACUCUUCAGAUUAUUUGUUUUCCACGUUCACCUUAUCAUUAUUGUUUUGGAUAAGAAUGCACAUUCUGUAGUUAUUUCAUGCGAAGGAUUUUGCUAAUACUUGAUAUCUCUAAUAGAUGUUGGUUUUUCUUUUCUGUUUUUUUCUUUGCCUGGGCAAUCUGUUAAAUACAGGGACUGGAGAAGUAUGUCAUGACAAAGUUAUUUACUCGUGUAUUUGCUUCACUUCCAGAUGAUGUAAGACUUGACAACGUACUACACGAGAAGAUGGCUUUAGUUCAGCAAUUCAUUCGGCCAGAAAAUUUGGAUAUCAAGCCCGCCUUUCAAAAUGAAACAUCAUGGCUGGUGAGUAAAAAGAUACACUUAUAAAUAUGUGUUUGUAUUCUCUGUGCAUAAAGUUUUCAUAAGAUCCUCAAAGGUAAAAUUCUUUCAAUCAGGAUGCAUUGCUCUCCAUUUUCACACAUAGACACAGGUCCAGUACUUCUCAACGAAGAUGGCUAAGUCGUAGAAAUCUUCUUGACAAAUAAUACUUCAUAUUUAGGAGGCCAAUGGAUCUUCAGAUGCCUGAAAUCUCUUACAAAUAGGGGAAAAAAGGAACAAGAAUUGUUCAAUGAAAUAUAAGUAUUCAUCAAUACUUAAGUGAUAGGUAGGGGAUAGAAUAUAACUUGCUGCAAUUUGUAUUGUAUUUUGGAUAAAAUCUGAUUGGACAACUUAUCUGAUUUAUUGAUUAAGCGAGGAAAUAGUAACAUCAUAAGUUUUUCUGAGCAUCACUCAUUUAAUAGGAUAAGGCUGACUGUGCUAACUUAGGUAAAGCUUUAUUAUACUUAAGACAAAAUACCUAGUUGGGGGAACAAUGAUAGGCUCUCUCCUCUUCCAGUGAACUCAUGUGUAUAUUAUCGUUCCUCAUUCCAUACUUUUCAUGCUCUGCCUGAUUUAUGUAUCCCAAUUUCUCUAUUUUUGCUUUUUGGCUCUUUAACUUUUGUGGUGAGCGCACACCGGAAACUGUUAAGUUCAUACUCUUACAAUUUUUCACUCUUGUCAUUGCAGCUUGCACAGAAAGAACUGCAAAAGAUCAAUAUGUACAAGGCACCAAGGGACAAGCUUGUGUGUAUACUCAAUUGUUGCAAGGUUAUCAAUAACUUGCUGCACAAUGCUUCUAUUGCUUCAAAUGAGAAUACCCACGGAGCUGAUGAAUUUCUUCCUGUCUUAAUUUAUGUUACCUUGAAGGUAUGACCAACUUCAUAUGAUGGCCUGAUUUUUUUAAAAUUCACUUAUCACAGCAUGUGCAAUGCAUUUAUGCUUCUAUUCUACUUAUGUUUAUAAUGAUCCCCCAGAUCUGGCUAUUCUGAUUUGCCUACUGCAAAACAUUAAAACUCAGACAUAGCUCUUAGUUGAUCCCAUGAAUGAAGGAAUAUAAAUAUGUAUAUUCACAAACUUGCUUUAAAUGUAAUGCAGGCAAACCCUCCGCAACUGCACUCAAAUUUGUUGUAUAUACAAAGAUACAGGCGACAAUCUCGAUUAGUAGCAGAAGCAGCCUACUUUUUCACUAACAUGCUAUCUGUCGAAUCCUUCAUUUCAAAUAUGGAUGCAAAUGCCCUGUCAAUGGAUGAAACUGAGUUUGAAAAGAACAUGGAAUCUGCUCAAGCAAUUCUAUCAGGACUAUCGACUGAUUUGAACAGCCAGCCUGAUCAAGGCGGUCAGCCUGUGAAUAUAAACAAGGAGCCAACAGCACCCCCCAAAUCAUCAAAAGUUCCAUCACUUUCAGAUUUGGAGGAUAAGGGUGCAGCACUCCUUGUAAAUGAUAAGCAGGCAAGCCAGGUUUUCCGGCAGUAUCCAUACUUGUUUGCACAUGUUGGUGAUCUAACAGUCAAUGAUGUAGAAGACCUUCUUAAUAAUUACAAACAGCUUGUUUUCAAGUAUGUUUGUCUCUCCAAAGGAUUAGGUGAUUCUGCUCCAUCUCUUCCUCUAAAGGGUUCAGAAACAAAGGAUCACCAGCAUGUUGAAACUGCAAAGCAACAGGACCAUACUAGCGCCGCAGAGCCUAAUGAUGAGCCAUCAAAGGAUACUGAUACAAAAGAUGAUGGUUCUAAUACAGAGUCUCUUUUUGAAGUGGAAAGUUUAGAAUCUCAAUUGUCACAGGAUCAACCAGUAGCCCCACAAGACAGUAAACAUGAAGAGUCCUCUCAGUCACAGCUCAGUUAAUGUAUUUUGCAGGCGUAUGUUAAAUUUUAAUGCUAGGAUUACCAUCAGGGCCACCUUUUCUCAUUUCCUUAAGCGUGAGGGGAAUACCACAGUGACUACUUCUGGUUAGCAAUGAGCACUAUCAUUUGUCUGUUGUCCGCACUUAGUGGUGAAAUCUGGAUAAACGACGAGUUUAGCAUUUUGAUUUGGCAAGCCUCACCAGGCAUUUGUGCAAAGAUGCAAAUAUUUCCAACCUUUUGGCAAGUCUGCAUUUCCAGUUAUACUUUUGGACACUUGUAAUCUCACAUAUAUGCAGCAAUGUAAUGAUCCCCAAACACAGGAGCAUGUUGAAUCUUGAAUGAAAAGUAACUUUCGCCAGUCGCACUUUGCUCUCCAUCAAGGGGCAGAAACGUAUGUUCUGCAUUUCUUUUCUGUGUUAUUCCUCUGCAAUAUCUUACAACUGUACACAAUAUCCUGAUGUUGAUAGUAUGCAGUCUUUCCUUGUCUGUGUUUGACUCCUAUUCUCUUCUAAAUUGGCUGUUCUAGCAGUUACCCUAUUAUGCAAUCUUACUAUGGAUUGAGUAGAUUUAGCUUGUCCACAAUGAAAAAGUACAAAACCAGGCUCUGUCUAUAUCAGGUACACUGGGUUCUAAGUUUCUUGUACUUCAUCCUGGUGAAUAUAAUUUGAUUUAUAGACUCCACAUGUUAUAAAUAGGACUAUUCAGAAUUUGUUUGAAUAUAAGUAUGAAGUCUAUAUUCUCUGCUUGACAAGGGUUUGAUAUACAUACUAAUAAUAGUGUGAUUGACUGCAGUGACAUAUUUAUAUUUUGUAAUGGUGUGCCAUACUUAAACGUUGUGUAUGUGGAACUAGAAUUGCAUCUUCUCCAUCGUUGUUAACACAAAAGUCAAAAAUCAAAGCCAAUACUUUGAAAUUUGAAUUUUUAUACCAAUCUGUUAUUGUAUGCCGCAUCAUAUUCAUCUCCCCAGGCCCCCCUUUUUCAAGCUAAACCCAACGGCACUAGGAAAAUAUGGACAUUGGUUGGUCAUUUUGUGAUGUAACCUUUGUUUAGUGGAAAAUUCAUUUGUGUUUUUCACGUGCUGAUUUACUGAUCUUGUUGUAAAUCUUGGUCAAUAGAUAGGCCACAUAGAAUUAGAAAACACACGAAGUUCCCAGGAAACAAGAAUUAUAAAAGGCUGCGGCGUCUGAAUUGAAUCUUAGGUCAUGUAUAUGCCCUUUUCUCUUGUAUGAUUAUCAUAUUUGUGUAUGAUGAUUUUGAGAUUUUGAGCAUAGUUUUAGUGUUGGCUUGGGUUGUUGGUGAGCCGUGACGUGAUUGGUUAAGGUGGUUAACUAAUAACUUUGACGUCAUGGGUUAAAAUCUCAUUGACAUAUAUAAGGUAUGGGUAUGAGUUAUUUAAUAAAAUUGUUUUUUUUUUUUAAAAAAGAUAAAAUAGUGCUGGCUUGAGACUUUUUUUUUUUCCUUUGGAUUUCACCUUAAAAAGAGCUUCGAUGUAAAACAUGCAAAAUCAAAUUUGUGGUAAAGAGAAGUUGGUAGAGUUAAAGUGAGGAAUUCUUAUUUGUUGGUAUUUGCCAGAAUGCUUUGCUUUUCAUUUCAAUCUGGUUGCACUGGAUGUGUUAUUGUUGUAGUAUUAAAAAAAAUAAUACAAUAAUUGAAUUUCUGUCAAGAUUUAUGUGUUUGGGAUUUUUCUUGUAUAUUAAUCUGUCAAGAUUUAUGUGUUUGGGAUCACCAUCAACUUUUCUUUAGACAUUGUUGGGAUAACACCAUGCCAUUUCCUUGCAAGUUUCCUUUUGUAUCUUUCCCAGUGGGGGGUUUCAACUUUCAAGCAUCUCCUCAAUAAUGUAGAAAUCAUAGAGAUGUGAUAUUCGGUGGCGAUGUUUCUCAAGAAAUACGUACACACAUAUGUUCAAGUUUUAGUGAAAUAAUGGAGGGGAAGGAAUGAACAUCCAGCUGCAAACGCAAUAAAAACAAAACAAAAGCUUCUAAACAAAUUGGACGUGUAUUUUAGGAUCUGGUUUCAUCUCAGAUCGACUCUGUCUAAUCUUUCUAUAUGGCCAGGCAGGCUAGCCAUAGAGGCAGAUCAACCUCUCUUCUUGUGCUUCACACCCAUUAUAUAAUUAUACAUAUAUAUCUGAGACAACCUUCAAUUCUAUAUGAAUAGAUCAAAUUAGGGGGUCCAAGAAUCUUCAUAGAAUAGAGAUUAAGAACACAUAGAUUUGGAGAUGUAUAUCUGGGAGAUCUGAGAUAGUGUUUGCCAACAGUACUAAUCAAAUUAUUCUAUGUCAUAUGUGUUGCCAAUCUUGCUAUGCCAGUGCACUUGGUCAUUUGGCUUUUGUUCUUUUAGUUAGCAAACAAAUGUACGUGUACCCAUAUACCCAAAUUUUCAAUUGUUUGCUGAUUCCACAUUGGAUAAGUUUGAUUAACAUCUUAAUAUUAUAUACAUCAUUCAUAAUUGGUUACUAUAUAUAGAGGCCAAAUGAAGGGGAUGAUUAUAAAUAAGGGGUGCCACUAUAUGUUCUUAAUCCAAGCAUGAACUAUACAAGCCAAAACUUGCCAUGCCCCCCUUUGGUCUUCAAGUAGCUUCGCUAGUGCGUAAUGUCCUCUCUAUCAAUGGAGUCACACAUCCCACUAAAUCGAUCAUAUGAUAUCUUGAGACACAAGUAAUGAAACUACCAUUUUUCCCUUUUUAUGAUUACAUGUUCUAAUUAAGGCCAAUUACCAUUCAAUUGCUACUUUUUUUUUCUUUUUUUUUUUGGUGUGAGAAGACCAUUCAAUUGUAUUUUAAGUAAACAUAAUUUCUAAUCUUGUCAUAAAGACAACGUUAGUCGACCAAAUAAUUUGCAUAUUAUGUUACUGCUAGGGUUAGGGUUUGGAUUUUGAAAGUAGAUUCAAAUUGGUUUUGGCGAAUUGGUAACACAAAUUAAAGUUAGAGGGUCAAGGCGUGAUGAUCAUAGAUCUAUAGACAAACAAAAUUUGAUAAUUGAUGGGAUCCCAUUGAUGGUCCUACUCUCCUACACUCUUCCAAGACUUGCACCAAACAUUUUACAUUAGUAUGAUUCAUAUAUGGGGCAAGUGCCAACCACAGGUGCUUGUUUGGUAAAAGAAUUAUAUGAUAAGAGUUUGUGUACCAAAUGCACCUUUCAUGUGCCUGCCAUGUUCAAUAGUACAAGCUCUGUCGGCUGAGAUGUAUACACCUCCAAGUUCUAUUGCAUUAAUUUUCUCCACCCUCGAUGUGCAUGUGGUUUUCAUUUUAAAUCACAAUUUACAGCCAACCCAGAUUUCCAUGCAAUACAAAACCAGAUUGUAUAUGAGUUUAGUUUUCCCCAGUUGCUUGGAUUUUACAGUACUAGCUGCUACUAGCUGGAUUUCUGACAUGCUUAAAUUGUUUAGCUGAAGUUUUUCUGGGUGUUCGUUCUUUAUUAUUACUUCUUACCAGAUCGAUAUAUGCUAGCUCAUAAUGGUUUCUGAAUUUAAAAUUAAGGCCGGCAUAGAAAGAAUCUGAUGAGAGAACCCUAAAUGUAGUUUUUCAUGACCAAGCAGUAAAACAACAGAGGAAAAAUAGAAGCAAAAACCAGAUGAAAACGAAGAAUAAAGAUAUAAAAUCAAUCAUAGUUCCUAUUUUUUUUCUCUUUUGACUGGAAAACUAUUGAUAAUCAUUUUUGACAAGGUAAAACUUGCUUGCUAUAAACAAAGCAGCACGUCAUGAUUAUUAAACUCGAUCGAAACUUUCAUCAAAGAAAAGAAAAGGCUAUAUUAAACUCAUGAACAAGACCAUGUAUAUGUUUUUUGGUCAAUGAACCCAUAAGAAAACUUUGAUCUUCCAUACGUCGAACUGUUAUUGAAGUAGUCAAAUAUGCACACACAGAGAAACUAUGAUAUGCAAGAAGAGGAUAGAAGAUUAAGAAAUUCACUUAAGUAUACUUGUUUUCUACUAAUUGGUGCUAGAUUAAUUAAGUUUGCAUUUUGUGGUUUCUGGAUAGGCGUGGUUUUACAUAAUAAUAUGUGCUGCAGUGCUGGACUAUUAUUCAUGGCGAUCAUCAGCUUGACUCUUUGUCUGGCUUUGUGUGUGUCUCAAUCAACUCGUAUAUCAUAAACUUAAUGCAGAAGCAUUCAUAUUCCUCAGACCUCAGUAGAACAAGCUCUGACAUCAUAUGAACCAAGCAAGGCCAUGAUUGUAUAUACAAUAAUAUGAUCUCAGAUGAAUACAUAACUGUGAGAAAACGGGUUAUCACUCUCAAUCUAAUUGCUCAAGUUUAAAGAUAAAAUUAGAUUCAAUUUACAAACUCAAAUUUUGUGUUUUGUAUCGUUUUGUACGUCGACGUAUCUUUUAACUUCACUAUUCACACCUGUGAGUUGUGACUGGUAUCCUACCACACAACUCGUCUGAUUUCACACACAACUAAUCUCAUCGAUUUGAUAGUCUUGGUAGACCAGAGAUUUGAUUGUUAUGUUAUAUGAUUUGUCAUGUUAUAUGUUGAUGAAGAAUUUUAACCCAGUGAUCGAUGAGAUUCAAAUGGAGACAAGAUGCAGGUCAGCUUAUGAUUUAUAACCCCAGCAAUAACGUGUAGACUUGGCGUGAUCGAAUUGGUUGGGCAGAACCGUAGAAGGUUACCUUCAAUAAUUAAAGGGCAUGCAAAAGAGCUUUCAUUUUCACACUUCACUUCCCUUCUUACCCCAAAAGAGGGCAACAUAAUGGAUUAGAUUAAUGGUCCUCCUCCAGUCCUCCCAUACUUGUGUCUAUUUGAUCUCUAGCUCUUUUCUGCUCCAGCUAGCUAGCUAGCUAGGUCAAUUGUUAAUAGGAAUGAAUGAAGGAAUGGGUAAGAAAAGGGUAGUCUUAUUAUGCAAAAAUACACAUCACUUGGUCCGUGUUUGACAAUCUCAACACCCUUUUAAACUUCUCUCAUUUGCUUAGAACACCAUCACGACCAUCUCCAUCCUCAAACUUAUUAUAUCAUUGCUCUCUCUAGCUCCCUCUCUUCUUAUUAACCCCCCUAAACCACCCACCAAGACUCCAAGACUAGUAGUAUUCUCUCUCUCCUCUCCUCUCCUCUCCGCCUCUCCCUCUCUCUCUAAGAAGCUCGUCAAAAUACAUGAUUUGCAUUUCUUUCUGUACCAACUGAAUGAAAACUUCGAUAUUUUGAGCUGAAGGUGGUUCGAAGAACUUCGAAUUUGUGAAUCGUUUAAACUGUUGUCCAAAUAUCGAGUAGUUAAGAAGAAGAGUGGUAGAGCUAUGGGAAACGAGUAUAACCGCUUUAACCAUCACCACCAGCACUACCACCACCACCAUCAUCAUGUACACGCUCAUCAUCUGCAUAUAAAUCACAGAGGCACAUUCUUGCCGAUGCUAUGUUCAAGACCAUCAAUCAAAGACGUCCAGGUUCCAAGUGUUUCCUUCUCCACCGACUCUGUAUCUCCAAGAAUCAGUUGUAUGGGCCAAGUUAAGAGGAGCAACAAAGUUUCGGGCUAUCCGAUCACCACUCAAGCUACCAACAGCAGCAACAAUAUCAAGUAUUCCAAGCUCAAGAAACUCUUCUCCGGCAAACACCUCACCCCCCGUACCACUCCAACUAAAACGACCACCGCCACCGCAACUGCUGCCACCGCCACCAGCUGUCCAAUAAGCAGAAGCAGGAGACCACAAGUGAGUAAUGUGAGACAAGGUCAUUGUGUUGCAACAACAAUCAACUUAGCUGAAUUGGAUCCUCCUCUACCUGUGAUCAAGAGAGUGCAGAGAUCUCCCCAACAAGGAGAGGAGAGUCUUUAUAAGAGAAGAUCUGGUGGGGCUGCACUCAAAGGUUUGCAGCUGAAACAAGUUCAUCUUCCUAGACUUCAAACUCAAUCCACAAGUGUAUGAUUAUAAUGAAUAGAAGAAACCCCAUUAAGGGGAUUAAGGUAAAAACAAGGUGUUGUAAAUUAAUGUGCUUUUCUUUUGGAUCCAACUUUGGAUAUUGUUUGAUUCAAUGUUCCAGUGACAAAAUUAUUGGACUGGUACUGAUAGCUUAUUGCUGUGAUGUGUUUGAUGAGUUAAUUAUAUUCAUAGAUCUAAUAUUAUUUAGUUAUUUGAGUUUUUUGAAUCAAUGGAAAGUCCUACCUUGUGAGCUUUACUCAUUCUUUUCAAAUUGCAAAUUUGGAAACAAGGCAGGAAACUGAGCUUUCUGAGAUUGAAAAGAUACCAGCUUGGAAGGUAUGCCGUAUGCCGGCCCCUUGGUUUGUUACGGUCAAGCAUUUGACUAGUCCUAUAAUUUCCAAAGGCAGAACUGAAGCCUUUACUCUCAGUUUACAACCAAGAAUUAUACGUGGGUUAGCAGCAACUACAUGAACAACUGAUAAUUUGCUAUCCAGUUGAAACGAUGAUCUAUUUGUCAGAUUGUUAAUCUGGAUGAAUAGUGCCAUGGAAAAUUGAUGGUAAGGGAUGAUAUUCACUUUUACCAGACAAAGUUUCCUUUUCCUUUUAAGCAACUGCAAUUGACGAAUGAGUACCAUCAUGCACCAAACGAAAAGUAUAUACAAACCCUAAUUCGGGGACACUGAGAACUCUCUGGGUUAAAGAUAGUGGUGCUGAUGGCCUGUCCAUUUUCAUCAACUUGUUAUUGUUUAAGCCUAGGAUGACUAGGUUUCUUGAACUUUUGUUCUUGGCCUUCGUAUUUUUUUUUUUUUUUUUUUUUUCUAUACAAAAUUGUUCAUGGCGUUGUAUCCUCAAUUCUACAAAGGGAAUAUCAACAGCACAAAACAGCAAACAGAAAAGUAAGACUCAGUUACUACUCUCUUAGACCGUUUGGUCAAAUACACGAUAAAAUUGUUACAUUAAAAAGAGCAAAUAGUGUCAAGAAUUCAUGACUAGGAUAAUCUAGAAUUCAAGUCCAACUCCUGUUUUCAUUCCCUAGGUAUAUAUACAAGGUGCAGCAGACUAAAGGAUUGAUGAAACACGUUUAUCAAAUCAUCAGCCUUGCUCUUUAUACGGCGUCCAGAUCAAUUUGCCAACAUCAACCUCCAGACCAGCAGGACCAGCUGCUUUUAAGUGACGGUCCAAGACCUUUGGAUCAGCACAGAUGACAUGCUGCCCUUUCCUGUACUGAAUUAAUUCUAGACUCUGAAGAGUGGUCAAAAUAUCCUCUGCCUUGAUGGCAGUCAUGUCACUGAGCUCCUGCAAAACACAAACAUAGUUAACAUCAUUAUACAGUAUCCUGAAUUCAUUGUGAAUUUAACUAGAAAUAUUUGACAUUUCUUCUUGUAAUUUUUUCCCAUGGCACAAGCAUACUGACAUCAAAUUUUUAAGGUCCACGCAUAAUCAUGCAUGAAUGUAAAGGAGCGGAAACAGCAUUACUAAGGAUCUAUGGUUGUUGGAAGGAUGUAAGAGUGAGGAAAAACCAAAACACAUAUCGGAGUUCAAUUAUAAGGGAUAUAACCAUUUGGAAUUACGUACAGUGUAGAAAUCUAUUUUUACAAAGUGAAUAUGUAACUUUAUUAGGGAAGUUUAUAUAACUUGGCUGGUCUAAAUAUCCUAUAUCCUACCUAAUUCAUAGAAAUAAAACCAUUUUUAAGCUUGCAACUCUAAUGUUACAAAAGAACACUUGUCACAAUUUCCUAGUGUCCGGAACACUUCAAAAAUGAUCAGCAAAGUAGAACAAGCAAAUAUACUACAGGGAAGGUCUUGAUUAAAUAAGAGAGACAUGCUCACCUUGAUGGAAAUAUUUCCCUUAUGCUUCUUCAAGAUAUCUAGAAGCACCCGGGUCCAGUAUCCUCUGUAGCUUAAUAGUCCUAGGUCAGAGAGGGGUCUUUCGGGCGUACCAACUUUACCUUCUUUCUUUGAUAGUUCAUAUGCUGUUUCAUAUUUAGGAAACAUUAGUAAUUAUUUCUGGCAAAAUUGUUUGCUUUCAAUUCAAAUUAAGCCACAAGAACUAAAAAUUUUAAGAGACAGAAGCUUACAAAAGGCAAUUAGAAAUUUUCCAUAGCCUUUUCUUUGAUAAGGAGGAAGGGUAAGGAUACAUGCCAAGUUAUAGGACUCCUCCGAAUGUUUUUCCUGCAAGAUGAGAAAUGACAUUGAAUUUCAAGUUGAGUAGAAAGAUAUCUGACGAAACAUGAUCACACUGACAGAAAAUCAUCUGACAAGAAAUGGACAUCAGAGCUUCAGUCACUUCAAAAUUUCAGAACCCUGAGUGCUAUCUUCCCUCAUAUGUCAAAAGUUGUGCCAUGAGAAUUUCAUUGACUAUACCAUAAAUAAAAAUAAUAAAAAAAUAAAAAAGAAUAGGAUAGAAAUUCUACCAUAUAACACAAAGAAUUAUAACCAACUGCAACUUUUAUCAUAGCAACCUCUGAAUCAGAGAUAACACAAAACCAACUCCUAUACAAGUAGAUAAGGAUGGGAAAAACUCGGGAGUUAUCAAGAAAGUUAUAAAACCCCCAAUACAUCCAAUACACACACACGUGUGUGUGUGUGUGUAUAUAUAUAUAUAUAUAUAUCAUGGCAACAGUGCAAAAGGCUACUGAAUGUACUAUAAUAAUAAUUGAUAGGGUUAUAUUAUAACAUGCAGUGCUUGGUUAUAAGACUCAAAGCAUUGAGGCACAAGAAUAAUCAUCAUGCAAUACACAGCUACUAAACCAAGUAUCAUUGUAUGUAUAUGGCAGUAAAUUAUGCAGCAAUUAAAGAUGAGCAAUGACAGCAGACAAUACCUUUGAAAAAUAUCCAACCAUAUGGCAUCCCCGAUCAUCACAUUCACAUAGAAUGUAAAAUAGAAAGAGGUCAACAUCAUAGUACAGGGUCUUGUGAUCAAGAAACAGCUUUGCUAAAUAACAAAGGUUCUGUCCAUAAACCUUGUUCUUUUUACCAUCAACCUGAUUCAAAACAUUUUAAAAAAGCAAGUUAUAUCAACCACAAACUUGACUUCUGCAAGGCUGCAAAUAUAUCCAAAAACAAUUCAAGACUGAAAAAAUAAAGAGUAUGAAAGGAUGGUUAUGCAGUAUUAAAGUGUUUCAAAAUCAAUCGCAAAUUACAUAAAUCAUACACACACACACAAUGGGUUUCUUUAGAACUUAUCACCGAGAUAUUGUGCAGAUAUGCGGCAACUAACCUCAAACAUAGAAAGCGUAUGAUUCCGGUAUAUCUCAUCACCAGGAGGAUGCUUAAGAUCACACUUCCUCUGUAUACAAAGACAAGAAAAUGUAUGAUAAAUAAUGUUAACUACAAAAAGUUUUACGAAAGCAAGUGAACUUAAUAACAAAAAAUAUUAACCACAGGCUCACUAAUGCAUGAAUCUCUCUUUACAAACAAUUGUAAGCAAGGCAAAAUAACAAAAUUUGAGAGAGCUCACCAUAUGCCUCUGAAGCUGUUCUUUACGCUUCAUGAAAUUGAGACAAAACUCACAGAAGUACAGCUUCCCCGAGUCAUUAUAUUCUGGUGGAAACGGCGAGAAGUACCAUGUCUCAAUCUCAUAUCUUCCAAGUUCUAUAGUCGCUAUAUUUUUCACUUUAGUAAAUUCUUCAUGUUCACGUAAGCUAGCAGCAUCAAGUUCCUCAUGCCCCUAUAAAAAUACCAAAACACAUGAAAUAUAAGUUCACAUUUAGAGUCUCUCAUUAAAGCCCUACCUCACAGAUAUUCCGAUGUUACUAACUAGUAAUGUAGACAACUUCCACACAGAAUUUUACCAUAUACAUACAUAUAUAUAUAUAUAUAAAGCACUUAAGUUAUCCAAAUUGUGCAUACCUCCACAUGGGUCUCAUCAAUCUUACGCUUCUGAUGGCGAGUCAUUUUCAAGCUUGUGACCUGAGCACAGUAAAAAUUAAACAAAGUUCAUAUAAGGAAUAUUUUGUGUGAAACCCAGACAUCAUUGAACGCUUUGGAAACCUCAGGGUACAAUGAGCAGUGCCAAAAAAUACUGAAGAAAAAAACUCUGGAAAGGGGGUGAAAUGAACAACAUUACCUUGUCCUCCACUUUCUCAUCAACAACAGCCUCUACUGAAUCAAGGUCAAGUUGAUCAAGUUUCACCCACUCAUCAAGCCUCCUAUUGACUGUUCAGAUAAACAAAAAGAUGACAAUAUCAAUUUUACAUUGAUCAAUUUGAUUAUAUAACCAGGAGCAGAAUAUGUUAGAUACUAUGCCAUCUGAGGGGGGAAAACAAUUCUAAUAACGUUUACGCAAUAAUUAAGAUAUCAGGUGACAGAUGUGAUGUUCUAUUGUAUCAAAACGAAUUGUAACCAAACUAGAGAUAAACAGAACGACAUGACCCAAACAAGUUUGUUGUGCUUGUCACACCUCUUGCAUAAUAUUUCUUCUCUAUGCCCAGAAAUCCCCCAAACCCACUUUGCAAGACUGGUGAGUCCUGCCAUAGCCUACAAUCUUCAGGUGAACCGAAACUCUAGCAAUUAGCUAAAUGGUACCUUAAGGGGGAUCAGACACGAGACCCCAAGGAAGUUUCUACCUUAUGAUCCACCAUACCUGACAAAAGUUCCUUUGAUCUUUGCUUCCACAUCCAUUAUUCUCAAACCAUCUCCAUUUUACUGGCCCAACAGUCCCUAAUCAUAGUGAAUCUAUAUCCAAGUUACUGUUCUUACCUAUCCAAGGGUCGACAACCUCAUUAAUCAGUUCCUAAGAUUUUCCAGAGAACUCGAGAUAAAGGGUAGUUCUUUCUUUCAGUAUUAAGUGCAAUUAAGUGCAUAAUUCCACUCCUCCUAUCCUAAGUGCCAAUUAAGUUUCUUUUCAUCCCCAACUCCGGAAACAAGUCAUCAAUUCAUCACACAUCAACUCAGCCAAAUAGGAAGUUCAUCAAAUUGACCAAUGUCUGUUAACUACUACAAAAUAAACACCAAAUUGACCAAUACGAAAUACAAAUUCUCCCGAGUAGUGACCAAUUAUACCCAAACCAGUACCAAUUUCGCUAAAAUUUCAAAAUCGAAAAAAACCCUAACCCUAAUUGGCAAAAUCAAGCGAGAGAAAAAAGGAUCUUACACUCGGUAUAGUGAACGUAAUACUCGUAAUCGUUGGGUCCGCCGCCGUGAACCCUCCGGCGCUCGAUGACCUUGACUCCAUGGUACUUGUUGUCCCUCCAACGACACAGGACGCUCGUGCCGACCUCCAAAGGAAGCAGGGACAUCCUCCGCUUCUUCGACGCUUCCGAUUCCGGCGUCGUCACGGCGGCGGAGGGAGGAUAUCCAUCGCCGGUGUGAGGCUUGGUGUCGCCGUCGUAUGUGACGGUGGCGCCGUUGGGGGUAUCAGAGCCGUUUUCGGGAACCGGAGAUGUGCCUAUCGAACCCAUUGUCGGUUUAGCCAAAAACCCGAGAACAAGGGAAUUAAGAAUGAAACCUAGUGGGCCUGACCCAUAAACUGAGCUGGCUCGUGUUAUUGGGCUUGAACAUUAAAUACGAUCUCCAAUUUUUGAUCUAAAACUUAUUACUAAAUUACAUCGGAGUUAAGAGAUGUGAAAUCUACACAUUUUAAAUUGAAAUUCACACAAUUUUUUUUUUUUUUUUUUUUUGGUAAAAACAUUUACAAAAAGACAAAAUUUAAGUCAUUAAAAGAUAAAAUUCAAGUUACCAAAAAAAAAAAGGAUGUGUGGAUUUCACAACUCAUUAACAAAAAGUUACAUAAUUUUUUUUUUUGGACAAAAGUUACAUAAUUACUUUACAAGCAUGUCACCUUACCCUUAGAUCGACGGUUAAGGGUGUGAACCGCCAUACACAUAGUAGCGCAAUAUAAACUCAGUCCAAUGGAGGGCCGGGUAACCCCAAGAGAGGAACUGGUGUACUUGUUGUACUCUUGUAAUUUUUUAGUAGAAAGAGUUGUUUGGCGCUAUCUUACAGAAAAUAUUUUAGGAAAAUCCUACAACCUUGUGACAGCUUAUAUAUAGCUAAACAAGGAUUUGCUAAUUUUUAAAUGUAAUUCAAUCAAAUUAAGUUGAUUGAUUUUCAAGUGAACCUACUUUCGACAAUAUAUGGUUUGUGCCACAUUGGCCAAAUUCUCUGGGGAGAUGCUUUUUGUGGUACACAAAUAUCAUGUGGUACACAAAUUUAGAUUUUUGUUCGAAAAUUUUCAAUGUAAACGAGUUAGGAUUAAGGUCUUUUAAUUAGAAUUGAAUUCUUUUUGAAAUCAUCUAUUACUCAUUUGAAAUGGUGAAAUAGGGUAACACUGUAACAGAUUUCCCAACUUAGUCCUAUGAAAACAAGGACACGGAAAUGACACGGAAAAGAACAAAAGGAAAAACUUGAAAAAUCUCGGAAUCCUUAUCCUCCAAGGAAAUGGAAAGAGUUAUCAACGACUUGUUUUUUUCAUUAUAAAUACUACCAAUCUCACCACCAUAAUCUCACACCUUGCUUAAUUCGCUUCAUCCAAUCUAUCGAUUCAAAGCAGGUUUCUCUGUACUUGUCAAACGGUCAUGGCCGCAGCAGCAGUUCUGUGUGGAAACAAGAGGUCGUUCUUAUUCGAAGAAGAUGUGUACCCUUCAUCAAUUCAUCUACCCAAAAGACUUCGAUGCUCUUCUUCUCCUACGGUUCCUCCUCAACAUAAUGUCACUUCACUUCGUCGUCUAGCUGAGGAAACCAAACCUGAACGUUUCGGAAAGAGAGCGAAGCUGACUCAUGAGAAUCUGAGCAAUGUGGAGGAAUGGGUUGAGCUGUUUGUUAGAGAGAUGAGCAGCGCCACCAGCGUCGACGAUGCCAAGUCACGUGCUGCAAAGGCGCUAGAGGUCUUUGAGCAUGGGAUCAUGUCACGUGCUGCCGCCGAGGCUGAGGUGGUAGCCGCCCAGAAGGAGGAGCAGAAUAUGAUGCUGAAACAAGAAAUCCAAGAAAUAAAAAAGGAGAAUAUGAUUCAGAACGAGCGUCUUAAAGAAUAUCAGGGCCGAAACCAAGAACUAGAAGUUGCCAACUAUGGCUUGCAACUGCACCUCAAGCGAGCUCAAUGCAACACCUCCAUCCCUCUAAGUUUCCAUCCUCAUGUCUUUUGAUGGAUUUGAUCGAUUUUGAUUUUCUGAAUUGUGAUAUAUAUAUAUAUAUAUAUAUUAUUUUUUUUUUCUAAUAAGGAAGCUUAAGAGAUAUGCUAUGUACUGUAAAUGUUUGAUAAAAGAAAGGAAAGGCUGAUUGAAUGCCGAUCGAGAUCCUUGAUUUGAUAAAAGAACUUCUGACUGUUACAUAUAUUGUAAUGAAAAUUUUCUUUUUGGGAAGCAUACUAUUGUUAUUUCAACAAGACUACUAUUUCGCUUAACUUCUUCGAUGGCCAACAAUAGGGUCAGAUCGAUCAAAAGAUGAGUUCAAAAUGAACAAAGUAACGAGAAAACAGUAAGAAGCCACCAGUGGAAAUAAAUAACUCAAAUAAGCGACUAGCACAGCUUGUUUGUGUUGCUGUAAACGUCCAUUUCUAGAUUCACUUAAAAGUACCCCUCUACUAUUUUGCAUUGAACAAGGCAUAAAUUGCAUCAUCGACGAUUAGUUAAGGUUCAACAGAAGUCAGAACUGUACAAACUUCAUGCUCAAGAAAUCAAUCAUACAACUUGUAAUUUAAGCUUUCGACUAUAUGUGUAUGUAUAUAUAAUUAAUUGAACUUGCAAACAAGAAUGGGGCUUUCUUAUACAAAGCUCUACCAAUGUUAUGAAACUACUGCACCUCAAGCAAGCUCAGUGCUAUUCCGGCUGUACCAGUUUUAUCAUUUUUCUGCUUGUUGUCCAUUGCUGGUGUUGUUGGCUCUGCCAAUCAGUUGAAGCAAAGAAAACAGUUGGAGGUAUUCGUGUAUGUAAAUGUUGAUGAAAGUGAUAUGAGUAUACAUUUAUACACUCUUUUGUAGGGAUGACAAUCAUGACAUCAAGGUAUGGUAUGCCUAUAUGUGUAAAAGCAUUGGGGUGGAAGAUGGUCAUUAAACAACCACCAUUUGAUUUUUUUUUUAAUAAUGAAUAAUAAUAAAUAAAUAAAACAAAAAAUAUGGUUUACGUAAAUAGUUAUUAGUUAGUAAGCAUUUUUAUAAUUAGCUGACUAAGAAUAUUCAUGUAAUUUACAUACUGAUGUUGUGACCCUUAACCUAAAAAAAAACUAACGUACUUUGUUUUUAGUUAGUAAAAGGCUCUAUUUUUAUUAUCACACUUUGGUCAUCUCAUCGGUCUUAGUUUUUUUUUUUUUUUUUUUUUUUGUCUAUAUGAUCAUAUCACUUGUGUACAUUUUCAGCCAAAUCGGUGAUCGUUAAGGUAACGAACUUGAUAAAGGACGAACCAAAUCUGUCAAACAUUAACUGUUCAAGUUCAUGAUUCGUAAAUCACAGUUACAAAUACCUUAACGAUUUUUAAUUUAGCUGAAAAAUUACAGAAUUGAUCUACUCAAAUACCUAUAAACUGAAUGAUGAAGAUGUUGAUAUACGAUCGAAAGUGGAUGGACCAAUAAAGUCUUCAACUAGUGCUCAUUAUAGAGGUACUCAAUCCUCAUUAAAAUGGGCUUCCUGAUUACAUAUUUAUAUUAGAGAUGGUUGUCUACUCAAUAAUAUACAACAUAUUCCCUCACUCGGUCGUUUCUCUCUUCUCUCAGUCUUUUUCACAACAACAAAAAGAGUUUUAAAAAACCAAAGUUCGCAUAGCAACUGUAGAAGGCAUCAUAACCAAAAAUAAAUGAACUUGUCUAGCUUUCACCGGUAUACAAGUUCGGGAUGAUGAAGAAUUUUAAAGACUAAACCAAUCAUAGAAUUACCUCUUCUUGAGUCGUGACGGCCCUUCUUCUCCUCUAUAGCUAUUUGCCAACUCGCUGUUAGCGUCACUUGACCCGAGUUCAACAUCAGAGUCUGUUUUGAAGACAGGGAAAGGUUAUGACCCAGCAGCAAAAGCAAAACUGCAUAAUGAAUUCUACAAUAUCCAGCAUUUAUCUCAAGUCCUAACCCAUUAAACACCAUAAUUGAUACUAAUAUAACAAAUGAUCAAGUCUCCGCAACAAAGAAAGAGAAAAGAUACAUGAUAGGAUACCUUUAUAGUUUAAUUUCAUACUCUCUUCAUUUGGUGGCAUUACUAGAUGCACUCCGCAGCUUUUCAGGGGACCCAUGCCAGGAUAGACGUCUGGAUGAAAACUAACUCGACAUCGAAAAGGUGGCACCGGUCGACGAUAACCAAACCCACUCAUAUCCAUUCCAUCGAACGGAAUAUAUUGCAGCCACGCACCAUGACUAACGACACUGUGUCUCGUCACUACUAGUACUUCGUCGAUACGAAUUUCGAAUUUAAAUUGUACAUGCCUUUCACAUAGAGCCAGUCCUGUUACUCCUGUAUUCUCCCAUUUGAAAUUAGGAAGGACUUCAAUAUCAUAUUCAUACAGUACUCUAUCCUCUUCCAAGCCCAUUCGACAGCUGAACCACUCUAGCAUUUCAUCACUUGCUGUAAACACAAUCCUGAAUUCAGACUUCUGAGAAGAGAGAAAAAGAGACAAGAGAUCGGCCUUCCCCUCAUGAUGAUGAUGAUUAUCAAUUUUAUCAUUCACUAACAAAGGUAGUUCCUUCUUGGCCUCCUCGACCAGAUUGCCAUACAGUCUCCAGCAAUAGGAAAAGUCCAGGUCUCUGAACAUUUGCGAUUCUUGACGUUUCAAAAUGCUUGAUAACUUUGAAAUCCUUUCCAAUGAUACGCAACCACUCACCUCCAAAAUUUCUAAAUUUGGUGUAAGUUCCGGAACCUCUUGAAGGUUCUUGCACUCUUUUAAAUUAAGCCUCUUCAAUACGAUUAAUUUGGCAAGUCCAGCGGGAAGACUCACAAAAUUGCUGAAUGAAAGAUCAAGCGUGUGUAAGGCGGGGGCAUGAUCAAGCGUCACAAGGAAACCACAGUCUGAAAUACUGAGGGAGAAUAGCGAAGGAAACGCUAAAUUGCCUUGAUCAGAGUCUGAUGAAAUUUGCUUGCCGUAAUGUGAAAUGUUUGAGUUGGACGCUUCAGGGUAUUCCACCUUAUUAGAACAUGGAGUUGGCGCCAGUUUUGGGCAACCUCCGAGUCCAAGAUUCAAUAGACGUUGUAAUUCAAAAAUGCUGAGCGGAAGAGUCGUAAGAUUUUCACAUCCGCGUAAGUACAGCUCUUUGAGAUUAUAGAGUUGGUGUCCAAUUGAUGAAGGCACUUCUGUGAUGGCAGUUCCAGAUACAUUCAUGCUAACCAAGGAUUCCAUCCUUCCCACAAUUUCUGGGAAUUUCUCCAGUCUCUUGCAGCCGCGAAAAGUAAUAUAUUUCAGAGAUUUCAUUUUGACUAUUCUUGGAAACAUCUUAAGGUUAUAGCAAUCGUUGAGAUCGAAGCGCACAAGGUUCUCAAGUGAUCCAACAGAAUGGUGCAACUCGGCUAAAUUUGUACAGCCCCUUAAAUUCAACCUCUCCAAGUUCGGGAACCUUCCAGACAAGUCAGGGAUCUCUGUUAAGAAUUUGCAACUUCUGAAGCUUAGAGAUUUCAAAUUUUGCAAAUUCUGCAACAAAAGAAAGGAAAAAGAUCAAAUGACUCCUCUUAACAAUUUUAAAAAUAUUGCAGCUCGUCAAAACAACAAAUGAAAAGUUAACAGCUUAGAAUACCUUGAGUCCUUCCCCAAGUCGUGAGAUGCGACUGUUUCGCAUAUUGAGCUCGACAAGUUUUUGGGGAUUGAAGUCGGAUGGUAAAGAUUGUGCUGGGAAUCCAGGCCAAUCAAGGAACCUCAACUGAUUUGGAAGAUAAUUAACCUCUCCAGAGAACCGUGCAUUGAUGUUUAUAAAAAGUUGAAGAUUUUUCAUCUUUUUAAAGCAUUUAGGACUCAAGCAUAUCUCAUCUUCUCCUGGUAGCUCUACUCUGAUGCCUUUAACGUGAUUUGAGCCCUGAUACGAUAUAAAAAAUGAGGAUUAGGAAAGCAAGUACUAGUACCACAUACGACUUCAAUUUUCACAAUUAGGAAGCUCUAGACACACACAAACACAUAGAAGGAUACAAAUUCUAUACUAACCAUAUUUUCAGUUAAAACACGACGAACAUCCUCAUGGAACCAUACCCUGCUACGCCUGCCUGCAUCUAUGGGUGACUCUUUAUGAACUAUAUCUUUUCCCAUUUCCUCCAGCAAGUCAUGCGUCCAAAUCCGACCAGUCUCGGUAUUUAUGAGGGCCUUUUCUUCAAGUACUUCAAGAGCAUGUGCCGGGUAGGGAUCCUCUAGUGCUUGCAUCACAUAGUCUUUUUUUUUACCUUUUAAGAAACAUGCAAUGUCGAGAAAUACUUCUUUCAAAUGAUCUUCCAAUGCACUGUAACUUGUUUCAAGGACCUUUUGGAUACCUCUGUUUGGAUAUCUUUUGUAAGAUUUUAAUACAUCAUGCCAAUGAUUUAUAUCCUUACCGACAAGAAGUGAACCUAAAAUGUUUAUAGCUAAUGGAAGGCAGUGAGCAACGCGUACAGCAGUAUCAAUUGGGAACUUCACACACUCAUCUGGAUUUUUGUUUCCCUUGAAGGCAUUCAAAAUCAAGAGGUUACGAGCUUCAUCGUCAUCUAAUGCCUUGGCUGUGUAUAUUGGGUUAACUUGGUGAGAAAUUAGCAAACCUUUAUCUCUUGUAGUUAUGAUAAUUCUGCUGCCACGACCAAACCAAUCCAGUCCUCCAGCUAAUUUGUCCAACUGGUUCAAUUCAUUCACAUCAUCAAGAACUAAGAGAACCCUUUUACUACCCAAUCUGUCCUUUAUCACCUGGAUUCCUCUAUCAGCAUCAGUCAUCUCCAUUUUCUGCCCCCCUAAGAUCUCAUUAAGAAGAUUAUUUUGUAGUUGAACUAGGCCUUGAUGGGGUACUGAAGCUGCUCUAACAUUUGCCAAGAAACACCAACCUUCAAACUUAUGGCGGAAUGAGUUGAAUAAUUCUUUAGCAAUUGUUGUUUUGCCUAUUCCUCCAAUACCCCAUAUACCAACCAUGCGAACAUCACUUCCUCCGACAUCUAAAAGCUCAAGCAGAUUUUGUACACGAGACUCUAUUCCAACUGGAUACUUUGCGACAUUUAAGCAACUACGUUUUGAUACUUGUGCUGAAAUCUCUUCGGCAAUCUUACUGAUGAAGUUAGCUUCGUGCCUGCCAAUUUAAAUUCGAAAAAUAUUUUAUCAGAUGCAACUUAGCGGCGAUAUUAAAAAUUGAAAUGCUCAGAUGUGGAAAUAUACCCGUCGGAGAAAGUCCACCCUAAUAUAUUAGCCGCAUCCCUCAGAGCCGUCCUCCAUCUUUUCACCUUGUCCAUGUUGUCUUUGAAUCUGAUCUCAUGUUUAGCUAGUGCCUCACCAUAUUUACCUUUCUGGCACCGUACAUCGGAGGCAUCCACUUUGUAAAAAAUGGGCCAAACUAGUUGCUGCUUCAACUCUUUACAUUUAAGGAUCUCAACAAGCUCAUCCAAACACCACCCUGAGGAUGCGUAGUUUUCAGAAAAGAUGAGUAUAGAAAUCUUCGAACCUUGAAUUGCCUUGAGAAGUGAAGAUGAUAUUUCUUCUCCUUUUCUAAGCUCUUCGUUAUCUAUGAAGGUUUUGAUUCCCUUCUGAACCAAAUAAGUGUACAAAUGGCCAGUGAAGUUGUUUCGUGUAUCACCUCUAAAACUCAAAAAGACAUCGUAUGGACAAGAACGAGUGAGAGGAGAAGAGGAAGGAGUACUUGAAUCCCUACUGAUAACCAGAGUCUUUGGAUCAGAGCCAUCGUACUUCUUCAGCUCCUCCUCGGUGAUCUCGUCGACCUGGACCUGCGGCGGCAGAGGGUGCAUCUCCUCCAAGCUCCUGGGCUGGUGGUGCGUAUCGGCCGGCCCAAAACGCCCAGAAACCAAAAGAUAAGUGGCCACGAGAAGAGCUAAGAGUGAGAAGAAGGUCGCGGAAGAUAGGUCCGUGUGUGCCACGAUUGCCCCCUUCAGUGUUUCCCAGAGUUGCAGAGCCAUUUUAGAGCGAUGUCGUUACCAAGCUUGAAAUGCUGUGUGGUGCACAAUGGAAAGUUGCCGUAGACUUGCUUUAGAAGUUGAGUAGAACCACCAGUCCACCACUUCAGUCUAAUAUUCUCUUUUGCUUGAUUUCAAAAGAGAAAGACACGGUUUUAUCCCAAAAAAAAAAGAAAAAAAGAAGAGAAAGACACGGUUGUCAAUAUUUGAUACGAUAGGACUAAUGAGUGUGAUGUUUGUGACCACAAGACAACUUAUUAAGGAAGAUUACUUGCUGUUUUUGGAUGGAGAUAAAAAGAAAAUUAAAAUGAGAUAAAUUCAUAAUUCAUAAACAUGAAUCUUGUUUGUUAUUUUAAACUUAAAAAUUAUGAACUUCUCAGUGGAAAGUAAAAUGAAGGAUUUGAUUGUAUUAAUCUUACCCUUUUUUUUUUUUGGUUCAAUGGGAAGGGAGAGCCUUCAGAAACUAUGGCAGAAGUACGUACAAGGUUGACAUUGCUGUAUAUGGCCAUGAGCACAGUUAUGCAAGUAAAAAUCCCAUUUACGAGGUACGUACUAGUACAACUUCCAUGCAUUGCUUUUCACAUUACUGUGCUACAUACUUGGGCAUGGAUAUUGUCAUGUUUUGAAUACUUACAGCACUCCCUGACCAAUUGAGUUCGCACCAAAUACUUGGUCCUUGUAUCUCACUAAUUGACCAGAGUCACCAGACGAUCAAUGUAACUUCGUUAUCAAAAUUCAACAGAAAAUAAUUUACAGAGAAAUAUAAAAAUCCAGGUUUUAGAUCGAGAAAAUGGAAUGACAUCGUUUAUAGUCGAGAACACCUGGGAAUUGAGAACGACGAUAACUACGAUUUAGAGUUGGAGCAAUUGGAGUACUAGGUUUAGGCCUUAUGUGGGCUAAAGCCCAAUUCCUUUUUGAAAGAAAAAGAAUUCACGUGGGCUUGGCGGAAAUGGGAUAGGGCUGCGCGGUCCAGGUUUUGUGGGCCUUAGGAGAAGUUCAAUGGGUUUCACAAUUUUUGGGGGAAGACACUAAAUGGGUGACUUUGGAAUUUGGUUCUGAAAUCCCAGCAACUGAGGAUUGGAUUGGAGUAUUUUCUCCCGCCUUUUUUAGGUAAAGUAGUGUUCUUUUCUUGACCUUUUUGCCUAAAUUUGGUUUCAGCUAAUAUUUGGACUUUUUGGUGUGAUUUUAUUAUGGUAUGGUUUUAGUUCUACCUGUCCUCAAGAAAAUCCAAGAGUUUAUCCUCCGUUUUGUGUUCUGCACACGGUUUGUUAAAUUUAGCACUACUUAUUUGCAGUCACCUUGUUUUCUGUACAUUGCUUCGUUUGCUUUAUAAGUGAAAAAGUAUGCAAAUUACUCCAAUCAUGUUUCCUGAGUACAAGGACACCGGAAAAGGCUUCUUAAAGCUUCAGCUAAUCUCUUUCUCGCUGUUUUCUGGUGGUUUGUUGAAUGUAUGCUAAAACUUGGCUUGCAGUGUUUAUGCAGUUGAACUUUUUGGUUUGAUGAAGCUGCAAUCUUGUAAUUCCUUCUUUUGUGUGGUAGCCGAAGGUCGUGGCAAUCUCAAACGUUAUAGCUUUCUCAGACUUUUGAUCAUCAUAGCAUGUGUGGUCUGUAACUUUUUUGUAACCCACUACUGGAAAAUAGCUCUUAGGCAAUGGAAUUAAAAAAUUUUGUUUCCUAAGUGGUACUUAAGCGACGGAAUUUUCUACUUAGGCGACGAAACAGUUUCCAUCUCCUAAGUUGUUCUUAGGAGAUGAAAUAUUUCGAUUUCCUCUCCUAAGAACAACUUAGGAGACGAAAUUUCAUUCCAUCGCUUAAGUACUACUUAGGAGACGGAAUAUUUUUACUUAGACGACGGCAUUUUGAAAAAAUAAAAAUUAAAAAUUUAUAUAAAUCACUUAGGAGACGAAAUUACAUUCCGUAGCCUAAGUAGAACUUAGGAGACAGAACUGUUUACUUAGGAGACGGNNNNNNNNNNNNNNNNNNNNCGCUCUCUCUCUCUCUCUCUCUCUCUCUCUCUCUCUACCAUCACUCUCAUGCCGGCCUCUCUCUCCAUUCUCACCGCUUCUUCCUCCGCUGUCACCUUCAACUGCAUCACCCCCACCAACGCCACCUCCAACUGCCACGCAUUUAUCGACUUCGUCCUCACAAACACCACCACUCUCAACGGGCUCAAGACCCUCUUCAACAUCACCCGGCCACCUCCGCACUCUCCUCAGAGCCAACAACCUCCCCUCUCGACCCGACUCGACUCACCCGUCCCCGCCGCCAGCAAGCUCCUCGACCCCUUCUCUUGCACCAAGCCUCAUAUCUGGGUCACCACAGACGCCGCUACCACCACCUUUCUCUCUCUACCAAGCCUUCCCACCGACCCACCACCGUCCCUCGAAAUUUCAAAGGGGUAAGAAAUCAAGGUAAGUUCUUCAAUUUUUUUGGUUUAAUUAGCAUUGGUGAUAGAUUUAUGUGUUUUUGUUUAAUUUGAUUUUGAUUUUAAUUUUGGUUAGGAUGUGAUUGGUAUGAUGGUGGUGGCAUGGUGAUUAUUUGGUACGGUACGGUGGUGGUAUAUUUGGGGCAGAUUGUUGGUAUAAAAUUGAAAGGGAGAUAAUGUAUAGAAGUUUACUGACCCCCAGUAGAAGUUUACUGAGGGGCAGUAAAUUAACUUCCACUGGGUUUACUAGGGGGCAAUGAGUUUGUUUAUUCGGGUAAAAAUGGGUAUAUGUUGUGUAUAAUUGACAUGAAAUUGAAAAGGAGAUAUUAUAUUGAAUUUUACUGACCCCCAGUAGAAGUUUACUGCCCCCAGUAAACUUCUACUGGGUUCACUAGGGGAUAAUAAAGUUGUUUAUUAUGGUAAGAAUUGGUAUUUGUUUUGUGUUGUGCCCCUGAAAUUGAAAGGGAGUUAUUUUUUGCAAGUUUACUGAUCCCCAGUAGAAGUUUACUGGGGGGCGGUAAAUUUUAUUUUUUCCAUAUGCAGUUUAUAAAUGCAAGUUUUUACUAUUUAUAUAUGCAGGAUGAGAAGAAGUUCAAGACAUUUAGUUGUGACUUUUAAACCUGCGGUGGUGGUGGUAUCUCGGGUGGUCGGAGUGAGUGGAUAAAAAGCCUGCGGUGGCCUUUUUUUUAAAAAAAAAAAAAAUUCAGCCUUUAGCAACGGAAUACAACUAUUCCGUCUCCUAAGUGGAUAAUAUUUUUUUUUAUUAUAAAAUAAAAUCGGUCGCCUAAGUGUUUAAGAAACGAAAGUAUUCAGUCUCCUAAGAACCACUUAGGUGAUAGAAUUUUAGAUUUCGUCGCCUAAGUGUCUACCUCACCACACUUAGGCGACGGAUCUUAGCCAACGGACGUUCCGUCUCCUAAGUACUUAGGAGACGAAAUAAUUCCGUCUCUUAAGUAAUUUUUUUCAGUAGUGACCUUUUUCUAUUAUGAAGAAAAUAAUUCACAUAAAUAUCGAACUGUCUAACUAUUAAAGGGAAGAUAAAUUUAGUGUCUCAUAAUGGUAGAAACAGUUGCUUGUCUAUCAUCUUUGCUGCCAAACAUGUCUGACUAUUCAUAGCACAUACUAUAAGAGCUUAUGAAUUCUCAAAGAUCAAUUGUAUAUAGUUAAUUAGCUCCUCUUAUAUAAUCUGUAGGUUUACAGUCUAUGUUGUCAAUGUACAUGUGCAGGUGUACCUGCAAGAACAGUGGGAUGGCGUGACCCUGGAUUCAUACGCACCAGUUUUCUGAUGGAGUUGUGGCCCAAGGGGAGUGUAGGUUGAAGUUUUGUAUAUGAUUCUCUUAAAAAAUGAGUGAGAUUUAUUGAUACUUACUAACUACAUGAUUUUAUGCAGGUAUACAUACAAGCUGGGACAUAGAUUGUCUAAUGGUACUGUUUCUACAAAGACAUGAUAGAACGUAAAAACACAACAUCAUUUAUAGCGGUUCAUCAUGCCAUCGGAGGGCAUAACUACGUCCACUUGAAUCUACUAUCAUGAGGUCUCAAUGCCUUUGGUGUUACAAGUGUGAGGUAGUGAAGUUGGGAUGGAGUUGGAUCAGUUGAGAUCCUUUCUACAUAUGGGAAGCCUUCUUUUUAUAGCUGAGGAAAGGUUCCCUCACAUUACAUGUUUCCAAUGUGGGACAAGGUGCACAUAUAUCUUCUCAUGGUGUUUUCUUGUGGAGCUUCGAUGAGCACCUUCCCGAUGUGGUAUUGAUGAUCCAUCACCAUAAGGAGGUAACUCGGAUGUCGAUCUACCGAAUAUAUGUCGGGGAUGGGGCCCACCAUGUUAGAAUGGACUUAGCAUUAUAAGUCUUAAGGUAUGACAACUUCUAUAGAAAAACAGAAUGAACAUUGUGAGAUUAUUAAUUGCAUUAUCAUGAUAUGUUUAUCUAAAUGAAAUGGUUAGAUAAACAAUGAAAUACAUUUGAAUUAUCUUGUAUAACAAGAUAAUAGAGAUAGGCUAAUAUUGUGGUAUUUGUGUGGAACUCAAACUCUUUGAUGGUUAAGAGUUUGAGCUAUCCAAAAUGCAGUAUAAAAGGGGUCCCUGUGCACACUCUAACUUACGCCAAAAAUCUAGUCUCUUUCCAUCAGAGCUUUGGUACUUGAGUGCUGCGCAGAAGAUCUCUUUUGGAAGCUCCUACUCACCUCUCUUCAUCUCGAUGGCUGCCCUCAACAUUGAGCAAGGUACUACUUCUGUUCCUUGUGUAUAUAUAUAUCAGUACAUGUACAUAUAUGUUGCUAUAUGUCUGAUGCCAUGAUCUGAUGCUUGUUUCUGUGUUCUUGUUUAUAUAAAUGUGUUUAUGAUAAGUGUUUUGUCUUUAUGGUUUUAGUCUAAUACACCAUUGUCGGAGCACGGCGUAUGAGGUCGUUGAUUAUGCUUGGUGGGAUAAGAUAUUCAUUGUAUUUACAAGUUUCCUGACUGGUCUAUGGGAGAGAAGGUAGUUCCUUACUACCGACUACAGACUACAGGUACAUAUAUAUGGAGUCAAGAGUAUCAGAUUAAAGCAUCUCCUUAUCCUGGUAUUCUUUACAACGUGUAGUCAUUUUCGGUGACAUGGUUUGAACUCCCUUUGGAACAUUUACAUGCUGUAUUCAGAAUCUUGUCCUCCUUUUCAUAACUAUUAACCCCUUUGCGUUCUUCUAAAUAAUUGCUACAUUGUUCAGUGCAAAUGUGGAUUCGCAAACUGUUGUUAUCAAUGGGAAUCACUUUCAUGUAGCUUCUGAUUUGUUCCAUCUACUAUUUCACCAUGCAGGAUGAAGCUGAUGGUUUCAAUGAAUAUAACAGUUUCCAGAGAGGAGUUCUCAACACUACUGAGCGGCUUAUUCUGUACCUGAAAACAUAGAUAGUCUUCCAUAUUGGAGAUAUAUCUUAUGGAAAUGGUUACCUUUCACAGUGCGACCAUUUUACUGCACAGGUUGAGCCAAUAGCAUCAAGUGUUCCUUACAUGAUUGCAAGGUAUCUCAUUAUUUGAUACAGAAUUGAUUGGCAAGAGUUCCUCUUUCUCUACAUUUGGAUUUUUAUUUUGCUUUCAGAGGCAACCAUGAACGCGACUGGCCAGAUCCGGUUCAAUUUAUGGGAACAAUGAUUCAAGAGGAGAAUGCGGUGUGUUGGCUGAAAAUAUGUUCUAUGUUCCCACCAUGAACACGAUAAGUUCUGGUAUGAGAGUCUAUUUGCAUUGUCAUUACAAUUUACAACCCUAAAUUGUUUAUGACCAAGAUUAUCAUGGUCUUAUAAUGCUAUCGAUCCAGGUACUCCACUGACUAUGGCAUGUUUCACUUCUGCAUAGCGGACACAGAACAUGAUUGGAGAGAGGGAACAGAGCAGUACAAGUUCAUUGACCGCUGCUUAGCAUCAGUCGAUAGGCAGAAGCAACCAUGGCUCAUUUUUUUCUUGCACGUCGAGUACGUUCUCGGAUAUUCUUCUUGCAUCUCUUAUGCAGAAGAAGGAUCAUUUAAUGAACCGAUGGCAAGGGAUAGCCUUUUCAGAAGCUAUGGCAAAAGUAAAAGGUUGACUUUGCCAUUUAUGGCCAUGUACAUAACUAUGAAAGAACAUGUCCCAUAUACCAGGUAUAUCUUUCCUCAUUGUGCAAUCACCAUUUACAACCCUCAUUUCCAUUUAAUCUAGAUUUUAGUUGGUUUUAGUGAUGCAAGUGUUAUUAUCCUCAUGGAACAGAAUAUAUGCACAAAUGAACAGAAGCACUACUAUAAGGGCAGCUUGAAUGAAACAAUACAUGUGGUUGCUGGUGGUGCAGGAGCAAGCCUAUCAACUUUUAUAUCCCUUCUAACCAAAUGGAGUAUUUUCAAAGACCAGGACCAUGAAUUUGUCAAGCUCACAGCUUAUGAUCAUUUGAAUUCGUUGUUCUGAGUACAAGAAGAGCAGGGAUGGACAGGUGUAUGACUCUUUCAGAAUAACCAGAGAUUAUAGGGACAUAUUGGCUUGCACAGUUGAUAGUUGACCAAGCACGACGCUGGCGUCAUGAACUGGUUUAAAAGUAAAUACUUGUAACAGCAAUAUUCCAAUGUAUAUGGCUAUAUGCCAAGCAAAAGUGCACAAUUGAGUGACAUAGAACUCGCAAAGUUGAACAUGUGUUUGUACAAAUGAGUCUGAGCUUGGAACAAGUCCCUUGCUUCAUUAGAAUCCAUAAUUUCUCUUCACCUUGAGAAAUGGCUGAGCUUGUAUAUAUAAAAACUUCUGAUUCCAAACAAUCAAGGAAGAAAAGAAAUCUCAACUCUGCAAAAGUCCAUAAGUGCGUUGAUUCCAUUUCUCUGAAGUGUCAAUAAUGACACAUCUUUAAAAUAUUGCUAAUUUUUCCUUCAUUCUUAUCCCUUAUUGUGGUUGUUACUCUCAAUCGAACCCAAGAUCACAAAGUAGGGUCAAUUAUUUUGUGCCACAAAUUAACUACACUGGGUUUAUAGCACCCAAAAACAACCCAAUCAUUCACAGCAAACUACAGCGACAAACAUGUAAGCCCCAAACUCAUCUACUCAGAUUCAAUUCGGAAAUAGGUUUCCAAUUCUUAAAACCCAGAUUGCAAGCACAAGGUUCUAUUGCAUUCAACAACACAUUUCUCCAUCAAGAGUGCAAAAUCAAAAGGCAUAAAACUUAAACACAAUGACUGAUUUCGGAUUCAAAGACAAAAGGCAAGACAUAAAAUUGUGGAAAAUAAGCCACUUUCAUUCAUAACAUAAACCCAUUACAUAACAUUAAGCUUCGGAUCUACAUCUCUAAACAACCAUCAGUACUAAACCCUAACAUUUCAUCGAAACCCUUAAUUCCAAAGACCACUCAAACUGUACUAAACCCUUCAAUUCAAGCUCAAGCACGCUCACCCCUAAUGCGCCUCGCCAGCUGAAUAUCUUUCGGCAUUAUCGUAACCCUCUUGGCAUGGAUGGCACACAGAUUGGUGUCCUCGAAGAGCCCGACGAGGUAAGCCUCCGCCGCCUCCUGCAGCGCGGCCACGGCGGAGCUCUGGAACCUCAGAUCAGUCUUGAAAUCCUGAGCGAUUUCACGGACGAGGCGCUGGAAAGGGAGCUUGCGGAUGAGGAGCUCGGUGCUCUUCUGGUACUUGCGGAUCUCACGGAGCGCGACGGUUCCGGGCCUGAAUCUGUGGGGCUUCUUCACUCCGCCGGUGGCCGGAGCUGACUUUCUGGCGGCCUUGGUGGCCAGCUGCUUGCGUGGGGCCUUGCCUCCGGUGGACUUGCGGGCGGUUUGCUUGGUACGGGCCAUUUGGGGAUUUGAGGAUUUGGGAGAUUUAGAUUUCUAGGGUUCUCAGAGAGAUUGGGAAUUUUGAAAUUGAAAAUUGGUAGUGGGAAUUUGAGUGGGUUUAUAGUGGGAGUGUGGUGGGAGAGAUGUAAUCGGGGCCGUUGGUUUGAUUUGGGAACAGACGGCCGUGGGUGGGUUUGGGUUGUUGUGGUGCGGAUCGGUGACGUGGCGUGUUUGUUCUACGGGUGGGGGAGCGCGGGGUUUAAAAUUUGUGCGGGAAGUGUGGAUUGAGUUUGGCCGUGGAUGUGGUUUGGAAUGGAGGGGUGGAUUUGCUGAGAGUGGUAAAGACGCGGAUCGGUGAUGUGGCGAGUUUGGCGUUGCGAAAUGGAGAUAAAUAUUAUGGUGGGUUAUGGUAUAUGGGCUUUUUCUGUGAUUGUAAUACAAAGCAUGUACUUCGUGAGAUACGCUUUUCACCUAAUGGUAAAAAUUUAAGAUGCAGUGAGUUCUAACACCAAUUCAAAAUGAAUUGGAAGAUAUUCUACUCCAAUCCCUUUUUAAUAUUGGGAUUUCUAAAUGGUUAAACUAAAUUAGAUCAAUUCAAUGACAAAACUAUAAUUAGUUGAGAAAAUUAGAUAAAAACCCAAAAUAGUAGACAUCUUUUAAGAUAAACUCAUACAUAUUUUUUUUAAUUUUACACCCACUCCACAUAAGCAAACUUACCAAAUAGAACAAAUGUCUAUAAUUAAUAUAUUUCUUCAUUUUUCUGUUUCUCUGAUUUGCCCUUCAGAUGGUAGAAAGCCAAAUUUGGUGUCUCUCAAUUUUAGCAUCAAUUUGAAACUCAAUACUGAGCUAAAAUUUAGUUGGAUUUAACUUUAUCAUAGUCAAUUACAUUCUUUAAUUUCUUACAUUGUUAUUACUAAUUACUUGAGUGUGUGUAUAUAUAUAUGUUAUAUACAGAAGUAUGUCAUUUGUAAUAGAAUGAUUCUUUUCAUUCCUAAGCUCACAUUUAGUGUCUCUCUACAUUGCCAAAAAGUGUCUAAUUGUAAGGUAUAUGUUCUUGUUCUUUGAUUAAUUUUCUUCUUUUUAGGUAUAUGAUCAUUUCCCAUCAUGAUCGAGAAAACAUUUUACUCUCAACUACUUACAUUUCUAAUGUACCUAUUAAGUAGGGUAUGAUAUGAUAAUAUACCUAUAAAGAAGAAAUUAAACCCAAAAUUGGGUUUAGGGUAUAGGGUAUAGGGGUUUAGGGUAUAGAGUUUAGGGUAUAGGGUAUAGGGUAUAGGGGUUUAGGGUUUAGGGUUUAGAGUUUUAAAAAUCAAGUUCUUUGACAAAUUAACUAAAAUGGUUUUUCAUCAUAAAAAUCCACAUGUUAAAAUUUGAAUGGAAUGAAGGGCCACAUCAGAAACCAUAUAGUCCUACGGUAAGUCGGUAACACUGUAAAAUUUAUUCAUUUUACUCUUAUAAUAAGAUAUUUUAUUUAUAUUAUAUUCUACCUUAUGUAUAGAUUAAAUAAUGAAUUCCUUUCAUCUAGAUUUUUUCAUAAAAAUAAAGAAAACUACAUGAUUCUUGCAAAUUGAUUGAAAAAUGUUAGUGUUAGAAGAAAAACUCAUAAUCAAAGUAUUUAAGACAGCAUCAAUUAAGCUUAUUUAUUAUGUUUAUAUAUUAUAGUUGAAUGGUGACAAUUGUGUAAAAUUUAAAAAAAAUAGGACAUAAUAUGUAUGAUAAUUGAUACAUUUUAUAUGUCUAUCAAAUAGAAAAAUUAGAUGAGUUUAAUUUAAAACCACUCUUUAAAAUUGGGUGUAUAUGAAAAUCUCUCUAAUUAGUUAAAGAGAGCCUUUAAUUAAUCACGAUUAUAGAUGCUCAAAUGACAUGAUCUUUCAUAGUUAAACUAAGAAAAAUAGAUGAUAUCUUCUGUCUUGUGUCUUCUUUACAGGCGAAGCAGCCCUAGUUGCCAUUUCCCACGAAAAUACAUAAGAGACGAUAUAAUCUUCUAUCAGGUAAUCGCUUCAUGAGCUUCCUCCAAAUCGCCAUAAUCUUUCAAGGAAAUCAAGGUCUCGGAAUAACUGUACAUACCUAGUAGAAAGGUCUUGGCAUAACAAUUGUAUUUUACAGUAUUGAUGGAGCCAGAUCUUAGAUCUAUGAAGAAAAAAGAGGUUUCCGUUAAAUCGUAAUCCAUGAAAAAUAUGCCAUGCUCGCAUUCCCCCCAAAAACCAUAAAGCUGAAAAGGAAAACCGGCUGGUAGUUCGUUACCGUAGUAGUAUCUCACCCAUUGUUUUUCGUCAGAAUCUUUCAACACCCAUACCUCCAUUAUUGUAUCUCCUAUUGACCGAGAAAGCUUUGUCACCGCACUGGCCAAACAUCCUCUUAGAGAAAACAAACGGAUAUUCGAUUCCAACAGAACAAAUGCGGGAGGAGUAGGGGUCCAAUAGAACUCUUCUCUCCUGAAGUCAAAAGAGACUACUCUACGAUCUACUAUUCUACUACGAUCACGUCUUGUUGCUCUAACUCGUAUCGAUGUCAACCAUACCGGCUUGUCGUUUAUGCAGCUUAACUCACAAGGAGGGAGUGAGGAUGUUUGUCGCCACCAGUUUGUGCCCAAUACAAGAACAUGUGUUGUCAUAGAUUUGGUUUCAUCAUGACUACUAACACAUACGAUCUUGUAGGUAUUGGUUUCAUCAUCAAAUCCCAUACCAAACAGAAAAUCGCUCUUUAGUUGGGCAAAACUAGUUUUCGGCAAUCGUUGAAGUCCCAUUUCUCCAAGAGGAUUGACUAACAUGCAAUCUCCAUUAUUGGAUCCCAAGCAAAACAAGUUGCAGAAAACAAAACGCAGAAAGCAACGAGUGGAUGACGAAAUAGUAAUUGAAUGUAAAGGUCCUAGAGGGGGGGUGAAUAUGUCUUUUCUAGAUUUUCGUUAACUUUUAUAUACGAGGAUGGAUAACAAUAACUUGUGCUAUCCCAGAUUCACAGGAUACGAGUUUGCAGAAGAUAAAUUGCAUCAAAUAAAUAAACAACACAAAGAUGAUUUUUACUCACAGAAACCCUGAAUGCAGGGAGAAAAACUACGUGUCUGUAACUAUUGAGAGAGAAAGCUUUCCACUAAGUUGAAGUAACUUCUUACAAGAAUAAUAGUUCUAGUUAUACACUACCACAAUGUUAUCCUUCCUAGUCCCAAACUAGUCUAGACCUAUUUCCUCUCUUGUUUCUAAGUACUUACAACAUGGAACACUUUCAGAAGCCUUGUUCGUGAAUUCAGCUAACCACUAGCAGAUUCAACCUUAAACGCUUCUUGAGUUGGUUGCACUACACAUCUCUCAUGGUAUGCAACGUGAUAUGAGUUGAUGAAAGAAGUUUUGAGUUCAAGCUCUAAGGUUUAUAGUCACGAAGAAGACUUAGAGCAGUAUGAACAAUGCAAGCUAAAACUAGACUCAACAAUGAAAAUGCAAUAAGGCAAUUUUCAACAACCAUUGAGCAAAGCCAAAGCUAUAGAUAUAUAUAUAUAUAUAUAUAUAUAUAUAUGCAGACAAGGCAUCAAAGAUGAUGAAAGCUGACCUCAAUAUGUUUCAGAAAGGUUUUAGACAUAAGUGUUUGGCUACAAUAUCGAAACUGAUGUAACCAAAUGCAGAGUUGACACAAGCAACCUCAAUAAGACAAAGAUACAUUUCCUAAAACAUGAACGAUUCAAAACAUGAAGCAAAGAGGUUUCAAACCCUCUUACUCAGUCCAUUAGUGGACCUUGACACAGCCGAUAGCGACUGGUCUUUGAAUCACACAAAGACUAGCUAUGUAUAGGAUAAUGUAUCAUAAAAUCCAAGCUUGAGCCUUAAGCAUCAAACCAUUUGGUCACGGGUUGGCAUAACAAAAGAUCUCAACCCUUAGACUGGUUUGAGCGCCAAGGCACUUCCCAUAAACUCAGUUGUCCAUUUGAAUUUGAAAAACAGCAAAGACCUAUUAAACUAAUAUGACAGACUCUUUGAAAAUCAGGACAAACAAAAGACUCAACACUAGGAUAACAAGCGAAGCUGCUAACCUCUGUGAAAAACAUAUGAUAUGCACAUGCAUGUUUUACAUGAGACCAUAAGGGAUGUUAGUGACUUCUGCAACUUGUUCUUGUUCAUAUGACAAUAACUCCAAGUGUUUUUCAUGGUAAAAGAUUGCUAAUUAUCCUUAUACCUUCAGCAUGUCUGCCGUUUGUUGAGGCAUUGUCCUUGUAUUUCGGUGACUACAAAACCACUAAUGGAUGAUCGUGAGAGCAACAAAUAAGUCGAGGUACGUACUUGAUCAGCCGUAUGUGAACGUGUGUGAAGUGUAGAGAAGGAGAUGGUGUUCACCAUGUUUAACAAGGUCUUGGACACACAUUUUAUGCAACCUAUUGACAGUCUCAAAAGGAUAUCGACUAGUGUAUCAACCGGUAGCUCCAUGAGCUGAUUUUUCUUUGCAUCCCACUACUGCUUCUUUGUCUCUUCCUCGCCAUCAUAUCUCCAACAUAUUUUGUAUCCCCGAAUUUCUUUCAGUUCUGUUCCAACCCUGCACUCCUUUUAUAAUGCAUAUAUAUAUAUAUAUAUAUAUAUAUAUAUCUCACCUAUUUCGAUUUGGAGAGGAAAUCUAAAUCCUAAACUGAUCUGUGGAAAGGUAUUCUGUGACUUUGUUUGACUAAGAGAUGGAAGCAGGAUGAGGUACUUCAGACCUAUAGUUGCAUGACUGUUGAAUAGUAAAAAAAUAAUUAUUAUUAGAGACCAUACAAGAUUGCACAAAUGAGAAACUACAAACUUCACUGAGAACAUAUAGAGGGGAAAACAAAAUCGACACAGUGCAUUUUAGGCAUUAAUGCUCUGGUAUUCUGAUUCAAGACACAACUCAUUUCUGGAUUCAUAUUGUGAGGAUAUAUACACUAACUUCACAGAGCAGGCACAACAGGUGAUCAUUAUGCUUUUUAGUAUCUCGUACAUGGUUUACAAGCAGAGCUUCUCUUUACUCCUACAAAGACAUAAAUCGAUGCCUUCUAAUACAUGUAAGAACAAACACUCACCCACUGUACAAAUGGCUCUUUACAACAAUGACGCCAAAACUCCAAGUGUCAGUUAUGCACAGGCACUCAAAAUGCUGGCAAUGACAAAUUGGUCAGGUUAGAUCCCUGCAUCCAUCAUCUCACAGAAAACUUUAAGUGGUUUUAUUAGAGCCCUUUUGUGCAUAGCUUUUGACCAUGGAGGUCCAAGAGAUAACAUCCUUCUCUGCAUAUGCCUAAACAACUCAACUGCAUAUUUUAUUUCCCUGUAAUCGAAAAAAUAAAAAAAUAAAAAAUAGCACAUUGCCUACAAAGCUGAUAAAUCUAAUAUUCAGUCUGAACUAUCAGACAAUGAAUAUCCACUGCGUUUUUAACCUCUUCCAGCGCAGCAAAUGAGUCCAGAACAAAUUGACAUUUACAAUCAUCCACAUAUUUUCAGCGUUCGCUGUAUUCUAACUAUGUAAUCAUUGUGUUGUAAUGUGUUCCCCUUUCAUCAUUUCAGGUUUUCAACCUUUUUGUUGGAGGAACAUCUUCAGCUGUGCAACCACCCAUGUCAGGAGCAGCGUCGCCUUCGUACAUCUUUGCCAUGAUGGAAGUGUGGAUGCCUUCGACCUCCUUCACCUCGUCAUCAUAGUCUUCGGCCUUAGCAAGCUGAUUGCCAUCUAGCCAUUGAAAAGCUUGCUCGAUUGCAUCUCCAAUCUUCUUCUUGUUCCCUGCGUCAAGCUUGGCAGCAAUGUUUCUGAUGGUGUUACUCAUGAUAAUUGCAUAGUUCUCCAAGGCAUUCUUCGAUUCCACCUUCUUCUUGAGCUCCUUGUCCUCUGACUUGUACCUCUCUGCUUCUUGAACCAUCUUCUCAAUUCGCUCCUUGGACAGUCUGCCCUUAUCAUCACUGACGGUGAUCUGGGUCUUCUAGCCAGUAGUCUCCUCAAUAGACACAUUAAGAAUGUCGUCACAGUUGAUUUCAAAAAGGACGUACAGUGACCUGAGGUACUCCCCUUGGUGCUGUAGGAAUGCCUGAAAGCACAAACUUACUGAGUAGACUGUUAUCAAAGGUCGUUCGACUCUCGCCCUUAAACACUUGGAUCACAUUGUCCAAGUAGGUAGAUAAAACCUAGUGUGGGAUCCAACGAUUCCUAGGGAUGAGCACAGUCAUCUUACCCUUAGCCUUCUCCAAACCCAAGGACAGAGGAGUGACAUCUAGAAGCAAUACGUCCCUCAACUUCUCGUCCUCACCACUCAAAACUGCAGCCUGCACUACGGCUCCAUAAGCAACAGCUUCCUCAGGGUUAAUGCUUUUGCACAGUUCCUUUCCAUCGAAGAAGUCUUGCAACAAUUGCUGCACUAUAGGAAUCCCAGUAGAUCCACCAACGAGGACAAUCUCAGCGACCUUUUCCUUCUUUAUGUUUGCAGCUCUCAAACACUUUAUAACAGGCUUUAGACACUUGUUGAACAAGUCCUUGUUCAUUUCUUCAAAUUUGGUGCGUGUAAUGGAUGAUGAGAAGUUGACACCCUCAAAUAGAGAGUCGAUCUCAAUGGAAGUCAAAGCAGUGGACGAUAGAGUCCUCUUUGCUCGCUCACAAGCUGUCCACAACCUCCUAAGAGCUCUUGGGCUUUGACUGAUGUCUUUUUUGUUCUUCCUCUUGAACUCCUAAACAAACUGAUUCACCAUCCUGUUAUUCAAAUCUUCAUCGCCCAAAUAGGUAUCUCCAGUAGUAGCCAGGCCCAGCCAUGUGGGCAAGACGGACCAGGCUUGAGUCCAGGGCCUCAAAAUUUAGGGGCCUCAAAUUUUUUUUAUAUAGGCCUGAAAAAAAAAAGAUAGAAUAAGAGUAGAAGACCUGUGCGUCUCUUACGCUUUCUUUUCAGUUCUCGCGCACAUCCAAAACAAUACAGAAGAAGAAGAUCGCGACUCUUCAGUCCAAAAAAAAAAAAAAAGAUCGCGUCUCAGAAGAAAUCGUAGAAAAGAGAAGACAAACCUCCAAAUCUUUGAUUGAAAGGAAUUAAGGAAAACAUCAAUUCUUAAGCUAAAACGGUACGUUCUUUUACCCUUUCAUCUCUAUUCUCUAAAGCUAUUUCCUUUCUAUUUUAAAGAAAUUGUGAUUUUCCUUUAGUCCUUAAUGGCUUAGUAUGAUAAUCUCUUAUCUAUUUUGUUUUUUUAUUUGAUUUGUUGAACAUUGAAUAUAAAUAUAUGAUGAUAUUGAAUUUGAAGCUUCACAUAAUGACAUCCUCUUUGAAUUGUUUGUAUAUGUUUGGACGUAUGAUAUCUAGAUAUUGAAAAACACAUAUUCUUUGAUUUCGUAUUGAUGUCCAGAUUUUUGUAAAACACAGUAUUUUAUUAUGGCUCAUAGUAGAAAGUUCAAGUCCGGGGCUCAAAAAAGAAAAGAGAAAAAGAGGAUAGAAGUUGUACAUAAACCUCUAGUUGGUUCUAUUAAUAAGUAUUUAGUACCAAGAGAAAAAGAAUCAAAGCAUGACGGUGAAUGAUCAUGAUGUUGAAGAGGCAAAGAUUGAGGAAAAUAGUGAUCAUGAUGUUGAAGAGGAAGAGAUUGAGAAAAAUAGUGAUCAUGAUGUUGAAGAGGCAGAGAUUGAGGUCAAUAAUGAUCAUGAUGAUGUUGAAGAGGUAGAGAUUGAGGUAAAUAGUGAUCAUGAUGUUGAAGAGGUAGAGAUUGAGGAAAAUAUUGAAGAUGUUCACAGUAUAGAGCCAAAUCAGUCAGUAGGGGAAAAUAAUGAUAUUAUCAAUGAAGAAAGUCACACUUCCAAUUCAAGAGAAGAAGUUCUGUUUGACAUGGUUGAUCUAGGGAAUUAGAAUAAGACAAACCAAAAUAUUACAGAUUUUUUGGUUGAAAGAGGCCCCAAAAGAGUCAAUAAUGUAAUCCUUCCGAAAGAUAAAUGUGAGAGGUCUUUUUCGUUAAGUCAUUACUUCAAGGAAUUACCAAAUGGAGAGAAACAAGAUAGAAAGCGGUUGGUAUAUUCGGUUUCUUUGGAUAAAAUCUUUGCUUCUAUUGUAAAUUGUUUGCAAAGAAGCAUCUUGUGGGGCAACUAGCUGAUGAAGGCAUGAAUGAUUGACACAACUGUAAUGAUCGACUUAAAAGUCAUAAAUGAAAUAGGUAUCACAUUGCGGCAAUGAAAAGUUGGAUAGAGUUGGCAAAAAGGUUGAAAAUAAAGUUAACAAUUGAUACAAGCGUCUGCAAGAACAGAUCAAUCAAGAAAAAGAACACUGGAAACAAGUAUUAGAAAGAAUUCUUGCAGUUGUGAAAAGACUUGCGAAAAAUAAUUUAGCUUUUCGUGGAGAUAAUGAAAAGCUAUAUGAGGAGAAUAAUGGUCUUUUCUUACAGAUGAUAGAACUGCUUGCUGAAGUUGAUCUGAGUAUAAAAAAAACAUGUUGGACGUAUUAAAUAAGGUGAGGUUCAGUAUCAUUAUUUGAGUCACAAAAUUCAAAAUGAAAUUAUUUAAUUGUUGGCAUGUGAGGUGAAAAGCUCAAUUAUCAGCAGAAUCAAAGAAGCCAAAUAUUUUUCAGUUAUUCUUGACUGUACUCCAGAUGCAAGUUGAGGAACAAAUGUCUCUUGUAAUAAGAAUUGUCAAUGUUUCGGCUACUUUAGUUGUGGUUGAAGAAUAUUUUUUAGGCUUCUUGAAGGUUGCUGACACAUCAGGUCUUGGACUACUUAAUGAACUUCUAAAUGAAUUGAAGACUCUUGGACUUGAUGUAAGUGAUAUGAGAGGACAAGGGUACCGUAUGACAAUGGAUCUAACAUGAAAGGUAAAAAUAAAGGUGUGCAAAGUAGACUACUUGAAAUAAAUCUAAGAGCAUUUUACACACCUUGUGCUUGUCAUUCUCUAAACCUUGUGCUUUUUGAUAUGGCUCAUUGUUGUCCCAAAGCUGAGUCUUUCUUUGGUGUAGUGCAACGAUUAUACUGUUUGUUUACAGCUUCUACAAAAAGAUGGCAGGUUUCUAAAAAGCAUGUGAUAGGUCUCACUUUAAAACCAUUAUCAGAAACUCAUUGGGAAAGUCGUGUGGAGAGUAUUAAAGCAAUAAGGUAUCAAACUCCACAAAUAAGAUAGGUUUAGAUGCAUAUUGUGAACAACAAAAAAGAAGAUGCCAAGGCAAAAAGUGAUGUUGAUGCUUUGGCAAAAUAUAAUCUUCAAAAUUUUGAGUUCUUGUUGGGAAUGAUUAUAUGGUAUGAGUUGUUAUAUGUGGUUAACAACGUCAGCAAUGUUCUGCAAACUAAAGAUAUGCAUAUUGAUACAGCCAUCAAAGAAUUGGAACGUCUUCUUUCUUUUCUUCAAAAGUUCAAAGAAACCAGGUUUGAGGAAUCUUUGAUUGAAGCUAAAGAGAUUGCAAGUGAGAUGGAGAUUGAACUGAUAUUCAUGGAAAAACGGACAAUUCACAUAAAAAGACAAUUUGAUGAAAACUCUACUGAAGGGGUGAUACAAUUAGCUACAGAAUCCUUCAAAACUAACUACUUUCUCUACAUAGUUGAUCAAGCUAUUUCUUCAUUCAAAACCAGAUUAGAACUAUAUACAUUAUAUUUAAUUUUUAGUUAAGGAGCAUGAUAUUUAUAUAAGUUAUUGAUUUUUUAUUUUUUUAAACCAGGUUUGAACAAUUUAAGACAUAUGAAGAAAAUUUUGGACUUUUGUUUGAUUUGGAUCAGUUAAGGUUUGCUGAUAGAGAUACAUUGAAGAGCUUUUGUGCUAAGCUCCUAAAUAUAUUGAAGCAUGGCGAGAUUUCUGAUCUUAAUGAGGAUGACUUAUUUCAUGACUUGCGAAUGUUAUGUCAAGAUUUACCCAUUGAAACAAAAAAAGCAAUAUAUGUGUUGAAUUAUAUAAAAGAUGUGGAUGGUUGCUAUCCACAUGCUUCGAUUGCUUAUAGGAUUCUGCUAACCAUACCAGUCACAGUUGCCUCUGCAGAAAGAAGUUUUUCAAAGUUGAAAUUGAUCAAAACUUACCUUCGGUCUACUAUGUCACAAGAAAGAUUGAGUGGUUUGGCUAUGAUAUCUAUAGAAAAAGACAUAGUUGAAAAACUUGAUUAUGCAAAUUUGAUUAGUACCUUUGCAUCUAAAAAUGCAAGGCGAAUUAUAUUUCAGUGAUACUUUUAUAUUGUGGUAUGAUUUUUUGUGUAAUAUUUUUUUUUNNNNNNNNNNNNNNNNNNNNAAUAUAUUCUCGCCUUGAGCCUUUAUAGAGCCUUUAUGGACACAGGGCCGGCCCUGGUGGUAGCCACCAUUUGGAAACUCUUUCUUCAAUACAAAGUAUAGUGACAUCCAAAGUCCCCCCGCCAAGAUCAAAAACUAAUACAGUCUUUUCACACGAACUGGUGGCCCUCCUGUCCAAACCAUAUGCAAUGGCCACGGCAGAAGCCUCAUUCAAUAUACACAGCACAUGCAGGCCAACAAUGACCCCAACAUCAUUUCUAGCCUACCUUUGAGAAUCAUUAAAGUAAGACGCCACUGUAAUAACUGCAUUUGUCACCUUUUUACCAAGAUAUGACUCUGCAAUCUGUUUCAUCUUAAGGAGAACUAUAGCUGAUAUUUCUUCUGCAGAAAAAUGCUUCUCUUCGCCUUUGUAGGAGAUAACAAUCAUAGGCUUGUCGCCAAGGCCGGCAACAACCUUGAACAAAUGGGUCACUGAAUCUCCUCCCUAUUAAGCGCUUUGCAUCUGCAAUCCGGGAAAUACCAUUUAAUACAUAGUCAACAACCAUGAAUCAUGUAAACCUAGCUAGUCUUAGUAAAAUUUAAACCUUAAUCAACGAUUGUUAUCACUGUAAUAUUGAACUAUUAGAACCAAACUCAAGACACAGUGGGCGAGGUGUCUGGUAUCAACAUAAUAAGACAUGAUGACUGUAUAUCCAUCAUUACCCUCUUCCACAACAAACUAAGAACCAAAUGCCAAUCAAUUUUGCUUGAGAAGACCUUUCUAUAAAAAGCAAAGUAAGUAACAAAGAAAGUGCAUUGCCUUCCCAAAGUGUCAAAAGGCUUCAAGCACACUGACUACUAGAGCAACAUCGAAUAUACAGUAUUCAAACACCAACAUGAAUCUAGAUAGUAGGAUUGCCACACAAUAUCAACGUACCAUCUCCCUCACACUAAAUUCAUUCAAGUCUAGAACUCGGGAUAAGCUGAACUUCUAAUAUUAGAGACAAAUUGACAGGACCUAUUCAUGAGAAGAAAAAACCAGCAAUAAAGAAGAUGCAUUUCUCUUCAUAACAUGCAACACUUGCUAAUUUUUUCAUUUCUUUUGAAGUGUUCAAGUUAAACAUCCUACAAAGUACGCCUAACCCAAAUUCCAGAACAAACAGUUAAAAUUACCAAACCGAUUUUACUAUAGCUAACAAAACCCAAGGGUUUAGGGUUUACCUAAUCUAACAAAACCCUAAGCAAUAACCUAAUCAACGUACCAAUAUCAGAACGAUUAAGCAUAAGGAAAUGAGAAAAGCUUUUAAAAAAGAAGAAGAAAAAUUUGAGAAUCUUACCAAAAACAGUGUUUGCAGCGUUCUUGGCGACCUGACUAUUGGUAGUGUCGCCGAUCAAACACCCUAUGUUGGUGAAGGCCACAUAGGACGGCGUCGUACGGUUCCCUUGAUCAUCGGGGAUGAUCUCGACGCCAUCGUGCUGCCACACUCCAACGCAGCUAUAAGUAGUGCUGAGAUCGAUUCUGAUCGCUGGCCUUUCUUCUCCGGCAAUUGCACCGGCCAUUUUAGUAGCUCAAACGUUUCACACAGACUAAAGAUCAAAUCUUUAGGGUUUUGAUUGUGUAGAGAAGAAAGAUUUCGAAGGGUCUUGCGGUGUAAGGAUUUGGGAUUUUUUUUUUUUUUUUUCCAUCUGGUUUUGAGAAGGAGAAUUUGGGAAUACAAAUUAAAGAGAGAGUUUUGGAAGGAGCAUCUAGAAUAGGAAAGAGAAGUAAUCGGAGCUGUUAGUUUGAUUAAGGGAAAGACCAAGGUUCCAAAAAAACAUUGGGUACGUGCUAGUUGGGCGGACGACGCCCAAAAGAUUAAUUGAGGAUUAAUCGGGGAUUAAUCGGAUUUGUAUUUUUGUAUUUAUUUUAUUUUUAAUAACAAUAAUUAUAUAAAUACAAUUAAAAUAAGUAUUAUAAUGUCUUAGUACCUUUAAUGUCUGUCCUUAAAAAUAUACUAGCAACAAUGUUCCUAGGAAAAUAAGAAAUAUAAUUCAGCAUUUCAACAACAAUGUCGUUGAAGCAAGUAAGAAACACAAUUAAACAACAAUGUCCUUAAGAAAAUCCGAAAAUAAAAACACAAAUCACCAACUAGGCAAAAAUGUUCAAAUACAAUUCAAACAAAGAAAAUACAUUCUUGAUUUGAAUUGUAUUUGGACAUUGUGGCCUAGUUGGUGAUUUGUGUUUUCUAUUUUCGGAUUUUUCUAAGGAACUAGAGAGAGAAAGUAGAUCUGAACUGUACUCCCCCUUCUCUCUUGCUCUGGUCUAGGUCCUUUCGGGUCUAGAUCUCCAGCUUGAGAGUCGGAGGAGUGUGAUCUUGUUCGGGCUUCUAGUCCCAGUGCCCACGUCUUUGUUUGCGGUUUGUUUUUCCUUCCCGUUCACAAAAACAUCUACAUCCAUGGCUGCCAAAGUUCUCAUUUCAAUCCUCCCAUCUCUUCUCUUCUCUCUUUUUUUCAACCCAUUCCACCUCAAUCCCCAAAACCUUCCUCUCUCCUCUGCUAGUUGUAGUAAGCUCCACCCCUCUGUUGCCGCUAGAGUAACGUCCCCGAAACCGGCUUUGAACGGUGUUUUGGAUGCUAGAACGACCCUGUCUUUUUCAAAGACAGAUGAGUGGGGAGAUUCCUCGAGAUUCCACCAUGGGUGCCGGUGCGAAGGUUCGCAGCUUCAAGGCAGCAAGCAAAGAAAAGAGGACGGCGCGGAUCCACUGCAAAAAACCCCUUCGACGACGGCGGCUGUUUUUCCAACAGAGUUGGUGAUGCAUUUGUGAUAUUAAGGUUGGGCCUUGUGUUUAGGCUUUUGUUUGUUGGUCUUGAUAUUUUGGACCUUAUGUUUUACAUUAUGCUUGUACCCCUUCGUGAGUUUUCCCUUAGUGGGUCUGUUUGUAUUAAUCUGGGCUAGUUGCCUUUAUUUAAUACGGUUCUCUAUUUUAAUAAAAAAUAAUAAUACAUUCUUGCAAGCCUACUCCUCUAAUUCUUUUUCUCCACAUCCUUCAAAUACUUUUUCGGUAUCGGAGUCAAACUCAAAAUCCAUAGUUUCUUCUUCCUCUUCAUAUGAAUCCAUGGUUUUCACUUUUCAAAAAAAAAAAGAAGUUUUUGGCCACCUAGGAGCCCACCUAGCCGCCUAGGCUCCCGCCCAAGCGGCCAAAAAGCGGCCGACCACCUACACUCGUCGAUUUGCUGAAAAUCGGGACGGCAACCCUUCUCUGAGCGCCUAGGCGGCCGCCUAGGCCUUUUUUUAGAACCUUGGGAAAGGCGGUUGUGGCUGUUUUGGUGCAGAUCGAUGACGUGGUGUGUUUGUUUUGACCGUGGAUGCGUUUGGAAUGGAGGGGUGGGAUUUGUUGAGAGUUAGACACAGAUCGGUGACGUGGCGGAUUUGGCGUUGGGAAACAGGAUGGUUAUGGUAUGGGCUUUUUUCUGUGAUUGUAAUACAUUAGCAUGUACAUCGUGAGAAGGGCUUUUCACCUAUUGGUAGAAAUUUGUGAUGUAGUGAGUUCUAACUCCAAUUCAAAGUGAAUUGGAAGAUUUUCCACUCCAAUUUAUUAUUUGAUAUGGGUUGUGGUUAAACUGAACUAGAUCAAUUCAAACAGACGAGCCGAAUAUGUCCUACAUGAUCUACAUGAUCCGUUUGUAUUUAAAAUUAAUUAAUCAGGAUUACACAUACUCAAAUGACAUAGCCUACAAAAACUUAUGUUGUCGUGUAUAUCCUUUAGGGCAUGUUUGCUAACCUGAAAUGGAAUUGAGAGUGGUAUAAUUGAUUCCGGAAUGGGUGAAUUCCAGCGUUUACUAACAUGUAAAGGUAUUGGAAUGGAUGUGGGUCUCAGUUGCUUAUCAGGAAUUGAUUCCUGACGAAACCCCUUAUUCGAUACCCAAGGGGGGAGGUGGGUAUCAGAAUCAAGGUAAUGGAAUCAACUUUUUCUCUCUAAAAUAUCCUCACAUAAUUAUAAUAUUUCUAAAUUACCCAACCCCAUAUAUAUAUAUAUAUAUAUAGUUCUUAUCCAGAGUGAAGUUUCGCUCUGAAAUUAAAGUGUGAAGUUCCUUAUUUGACUCAUUUUACGGUCAUAUUUCGACAUCUCCACCGUUCUGUUUAUUGAUAUUAAUGCAUAGAUCAUUCUUGCAAAAUUUCAUUCAAAUUGAUGAUCGUUUAGAUACCGAAUUAGGAUAAAUCAAUGAACGGACCAUAAACUUGUCUGAUUAGAACUGUUUGUGUAAAUCACGAUUAUGAACACUCAAACGAUUUUCAAAUUCGAUGAAACUUUGUAGAAGUGAUCUAUGCAUUUGAUUCUACAAACUGAAUGGUAGAGAUGUCGAAAUAUGACCGAAAAGUGAGUCAAAUAAGGAACUUCACACUUUAAUUUNNNNNNNNNNNNNNNNNNNNUAUAUAUAUAUAUAUAUAUAUAUAUAUAUAUAUAUAUGGAAGAGAAGACGACAAAAUAUUGUUAGAUCAGAAAACAACGACGACAAAAUAGAAAAGAAGACAGCGCACUCCAGGGUCAGUUUCUCUCUUCCAUGGUGAUCGAUAAGCUUCUUUGUUUUUGUUGUUUUUGUUUAUCGUCUCCUCUCUGUUUCGUUCGGUUUUAUUUCAUUCAUGAGUGUUCAUAUAUGUGCUACAAAACUUUGAACACAUGCACUUGAGUCAACCAAUAUAUAUGGUUUAGGUGGUCUGAUGAAUAUAUCAUCCAAGAAUUUUUACAUCGUUGAAAACAAGAACAAUAAAAUUGCAAACAUCUCCCUUCCAUUCUUGUAUGGGUAUUUUAGUAAUCAAACUAGUUUUAAUUCUGAUUCUAUAUAGUAAGUAAACAACAUCAAUCAUAAUUUAGUUUCAUUCAUGUUUUGAUUUCUUACGGUAAGUAAACAGUAUAAUGAAAUGAAAUAUUCUGAUAGUGAUUCUUGUUGAUACCGAUUCUUAUUAAUACCAAUUCAUGAUAAGUUUCAUUCCAAGUUAAUAAACGUGCCUUAGUUUCUUUCAAAGGUAUGAGUGUCGGAGUACUGAUGUUGGUGUUGCUCUGCCAACUUGACUAUUUCUUAUAUACUCUCAUGGUCGUUCUCAACCUAACAUACUAUCGAGAGACAAGAGUUGAGUUCUAUAUUUUAAUCGUUAGAUGAUUCGUCACACGUGCUACAUCAGACACAAGGACGGAUACAAGUCUAGGGCUAUAUAGGCCCAAGCUCAAAGAGAAAUUUGGGCCAAAUUAAAAGAGACAAGAGUUGAGUUUUAUAUUUUAAUCGUUGGAUGGUUGAUGGUUCGCCACCCGUGUUGGCAGGGCCAUAUUGCAAUAGCACAAGUCUUUUUCUGUUUCUCUUUAAAUUUAUAUAAAGUUGAGCUUUGCUAGAGCCACCAUCAGCUGCCAAAUUCAGCCACCACCUUGUCCAGCUCUCAGCCACCGCCUCGCCGCGUUUUCAAUGUCGCCAAUGGCAUGCAGACAAACUCCAAAUUGGUAUUGAGCUCGUUCAUAACCACCUUCUCCGGCUCUCAUAAAAUUGAUGAGGCAGUUGACAAAUUCAUAUACUACUCUAUGAUGUGGAUAAGGGUUUCAAAGCAAUGCCAUCUUCACUCCAUGAGAUCAGUGACAUUGUGGACAGUUUGACCGCUAGCUAGAUGACACUACAUGCAGAAUACCAUAUCAAACUACAAAACCUCAUGGUGCAUGUCACCUAUAUCAUCAUUUGAUUCCAUUAAGAAGUCGCAUUGAUCCAAAUGUUGCUUAUACCAAUUCCUCAGUUAUUUCUCCAGGACUAUAUCCAAGACACAGACGGCCGUGCUACUCUGCUACAUCAGGACGACUAUGUCUGAAAUACACACAUAAACACAUGCUUAUUACAAACUGAAAUUAGAAGAUGGACCAGAUGAAUAGCUAGAUGUAUCAAGUGCACAAUAAACACGUAUACUCGAUAUAAAAGAUGAAAUAGAGUUACUUGAAUCCUAUGUCAUACUUGUUGGCGAGGCCAUUCGAAAACAAGUCCUUGAUCGAAUACUUUCUUUUGGUUUGGUACUGCAAACUAGCUUAUUGGUGAUAAGGUACAUAAUGUUGAGCUUUACUAUGGCCACGAUCAGCUGCUAACUUCAUCCACUUUCUUGCUCGGCUAUCACACUGAACCAACCCUUCCCCAUGCUCGUAGCACGGGACACAUUAUACAUAGCACGUACAUAACCACCUUCUGCAGCUCUCAGCCACCGCCUCCCCGCGUUUUCAACAUCGCCAAUGUGACGCAGACAAACUCCAAGUUGGUAUUGAGCUCGGGCAUUGUCUUGUAAACAAGGCAAAGAUAACCACUUCACAGCUUCCUCUAAAAUUGGUGGUUGAACUUCCAUACAUGCUAUUCCCAAAUUGCACUGCGCAUUCCGGUUUCCGAGCUCCGCAGCUCUCCGAUACCAACCUAAUGCCUUGUCAGCUUCGCCUCUCUCCCAAUAUAUCUUUCUGGCAUCCACCCUACCCUCUGGUGCUCCGAGCUCCGCAGCCACCAAGAACAUCGUGAGAGCAUUGUCUAAACUACGUAGAAAGCCACCAAGGCCGUGCUUGAACUGCUUUCCCAAACUCAUGGCCUUCGUGAUCUCCAUGCACUUUACGUACUUUUCGUCCUCUAUCACCGGCCGAAGCGCGUCGCGCCACCACUUGCACACCGACGACGCCCUUAUCAGUCUCCGGUAGGCUUUGUGACUCUCAGCUCCGUAGAUGAGCGAGGCCCCGAUUUUUGGCAAUUAGGUCUUGAGGCAGAUCCGAGACCCCUUUUGGCUGGUUUGGAGAAUCGAUUGCUGUGCUUGUAGAUUCUGUGAUGGAGUUUGCCUCCCUGCUUAGUGUUCAAUCGACCUUGCUUCCUCAUUCCGGAUGGUUUUGCUGAUGUAUGGUUCUAGGGUUUUACUUAAUUUGUAGAGCACUUAAGCACGUUGGACUUUCAAUGUUAUACACACACAUAACCCGAACCAAGUUUGAUUGGGAAAAGGUAUCAAACCUAGAAAAUAUAUCGACUAAACAAAAAUCAAGCAUUCGAUACCAUUCCUCCUCUAACUAGGAAAAUGUUCCAUCGAUCACUUUAUUGUGGGAAACCAGAUUUUAGUGUAGUAAUAAUUAGAUAGGAUUUGAAUAUACACAAAUCACAAACCAUGCUGGUUUACGACAAAGUCUACCAUGGUGGUGUAGGAAAUAGGAGUUUAGGACCAAAGCAGAACGUGCACAAAAAAAGAAAAAAAAGGAGUAAAUGCUUGUGACACCCUGUAGUUUAUAUCUAAAAUCAGUUUUGUCCCUCACUUUUUUUUUAAACUGGUAUACCCCUAUACUUUGAAUUUUUGACUGAUUUGCCCUUGUCGUCAAUUGACCGUUAAAGAAGACUGUUAAGUUGCUGAGAUGACCGGUUCUGCGAUUCCAACUCAGCUAGAAACCUGCAACAUCGACAUAAUAUGUCCAAUAUACCCUUGACUCUAGUGACUUUUAAAACCAAGAACUAACCAGCUUUGUGAGACGAGCUCGAUGCUCUCCAGCUUUGCAGGUCCUUCGGCAAGCCUCACCGGUGGCGCUGACGAAGAGGCCUUCGUUGUCGUGGCCGUAGCCGAGGGCGACUUUGGGGACUUUGGAGCGGCGGAAGGUGAGGGUUUCGGUGGAGAAGUCGCCGAAGGUGAGGAACCGUCGCUGUAGGAGACUUAGUAGAGGUAGGUUUUGGACUUUGAGCUGCAGCCGGGGGAGUCGAGGUGGCAGCAGAGAGGGGAGGGGCAAGGGAGGGAGGAGAAGGAGGAGGAUUUUCUCGGGUCGAAAACCGGGUCUGUUUGGGAGUAGCAGUGUUUACAAGAGGCGCAUUGGAACCAGACGACAUCGGAGCCGGUGUCGAGGACCAUGUAAAGGUAUUUUGGGGGAGAGCCGAUGCCGAUGCGGGUGAAGUACUCUCCGCUGCCUUGGGAGAGGCCGGAGACGAUGGAGGAGCUGAACCCGGAGGAGGGUGGGCCGGGUCGGGUGCGGUUGUAGGCGAGAGAGGUGAGAGAGUUGAAGCGGAGGGAGUCGCGGCGGAGGCGGAGGUGGAAGAGUUGGGAGGGGGUUUGGUUGGAGGAGAGGGCGUCGAGGUGGUGGAGAGGGAGGGAGAGGGAAGAUGGGUCGGAGUCGGGUUCAGAUGUUUCUGAAAAGGAUUCUGGUUGGGAGAGAGAGGGGGUGGAGGGGAGGGGGGAGAGGAGGAGGGUGUGGUGGUCAAGGGUGGCGGAGGAGAGGGAGAGGAGGAGAGUGAAAAAGAAGAGAUGAGGGGUCUUCUUCUCCUCCAUUUUGUUUGGGCAGUGGGGAAGUGGGGAGAUGAAGGAGAAGAAGUGGGAGAGAGAGUGAGGGGCCGGAGAUGAUGGAGAAGCUGAAGCCGGAGGAGGAUGGGCCAUUGGAGAAUUGGAUCUGAUCUCUUCUACUUGCAGAACUGAGGUUAGGAAACUGGGUUUAGUGGCUAAGUUUCGAUCUGGGGUUUUGUUUUGGUGGACUGAUUUAGAAGUCGAUGAUUCAAAAUGGGUUUGGAAUUGCUCUGUGGGUAAAAUUGUCAUCUCAAUACCUUGGUCUCAUACAUGUGUCAACAUGUUAGCCACGCUAGUUACAUAACGGGUUCAAUUGACGAUAAGGGCAAAUCAGUCGAGAAUUCAAAAUAUAGGGGUAUACCAGUUUAAAAAAAAAGUGAGGGACAAAACUGAUUUUAGGUGUAAACUACAAGAUGUCACAAGUAUUUACUCCAAAAAAAAAGACAUUAUAAUGGCAAAACCUCAGCAAGUGAACAAACAAGGUCGUGAUAUAUGCAGAGUUCAUUACAAAGAGAACAAUUUUAUUUGGCUAUCUUCUACUGCUAAUCAAGUUCACCGGAGUUAUAGCUGUAUAUUGAAGUUUACCUUAGUAAAUAUGGUUGGCAUUUUACCGCCGCCGUAUGUGCCAAAAUGAAUUAUAUAAGAGUGCAGUCACAAUGAAACAUUUGCUUGGUUGCCUUCUGUACAAUGUUAAGACUAGUGAGUGGUGACUCAGACUGGUAGCCGAAACUAACUGCGUUGUCUUGCCAUGGAGUAAUGACUAGGGAGAGACCCGAGCACCACCUUACCUCCCUCUCUAGCAUUGCCUUCGAGGGUUUAGUUCAUGCUGUUACUUUGUCCAUCUAAAACGAAAGAGAUGGAAAAAGAAAGCUCAUACAACCUAAAACAUCGAAUGCGUAUAUAGAAAAGUACAUGAAACUCAACUCAAUAUCAGCCAGUAAUGUCAAAAACAUCCGAUUAAAAACCAAGAAUGCUUGAAAUACAAUGUCCUCCAUUUGCAUAUUUGAUAUUCCAGUGGGGAAAGAAGCCAGGCGCCAUGUUCAGACAAUUAUAAAGACUAGUUAUCCGCACUAAACUGCAUUCUUUGAGCAAAGUAUUUACAUACAACAAUAGCUGAAAGACCAGUAGUCUGCUACAUCCAGCUUUCUCAUCUUGAACUUCAUGCAGGCCGAGAAGCUUUGAGUAUGAGAUUGCCCCUCAUAUUACAUUUUUUUUACCAAUCUAGCAUAGGCUGUGUUCUUGUAGCUACAUGCAACGGGAAAAGGUUUCAGUAACUUCAACCAAAACAGAUACGCUAUGAGAAAAGCAAGUAAAUUUCAUCUAUAAUUAAGAAGGCAAAAUUACAGCUUCCCUGAUGGAGAAAAAUAAUGGUGCUCUGCUUUGCAUCCACCACAAACCUGUCAACCCUUAUUUGCAGAGAACUUGCUAGCCUUUGGUAAGGAUUUAUAUUAUUUCAUAUUAAUCUUUGAUUGCAAAGAGAAGAACAAGUGUCUGUAUAUUAGUCUAUUUCACUAAACAAACAGAGUAAAAAGAUGUCGCUCUCGAAGUUGCUGGAAUCUUGAAUGUCCUUUGCUUGCACCAAAGGAGUAAGCGAAGUUAGCUAACAUAAUGGGGUUGUUGUUAGGGGGCUUAUGCUACGAUCCUUGAAUCAGACAUUCAGAUGUUAUACUCCUUCCAUGUUGGAGAAGCUUCUGCUAGACAGUCACCCCCAAAGUAUCAUUUUUACUAUCAUGAUUCUGAAUCACAUCAGCACUAAAAUAGCUAGAUCUGAUUUGGGUUUUCCAACUCUAAAGGUAAAAGAUGAUGUACACACAAAUAAGAAGACUUCAGCAAAUUAAGAGGGUUAAGAAAACCGUGAUAUUCAUGGAAACUAUCAUGCCAGAACUAGUAAAUUUUAUUAUUGCCUACUCACAAGUAAUAUGAAACUAAGAUUAAUGAAUUUAACUUUAAAUGAUUAGCAGCUGACAGAAAAAAACAGUCAAGGAUACAAUGGAGGAUACAGAUGAAGUUAAUAUGCUGAAACCUGAUGACUUCGUACUGCAAAUUUGUGUCAAUAAACCAUGUCACAAAGGAAAAAGGUCACUUUCUAAAUCAGACAAGAGCAUACUACAAAUAUAUAGAAGAAAAGAAAGGAUAACUUACCCUAGAUUGCACUCUGAUUCCUAAUUGUACUCUGGAGUUUGCUCAUUUACAGAAUAUCUUCCUUCUCUUGCAUACUUCUGCUAGAAGAUUGAUCCUCUUCACAUCAGUCAUGAGAUUCCAAGGGAUCAUAUCUAUCGUCAAAAGUAUCUCUUUCAAGAGACUUUCAACUAUGACUCUCAUAUGUUUUCUCAAAUCUUUUAACAUUUGACUUCUGGUGCGAGUUGGACAGAGAAGAUGAUCUGCUAUCAUGAUACUUGGAUCUACUAUCAUGAUACUUGGAUGAGCGAUUUCUUUUAUGAUGCCUGGUAUCAGUCCGCUGUCGAUGAUCUUGUUCACUCUGCCCAUGAGACCAUCCAUGACUUCGAGACCUUUCUGAGCUUCUGGAGUAAUUUUCGGUAUCACGACUAUCACUGAGACUUCUAGAAUCUUCUAGAUACUUGCAGUGGAGGAGACUAUGUCUUGGUUCCUCUUGAUCUUUGGCAGAAGCAUGCCUGGAAGUUGUGGAAUGGAUAGUAUAACGUGAAUGUGAUUGUUUCCUAGAACGACUUGGGCUACCUCCCUCUGACUCGGUAUUUCUUUUUGUUGGAUUAUCAUCAUCGGUGGUGAAGUCAGUAGCAGUAGGUAGUUUGAAUGGACCUUGCCCUUCAAUUGCUAGUUCGAAGCAUCCAAUCCCUCCAGCUUGCUUAAUUUCCUCCAUGUAUUCCUCUAUAAUAUCCCUGGUAACCUUCAGACAGGAUAAAAAGUAAAUGUAAAUUCAGUAUAAUGAAAUGGUGUGAAAAGAACUGAUGUCAAUAUUUCAGGACUUUUCUUCGAUUCGUCUUAGUCCCCAACCUUCACUGCCACAAAAAAUGCAUGGUGUGAAAUCAUAACAACAAUGUUUUUAGCUCUAAAGGCUAUAUUUCAAACAAACAAUAUGCUCAAGAACCAUUUUGUGUUACAAAAUAAGAAAACUGUAAGCCAAUAAUAUUUUAGCAGCUUGACUGCCCUUAAGCAUACUGGCCAAUUACGCACCAAUCUCGAAUGUAAAAGGAUUCAAUUUUCUUUUCCUUUGCUCUUACUUAAAACUCUAUUCCACUUUUUAUUUUUUUGAUACAAAACUCUAUGCCACUUUUGAUUGUUGAAUUACUUUCCAUUUUGAUUAGCAUACAGUCAAAAUGGGGCAAUAAUAUCUCAGUUAAUCAAAUGGGGCAUAUGUCAUAAUAUAUGUAAGCAAGAAGAAGAAUCAAAAUUGAAUGUCAUAAUAAGAUAAACUUGAUCCUUACCUGCAAAGUUGUACGCUUCACCUUUUUGCCACGAUAUGACAUCCUUCGUCGUUUGUAGUCCCUUUCUUCUGCUAAUAACUCUUCUUUUGUCUUAGUCUUGUUAGUUUCCUUAAGUAAACCAACAAAGAACAAAGAAUGUAAGAGAUUUUAAAAGUGAGGAGCAAUUUUCCAAGAUUCACAAAAGAUUCUUUUAAGCAGUAAUGCCUGAAGAUAACAAUCUAGUAAAACAUUAUAUAGGAAUGCAUGAAGAACCAUAUAUCAAGCAAUCACUAGGCUGAUUCCUUUAGCCACUUAGCCAUACGUUAAAUCCACUAAACAUUACCAGACUGGUAUUAUGUUUCUUCUAUUUUAUCCCAAAAUAACGGGUAUUAUGUUUCUUCUAUUUUAUCCCAAAAUAAUACUAUUAAAUGGUACCUGGUUAUUUGAUUUUUGCCAAGGCAGCCCAUCAUGGUCGAUAAUAGGUCUAUACUGACUUCGGUUUUUCCGCUCCCCAUCAGCUCUUUGUGAGACAUAAUCAUGCUCAAGUACUCUACAAAGAAGGAAACUUGGCAUUUAUUACAUUAGAAAUCUAAUUAAAUGAGCAUUAUAGUUUACUUCUUUUAUCAUCUCUUUCCAUAGUUAUCAAUACAACUAGAGUUUUAACUUGUUAAAAGUAAAACAAAUAAAACCUGCAAGCAAGUUGAAAAUAAAAGAAACUGAUCAUAAUGUCAUACCGUUGAUGUCUAGUAAGGGUUUGUGAAACUUGUUCUCCAUUAAAUUUUUCUUCAAGCAUGAACCGUUCAUGCAACACUGCAAUGGCUGCUGCAACCUGAGACACAAAUACCGCCUUACUGAUAAUGAUUCCCUUCAUCUCACUGCUUAGUGGUUUAGUAAUAUCUUCAUCCCUAACACAACUGCCCUCAACAUCCCAAUUCGAUGAACCCUCUUCUAAACCAUGAAACUCUGUAUCUAGUAUGCAAUGCUUAAGAAUGUUUAUGGCGAAUAAUUUUCCAUUCACUUCACCAUAGAAUUUGGAACGCUAGAUGCCAACCACACUAAUACCUCAACCAAAGUUGGACACUCAAAAUGCCCACUCUCCGAAUCUCUAUAAUUUACCUUACCUUAAGCUUCCCUUAUAAUUGCCCUCAAGCACAGGGUAAUCAGCAUAACUAUAUGAUCUCCCAUGGCCACAUCAAUCACAAUCCCAUACUUGGGUGAACUUGCUACAACUCCCCAAAUCCCACUCUCUAAGAACACAUAACCCCAAAAUGGCACGUAGUACACAGCUUGAAUACAUAGAAGGAUACUCAUUCCAUCCUUGAACUUCAUUUUUUAUGGCCCAAGACUCUGAUGGCAGAAAUCUACUACAUACUUUGUCACAAUCCAUCAUCUCCCUAACUUCUUCAACGGAGAAAUUCGCACACUCAGCUGACAAAACUGAGGGAAGUGUGAAUGUCUAUCGAAACCAUCCAGCGCAGAAGAGUUAACAACACCAGGGCAAUCAGGGUAGAAAUAAUUGCACCCAUUCAGUAGAGAUCAUUCAGGUGGGGAUUCCGCAUAGUAAUGCUCCAAGGACAAGCAUAGAUCACCAGAUGGAAUAAAACAUUCACCAGAUUGGGAUUGGUCGGUGGAUUUGAGGGUUUUGGGGUAAUGGAGCGGUGGGAUAAGGUGGUGGAGAGGCCGGGGGCAGCGGAGAAAGUGGGAGAAAAGGGAGUGAGGGUGCAAACGGUGAUGAGGAUUAACAGGACUGAAAAUAUGACAAUCACUGUCAUCAGAAUCAUCUUGGCUCGGGACAGAGGAGAGUAGAAAGCAAGUCAAGGAUCAGAGAAGAGUCACGAAUGAGGCUGCUUAGAGAUGACAUUGUCGUAAAAAGGUCAGGAGGCAAAGCAGGAGGAGUGUUGACGUUGGGUUGUGCAUUCUGCGGCCGAGAGUGGAACAAAUUGGGUUGGGAUUAGGGUUAGGAAUUGAGGCAGGGAAAGUGAAUGGUGUGUGAGAAAACUGAGCCGGGGUGUGGUUCAUGACAUAAAAUACCAACCUAUGCUUAACUAACACUAGCGAAAAAUCCACCUGCAUUAUAUACAGUAGCAGGAGUUAGAAUCUUCUGUAAACACUUCUCCUCUAUCCUAAAAACAAAGCUUUAUAUCUAAAUAUGAACAUCCAUGAACCUUUAUAGCUAAGUAUGAACAUUUAUAAACUAAAUAUAUAGAAAAAAACAGACCCAGACUGUAAUCCAUACUGAUACAAGAUUAAUAGGAUAAAGAAGUGAACUUGGUUUUCAGAUUCAUAGAAGCAGAAAAUUAUCGAAUCAAAUGGAACAAAUUGAGAGCAAUUAGGAUUCCAUGUAGUUAUACCAAAGCCGAAUUGAAAAUUAAUUGAAGGAUUUAGAGAGAGAGAGUUACCGGAGAUCGAGCAAGGUGCUGAAAUCGGCUGCGACGUCGUUUCGUUCUCAACCUCAAUAGCAAGGUCGGAGCUCACAGUGCAGAAAACUCGGCGCCUUCUCUUCUGUUUUAGUUUUCAGACUCUUUUUUUCUUCUUCUUUUUUUAAAUGGUGGGCCCACCCCGCUAUAGCCCGCGACACCUCGACCGCCUAGACACGUGUCGUCUUGUCUAGGCCGCAUGAAAUAAUUUUUUAAUUAAUUUUUUUAUGUUUUGCUUUUUUAAAAGCUGGGCCCCCGCUAUGACACGCUCACCAGUGACCGUCUAGACACGUGUCGUGUCCGUCCAGCCCGCAUGACUUAAUUUAUUUAAUUUUUUUCUUUUUCUUGUAUUCAAAUGUCAAUGGCGGGUCCCACAAACCGUAGGAACCACGCCGCCAGAGAUAGUCCGCCUUAACCGCAGUAAUUAAAUUUUUGUUUUAAUUUUUUACGAUGCCUGUAAAAAUCUGCUUAUUGCAUCCUUUUUUUAUCAGAGACCAUACAGGAUUGCACAAACGAGAAACUACCAACUUCACUGAGAAGAUACAGAGAGGGGAAAACAAAAUCGACACAUUGCAUUUCAGGCAUUAAUACUCUGGUAUUCUGAUUCAAGGCACAAUUCAUUUCUGGAUUCAUAUUGUGAGGAUAUAUACACUAACUUUACAGAGCAGGCACAGCAGGUGAUCAUUAUGCUUUUUGGUAUCUUGUACACGGUUUACAAGCAGAGCUUCUCUUUACUCCUACAAAGACAUAAAUCGAUGCCUUCUAAUACAUGUAAGAACAAACACUCACCCACUGUACAAAUGGCUCUAUACAACAAUGACGACAAAACUUCAUGCCACUGCCUUCGGGAUAAUAAUAAUAGAGUGGCAGCUAAGCCAGAUGUUUCAUUCAACAAUUUCCCUUCCAAGUGGAUCAGCACAGUCAUCUCCAUCGCGAGCAAUAACAUCCAGGGUGGAGAAAUGUCUUGUGGCACCUUCGCAGUCCACAAAAGGGCAAUCCAAACGCACGACACUAGAUCCCCACACUACCCAUCUCCCUCUGGUUGUUCCCCAGAACAAGCAUCCUGAUUGACCUGGUUCUCAUUUGGAACGCGGUCAGCAGGAACAUAUGCAUAUCCUUUGGGUAAUUGCAUAUUUUUCAACGAUGCCUGAUCUGAUGUCAUCACCAAUUCCUUCGAAAACAUCUCACCGUGCUGAGAAGAUUGGACGAUUUGGAAUUAAGAUUACAAUAAUGUGUGAAGAACUUCAACUCUCUUAAAGGGAGGAAAGAAAAAAGUUCUCAAAGAAUAGACGUCGAAAAGUAAAUUACCUUCUUAGAUUUUGACCUGUAUCCACCAUCUUCCAAAAGAUUACAAGAUGCCACAGAUGAUCUGAAAGGAAUCUGUUUCUCAGAAAACUGCAUCCUCUCCGAAAGAUUCUGCGUAAACUGGUUUUGGGAUGUGGAGCUGUCAUCAUCUGUCCUUUGGUCGUUAUCAAUAGUUAUAGGAACUCUAGUCCUGUUCUUAACUGAAAUUGUACUAUCUACAGUCACAUCAUCUGAUCUUUGGAAUGUAUCACUGCAUGAUCUGUAAUCCUCUGUGUGCGCUUUAAGAGAAGUUGUUGCUGAUUCAGAACUAGCAUCCGCUAGCAAGAAAGGACUGUUAGCAAGCACAGAACUGGCGACAUGAUCUCUUUUCACGGCAAGAAGGUCAUGUGAACAAAUAAGUAAUUCCCUCUGCAUUCACAAUAAACUUGUUCAGCUUAAACUACUUCAAGCAAGGAAGUAAAACUUCUUUGAAGGUACAUGCUAAAUACACCCAUAUAGACAAUCACAGGCAGCGGCAACAACUAAUUACCACACCCAACUCCUAACUAACAUGGAAGCUGUGCCAUAGGAUAACAGAAGAGAACCGGUACAUUGAUAACACAAGGAACCAAUAACACAUGCACAUCAUAGACACAUCAAGGCCACACAUAUAACACAGAGUCACAGACCCAGUACUCCAGUAGCACCCACCUUUACUUUCUCCCGUUUGAUAAUCCUUUCGCAAAUAAGGCGUAACCUCUCCAGUUCAGCCUGUACAAAGAUCAAACAUGUUAGAAGUCAAACAGGCAAUUCAAUGUUACUAAGAAAGCAAUAUGACCAAAGAGCUCAAAAAGAAAAAAGGAAAAAAAAAAAAAACAACGUUUUUGCCGAGGCAAUCAGUAAAACCUACUUGAUCGACCAAGAGAAGAUGAAAGACAAAGACAGUUAUAUCAGAUGGCAUCUUCACUGCCUAGCUAGUAGGAUGUGGUUUACUUGAGUUCUAAUGCACAUCACAUAGGAAUCAUAUAACAGAUUUCAUUCUUCUUUUACCAUUUUAGAUAAACUUAUAAUUCUAUUCAAAUCAUUCCAACACAUGUAUAUCACAUGGGCAAUAUAUAUUACUAGCAAAUCUAACUAUUCACAUCUUGAAUCAAAUUUAGGACUACACAAGUCAAUGAACCUAUGUGAACCAAAGAGAGAAAAAGGACCAACAUAGAAAGAAGAGCUAUUUCAUCGAGGGAAACUAAUUCAAGCAGUUUUCUGUACUUUAAGCAAGUGCAUACUGAUGGAAAUACAAGAUCUUAGAGUCUUAGGCGGCAAUAACGAUUAUUAAUAAGUGGAAACAUAACAUGGUAGAUCAUAAGCCCCACCCUUAUUGUAUAAAGGUUCUUUAAUUCCUCCAUUCCAUGUUUUUGUGUAUCAGCCUGCAUUAGUGCAAAAACCCAGAAGUUAAUAAUCAUAACUUAGUAAUGACCAAAAGGGCGUGUUUUACAUAAAUAUAAAUCUAUUAACCUUCGCCCUCUGCUCAAGGCUAUGCCUCUCGCAGUAUGCCUUGUGUUGCUGCUUGCCACCAAGAGCUUUUACAUUCAUAUAAAAAUCUGAACUUCUGCCACAGGAGGGAUGAAAUGUUGACUGACAAUGGCCAUAGCUGCACUGCAGGAAAAAUAAUAAAAGAUAUACAUGUAUAUGAAUCAGGGAUCCUCUUCAUAAGGGGAAAAAAGCCAAUAGAGAAAACUUGUCAAAACAUAAGAUGAAAAAUAUUCGGAAAUGUCCCAACUCUCACCUUUAUGCAGACACCAAAUUUCCGUCGGCAGAUGUAACAGAAAUCAACGCCCUUUGUAACGGUGUCCUGAAAUCCCAUUACAGUUGAGUGUUAUAACAGCAGAAACAUCAAUCCUUAUCUUAAACCAAAAUAUCUACAGUGAGACCAAGGAAACUCAGGUUUGUGAUUGCCAUGGAUAGAAUGCAAGCAUACCAUUCCCUCAAUCGGUGAUACUUGUCCCCUUUUGAACGUUGACUCAAAGACCCACUACCAUAUGAAACAGUGAAUAGCAUCAAUAUUCCGCAUAAUAUCCAGAAGUCUAAAAUAAAUAAAUAAAAAUAAAAAAACAAUUCUACAUUAUUCAUCUGUAGGUAACAUGAGAAGGUUUUACCUCAGCACAAAAAGCAUGGACCCAUUGACCAUCAGAGGAUUUCCUAAAAGCACCAGUUUUCCCACCACAUAAACCACAUUCUGUAGUUAAAUGCUCUUUCUCCCAAAAAUUGGCAGUAGAUUUGCCUUCACAUAACUCACAGUACCAUGGGCCUGUAGAUUCUCUUGUACUACGAUAGCAAUCCAAGUGAACAGCAACCUGUAACAAAAGACCUGGUUAUAGGUUUUCAACUCAAGCAGAUAACAGGUUUAUAAAAAAUAAAAAAUAAAUAAAAUAAGAUCAAAAGAAAGGAAGGAGACCUUGCAACUGGAACAGACUAAAAUCGGGUUUAACAUCGUCUCAGAACGUCUGCAGAUAUCACACAAUCUAGGAUGUUCUUUAGAGAUAUCUGAGCCUGAAUGAACUGCACCAGAGUGUUUUUCCACAGAAACUCUAGGGACAGCCACCCUUGGAAAUGUCUCUUUUGCCCGUGGUAUCAUCUGUGAGGAAAAGCUGGACCUCCCACUAAAGCUGCUCAGCUUCACCAAAUUCUGCAGAGAAAAGAGAGACUGCAUAAGUAAAUUGUAUCCAUUGACGGCCCUAAUAUUACAAAAAAAUUAAAGAUCAUCAACCUCCUGAUGCGCAGGUUCAUCAAGGACAUCUUUCCUAAAUGAUGAAAUCCUAGAAGAGGCAGCCGCAGCAGCAGUUGCAGCUGCUAACACGGCCUGUGCUUCCUUAUGCCGUCUCUCCUUCCUACCUUGCUUCUUUGCCUCUCUAAGCUCGCAAAGAUACUGGUUAACCAGCACUGCAUCCCACUUCAGAUUCCGAGUUGCAUCAAUCUCUUUUGGCAGACUCUUAGCGACAUUACACAUCAAAACAUCUGCAGCAAAUGUAUAAACAGUACAGGUUAACAGUAUGUCCAUAUAAAAAAUCAGAAUACAGAGUAAAUGAGUCAUGCCUGUUAAACUCCACAGAAGAAAGUUAACCACAUACCUGUAUAAUGCUUUCUCGCACUUAUAUUGUUUUGCAACCUAUGCUGAUAAUAGAUGAGCUCUCCUUCCACUUCAUCUUCUGGAGACAUUUCUAGAACUCCCAAUUCAUGAGCCUUAGCCAACUGUUCUAAACCCAUCUCAUCAGAUUUACAGUUGGUAUCAUGACAUUUUGGAUGUAUAUUUUGGUGAUUACAGCAAACACUUGCAUGGGAAGAUGCUUCCACACGAGAAACUUCUCCUUCACUUGAACCUACAAGAAAAACUACAUGUCAAUACCACCCAUGGAAGAAUAAUGGAAACAAGUAUAUAAUUUUAAUCUGUACCAUAAAUUGUGUUCUUUGGAGGCACCCCAUUUUGCAUCUGUGAUAAUGUCUUCUGGAUGGGCAGUUGGGCAUUAGAACCUCCCUCUGGUUUCCUGAGGUAUAUGGUCGCAACAUUGAGCAUAAAAAUUUGAAGAAAAAGAAAAACAAUGUAUCUUAUCAAAUCACAAUACAUGCAAAUGAGCUUCCCAGAGCUCGAGACAAAAUCAAACAGCAUUUUACAGUUCCCGAAUUACAUAUACAAAACAAAAAAUAGAAGCUUACUUGCUUUCAGGAACUGAUUUUUCCACUGAAAACAACGGAUCUACAUUUGCAAUCACCAAGUCAGUCUGCGAAGGAAUAGUAGCCACCACUUCUUGACCUCUUUGUGAAAGGCUGCAAUUUGAGGACUUAACUGAAUAACCUGUCAAUCAUAUAUUGUUUUCAUGUCAAAAGACACACCAAGAACCAUUUCAUUGCUGCAAAAGUCAUCUAUGAAUGAAACACAGUAGACUAGAAUUAACCCAAGACAACAGCAAAUUCAGCCAAAAAAGAGAGAAAUACCAACAGCUAUGGUUAUAGACUGAUCAUCUCCAAAAUAGCAGCAAAUACAGCAACAAAUACUAAAGGAGACACUAGAAGAUAAAAGGGAUUUAGCGGUAGCAACGAAUUCCCAGGAACAUUAAAUACCCAUCAAGAGGACAUGAACUAUAUAAAGUAUUACAGUCUCAUUUUAUAUUUAGUUUAGUGAACUCAGAAAGUUGAUUACAAUUACAAACAUAAGCGCAAAUCAAAGAAAAUGCUUCAGUGUCGCAUGGGAAAUAGAUCUUUUAGAUCUCUUCCCCCCCCCCCCCCCCCCCCUCCCUCCCUUUUUUUCACAGCUCAAAAUAGCUCAAUUACGAUGAAAGCCAUUCGUGAGAAAUGGUCUUCUAUCCCACUACAAGAUCAACAAAUCCACUACCGUUCUAUUAAAUAAAAUAUCAGAUAUUUCCAUCCCCCAUUGGUUCUAUUCCUGAUUCAUAACUCAAAAGUUUUUCUGCCACUCUCCAUUACCAAUAAAGUGUUAAAGUUCACAACUGUGUGACAAAGCUGAACGAGCUGGCCUGGAUCAAUUCUGUCCAAAUAUUUAUGUGCACAGAGGGGUUGUACUCAAGUUUCACUCAAAAUAAUUAAAAACACUUCCUUCAAUGGAAGUUGGCAAUGUUCACUAAUAUGAAUUUUCAGAGCUGCAGGAAUUAAAUUAUCCUCUUGCCAGUAUUGAAAACAUCAGAGUGAACACACUGAACCAGCAGAAACGGAAAGUAUUACCUUCAGGUGAAUGUGUUGGCAAAGAAUCUUGUAACCCAUUGAGCACCGUCAUAUUCUGCAACGACAAGCAAGAAAGUCAUUUUUUUUAGGAAAAAAAAAUUAAUUGAAACAAAAAGUAAGAACAUUAUCAAUAUGCCAGAUGCAUCACAUUACACCACACAACAAGGAAGGAGAGAGAGAGAGAGAGAGAGAGAGAGAGAGAGAGAGANNNNNNNNNNNNNNNNNNNNAAACUUAGCUACUAGACUAAAACUGACCCUCUUUCUUCUAAAAAAAAAGUUAUCAACAGUCACUUGCGCAAACUUCAACUAAACAUAUAAGUAAUAAGUAAUUACGCCAUAAGACAUCCCUAACCUUUUUUGGGGACUAUUAUCAGUCAAUGUUGUAACAGAACAAGCCGUAUAAUAAUCAAAGUCAAUACAGUCUAGACCUUAAUUGAUCACAUGAUAAAACAGAACUGAAUACGGAUUGCUUGUCAAAACUUAAAAUAACAUUUACACAGAGGGCACCUUUAUUAUCUAGAAAUAUUGGAAGUAUGAACGCAGGAAUCAACUUAUGCAAUUGCAUAGAUAUUGUCAAAAGAAUUGCAUAACCAACUUUAGUUUAAUUGAAGUUACCUUCUCAACAAAACUGAUGCACUCGACUUUCAAAUUUUUUGGUCCUCCACUGGUAAUUUUGUCUGAUUUAGUCUUGUCAUGCAACACCCCAUUGUCACAACAGGUCUGGUCUGAUGAUCUGAGAACUUUGUUAUCCUUCAAAAUCCUAACACCACCUUUUGUUCUUCUCCGUGGGGGUACAGAUUUAACAGCUACAGGAUCCGACAUACCAGACUCUGUUGAUGGAGCAUCAGAACCUCCAAACUCAACCGUGGAUGAAAAUGAUGGUCUUAAUUUUGUUUUAAAAUUUUUCUGCAUUAGAUCCAAAUAGGUAUUAUCUUUAAGCCAUUUAGCUAUUCUGCUUUGCACAUCCGGCACCAAACUAUCAUCCUGCAUAAACAAAGUAAAUAUGUCAGGACAAGUGAAGUAGGGAUAACAAAUACUUCUAAAUUCUAUUGCAUAAUAAUUAUACACAUAAAAACUAAAUUAUUUAAAUUGCAUUACCGCAAGUGAUGCAGAUAAAGAAUCAGGUGAGAUGCCAAUCUCCAAUGCCACAUCCUUCACAUCAACUUUUCCACAAUCAAUCAGCUGCAAGAGAAGAAAAUAUAAGACUUGGAAAUGCUGCUGAAGCCAAUAAUUGUAAUGAUAUAUAAUAUCUUCAUUGACCACCUUAUUCAUUACCUUCUGUAAGAUAGGUGUAAGAUUAAGGGCCCCAGAUGCAUUGACAUCCUCACAGCUCCUCUCUAAUUUCCCCCUAUCAGUCAUUGGCAAGCCCUGUGAUCUGCUAUCACUGACCUUAUCGGAAUUAUCUGAAGUCCCAAUAGUGACUGCAACAUUAUCACCAUUUCUUCUGCCAGUUUUUGACUUGUUUGAUUUUUUUGGUGACAAUGUCACAUGAGGGCUGUCUGAGAUAUUUGAAUUCUUGUCGAUGUACACAGAAGGAUCCACUGGUUCAGCAUUGCUGUUAUUCGGUACUUCUGAGUGCUUUGGGCAGAAAGCCUUUAAUUCAACCUGUGUAUCCACAAUAUUGUAAAGCCUGAUCACAACCAUAACCUAGUUCUUAAAAACAUGGAACAUGACAGCAAAUACAGCAAAGAUGAUAACCUUAACAAUUCUCAGACACAAGGAAAACUCUUACAUUAUUGACCCCAAAUUUUGCCCAAAUUUCCAUUCUCUGUCUUGCCUCUCUCGCACACAUUGGAUGGAAAGAAGUUCUGCAAGCACCUGAACCAAAACCCAAAAAUAUAUAUUUACAUCAUGAGGAAUGUGAUCCAGAAGUUGAAACCGAAAUUCCAGCAGAAAGCAAACUGGUUUAAGUAUUAUAAAGGAUUAAGCCCUCUCAAAAGUAUGCCAAGCCCCACUUCACAAGGCCCAUGACAAGUAGGUUAGAAGAAAAAUAAUAAUGUCAUACAAGUAGAGCCAUUGAGAGCUCAAGAUGUAGUCCUGCAUCCCACUAUAUAUGAGAAAGCAAUUUAAUAUGUUCUAAGCCUAUACUAAAAAGAACAGUUGCAAAAAAACUAUUUAAGAUCUGGCACUGAAAUCAAAGUUCAUAUAAUAAGGUCGGUACGAAGCAGACCAUCUAGUUCAUAUAACACCACAAGCAUAAUACCAUGCAUACUCAAAUUGAUGAAGAAGAAAAAAUGUUCCUCACAGACAAGAAAAUCAGGAAGUGUAUUAACUAUUAACAACUCCUAUGAAGUACCCAAACACAAUAAUUAUUCAAUUUUCCAACAAAAGGAAAAGAAGCAAGAAAAUGCUCAAUUGUUUUGCAAUGUAUCUUAAUACGAAGGCUUGCUUAUUCUUUCUUUCCCUCAAAUUUGAUACAUGCAGUUCGCAAAGAAAAAAAAAAAGGGUUUAUGCACACGAACAUAACCACCAGAGCAAUCUGAAAUCUAUACUUAAAACCACAACUAGGCACCUAGUGUAGCAUUCUCAAUUCCCAAAAUAUUAUCUCUUGCAGCAUAGUGGAAAUAAGACUGAUUUAUUAACCAAAAAAAUAAAAAAAAAUCACCAUACAGGCAAAAAGGAAAUUAUAUUUUACAGGACAACUCUACAAAUGGAGAACUAAGCACAUACAACUUUAUGGGAAACAGUAAAAAUAGGAAAUGAAAUUGCAUAAGACAGUAAAGCAACAAAGAAUACCAUGACUGCAUCGAACACAAGCGCCCCACUUCACCUUGCAUAUGUUACAUAUUAAUUUUCUUCGGGCUUCCGGUAUUCCUUUAACAUUUACGAUGGGUUCCACCUUUUCCAUAUCCUCAAUAUAAGCCUCUGGCAUCCAUUGACAGCAAAACAGAUGGGCAAACUCCAGAGAACCACCACUAUCACCAUUCUUCAGAACUGGCUUCAUCGCACCGCCCUGCUUCGAACAAAGCACACAUGGGUUUACUGAAUUACUAACACCAGUGUUGUGCUUACACCAAGAGCAUAACCAUGAAGCAUCUGCAUCUUCUAGCACUCCGUAGCACUUCUGAUGAACCACAACCUUACAAGAACUACAAACAAUCAACCGAUUCGACUUAUUUCCUAUAUCACCCUUGCAGCAAAAAUGGCAUAAAGAAGGAUUCCCAUCACAAGGAGCUGCAUUUAUGACUUUCUCCAACCCUGCAUCAGCACCGAGAACCUUCCGCUUCUUUGAAGGACGCUCAGUUGCUAAAGAAGUCUUGUUUUUAUAACCUAAAAGCCACUCAACACCAUUGGGAGAAUCCGAAUCAGAACAGCUUGGUUUUUCCUCCUCAGGCAAACCACAAGCUGCAACACUAUCAAUUUCCAUUGACUGCACAUUCUGCUCCGUCUUGACCUCUUCUUCAACAACCCCAUUUUCAUUUCCGCCUUUCUCACCAACCUUCUCAACUACACAAUCAGCAUUCUCAUCCUUGCCAACAACCUCAGUAGCAUUCCCACCGUCCUCCCCGGCAGCAACCUCAUUAGCAUUGCCACCGUCUACAUUCUCCUCCUUAACCUCAUUCGAACUACCACCACAACCACACUCCUCACCAGAACCAAGUCCCGCAUCCACAUUUCCAUUUCCAUUCAGCUCAGGAAUAUUCCCCUUAUCCGGAGUCGAAAAACACUGAGUGGCAGCUACCUUACUAAGCUCAGACACCUCAGCCAAGGCUUCGAUAUCAGACAAUGUCACUGGUCUAAAGUACUCCUCUGUCUCUGCCCACAGGCUAUACCCCCGGGCCUUCUCACUCUGCCUCGAAUGCUUCUUAUCCGACGCCGCAUGUGACUUCUUGUGCCGCCUCCGGCUAUCCGACUGCCUCGACAAGAAGCUAGCCAACCCCCUCGGCAACGUGGUGGGGACCACAGUCGAACCACCGCCGCCGCCGCCACCGGCCGAGACGUCUUCCACAACAUCAUACGGCGACCGCUCGCACAAGGCCUUCCUCGCCUGAGAAUACAAAUCCACCGGGUUUUUGGAAACUUCCGGCAGAGUCGCCGGAAUCUUGGACGGAGCCCUAGAAAUCGGGCAGGGCUUCUCCUCCUCCGUGGCGCAGCCCCCGUUGGCCAUCAUCAUCUGCUUCUUCUUUUUCCCGUGACAUCGGCCUCCGGUCAUCACCGACAACCGACAAAUCCCAUCGGCGGCCUCUCGAAAAAAAUAAAAUCAAAAAUUGAAAAUCCCAAUCGUAACCCUAACCCUAAAAAUCCCUCGAAAAUCCAAAUCCGCGCGGCCGGAUCUAAAAUUUGUGAAACGGAAAAGGAAAGACGCUAUCGCCUAAUUCGAAAAAAUCGUGAGAUGUGGGGAGAGAAAGAGAGAUAAAAGUCGCGGCUGGGCGAGGCUAGGGUUUACGGUUAUAUUCUGGUUCGUAUUUCUUUGGAUCCGUUUUUCCGAGUGGGGUGCCCUUUCUCUCUUUUUUUUUUUUUUUUGGCUCCAAAAAAUAAAAGAGAAAUGAAAAUUGUGUUAGAGAGAGAAAGAGAGAGGAGAUAUUUUCUUUCUAAUUUUGACACAUAUACGUGGGGGAAUUGUAGGGUGGGGUGACGCAACUGCUGCAGUGGGAUGUGAUGUACACGUGGCGGGUGAUUAUAGGAGGCGGUGAUGUGUGUCAUUCACCGGGUCAAUUUUCCCCGAUUUGGCAAAUUUUAUUUUCGAUCCACAUAAGGAUGGCAUUUCAGACGGGUAGUCGGGGAUAAAAAACUCAUACUCAUACCUCAUUUUAUUUCUCAUUUUCCGUCCUUGUUUUUUUUAGAAUCAAAUAUCAAAAUAAAUAAAUUUCUUAAUUCAAUCUAAUAGAAACAAUUUAGGUUUGAGUUUGCUACGUUACUUUGAUUAAACAAUCUUUUUUUGAGAAUCAAAAAUUAUAUAAUAGAAAGAAAUUUUUUAUAAAUAAUUAUUAAAAGAAUCAGAAAAGAAUUUUACAUAUAAAAAUAUAUAUAAUAAAUAAUAUAUAUAAACCUUAAUGGGUGGGGACAAAUAUUGAAAUAUCAUACCCGCCCCGCCGCCCCGGACCUUUAGGGCUAGUUUGAUAUUAUUGUGACUUUAAAAAAAAAACUAUUGCUGUUGUACUACGAAAACAAUCAACUGUGAAUUAAAACAGUUUUAUGUUUGGUAAAUAUUAGUUUUAAAAGUGUUGUCAAGAUAAAAUUUAUUAGGGUCUACUUCAAGGGACAUUAAAUUUGACACUAAUUUUUAACCAUUAGAUUUUAAAAUAAUGAAUGGUCUAGACCAACCUUAAAUAUGAUGUCAACAUAUAACUAAUUGAUGUGGCAAAUGACGUGACAUUAUAUAAUUUAAUAAAAAAUCAAAUUAAAAAAAAAAAGAUGGAAAAAUCACACCUUAAAAUCUGGAAAACAAAUCCAAUUUGCUCAAUAAAAAGGAGAAUAAAAAUCAACAGAACUCCAAAGACGUGGAAGAACAAACCCAAAGAAUCUAGGCAUGAAAAUGAAGCCUUUCGAUCAACGCACAAAAAUAAAUCCAACCUCACCUUCAAUUGUCUAGGUAAAUUUCCCUUCAGAAAAGCAGUGCUUUCAGUUGCGGUUGUUGAUUAAAGUGUAAUUGAGUGAACAUGAGAGGCAACGUUUGCAUCAUUGUUUGCACCAUUGACAUGAACACCAAUAUUACUCUAACAUGAGAAGCUAGUAGACAAACAUUGUGAAUCAUUGCCUAGAUUAAUAUACGAUCUGUGUUGGAUUACAAAUUCGGUUUCUUUGGUCUUUCCUUUUUUUUUUUUUGGUUUUUGUAUUCUUCUUCGUCUUUGGGGUUUUGGGCAAUUUUUUUCUCCUUUUUUAUCAAGAAAAUUGGAUUUUGUUUUCUAGAUUUUUGUGUGAUUUUUCCUUCUUCUUUUUUAAAUAUGAUUUGUUAUUAAAUUAGGUAAUGUCAUAUCAUUUGCCACAUCAAUUAGUUAUAUGUUGACAUCAUAUUUAGGAUUGAUCUAGACCAUUCAUUAUUUUAAAAUCUAAUGGUUAAAAAUUAGUGUUAAAUUUAAUGUCCCUUGAACCGGACCCAAUUUAUUAAUUUCUAGUGUUUUUAGUGACAGCUGCUUUUAAAAUAAACAUUCAUGUUGAUUCUAAAAACUAUUGUCAGUGACAUAUAAUUUUUUAAAAAAAAUGUUUUUCUUUCAUUUACCAAACACUAUAAAAUCUAAAAGUUCGUAUAAAAAAUGAUUUUUUUUAAAAACGAAGUUGUACCAAACUGGGCCUAAGAAUCUGAAUACUAGGGAUCUUCAUCCAGUUACCCGUUUAUCUCUCUUGUUAGGGUCGAAUACUCAUGGGUACCCUACCCGUUGGGAAUUAUUGCCAUCCCUAGAUCCACAACGUUUUUGCUUAGGGCUGAAUUACUUUUUCUAAACUGGUAGCACUUGUCAGUGAUUUUGAAAAUGAAGUUACAUGGAAAAGGUAAAAUAUUAGAAGCCAUAAAUAUACAAAAAAAAAAAAUACAAAAAAAAAAAUCCUAGGGCGUAUUCUUAUUAACCUCUUUGGAUAAUUUACCAAAACAAAAAAACCUCUCUUGACAAGCUCAGACUGUUUUGUCUUUCUCGUUUCUCCUCAUAUCAGCUAGCACUCUCCCACCCAAGACCAGCGACUUCAUACCAAGAGACAAAACUGGUUCCUUCCAAGAAUCAGGUAACCAUCGAAGUCCAAACAUGUCGGUUUUCUCCUUCAGUAAUUGGAACACUUUGCCCCUUGUGGUCUCUAGUUCCUCCUCAUAUUGGCGGAGCUCACCUUCCACCGAUGCCGAAAAUCUGUCCACCAAAGCAUUGAGAUGACGUUGCGGGUGUGUCAAGUGAUAUCUCAAAAUGUCGAGUUUCAUGUUCAAACUCAUUAUUCCUUUGAAGAAUCUUGAGUAGUGAUUGCUCAUCUCCAGCAAUGUCACCUCAUUCAAAUUCUCAGCUUGUAGUAAACUUAACGUGUUUGAAUUGUAGCGUUUGAUAUUCUCGAGUUGUGUGCUUGCCAAAUCCACCAGCUCAUAGAUAUUUAGAUCAUCCUCAUCAAAUAAUUUUUCUGUAGACUGGAGUGAAAAUUUGAAGUGUUGUGGACACUCUGUUUCUCUCCCAGGUAGUGUCCGCCACAAAUAACUGAAGUAGGUAACGCCUUCAGGCGUGAAUGGAUCAACUAGGUUGCUGGAAAAUUGAGCCCUUAGGGUCUCCACGGCCUUCAAUUUCUCUUGAUCAAUUUCAGCGUUGUUGUUGUCGAACACAACCUUAUGUGCAACUGGUCUCAGAUACUUUAGGGGCACUUCAAAAAGCUCAUAAUAUUGGUCAAGAUGGUAACUGGAAUGAGUUAAGUUGUAUUUCUUCUCCAUCUUUUAUCGACGUUACUUGAAUACAACUAUAGUUAAAGGAAAGAUACAGAGGAAAGCUAUUAUAUUUCAUUGAUAAUAGGGCCUUUAUAUAUAGAUGGAGGAAAACCAAAAUACAAAGAUUCCUAUCCCUUUAUGAUAUCAAAUUCCUAUCCCUUUAUGAUAUGGAAAACUAGCUAGAAUAUUUAUCGAAUCCUGGAUGAUUAAUCCACUAAGGAUACCGACUCAGAAUAUGAGAAGACUACUGUGUCAGCAUGGAAGAUUAAUAACAUGAUUUUAUUGAUCUACACUGUAAAUUGUCAUAACAUGGUCUUGCAAGCUCAUUGUUUCUGACUUCCUGCUAGACACCUAAACUUCUGCUAGACCAAAAUCCCCAAGUUUCAUUAGAUUCUGCAUCAAGCAGCAUGUUGCAAGAGUUAACAUCUCUCAAUAAUUUGCCUGCCAAGUUGAAGCUUCUGUCGACGACUUUAAUUACGCGUCCAUGGGUUCUGCGUCAAUCUAUUGAACAUAAUUAAUGUUGCCAUCAAAACCUCCUUAUCUAUUGAUCCCAAUUCUUCACCAUCUCCUUAUCGAUCAUGGUUGUUGUGCUUUUGAGAGCUGGUUAACCGGCGUCUCCGCCUUUUGGUAUUGUGCCUCUUGUUGCAAAAUUGAAUGGGAGUGAUGAGAGUUUAGAAAUUGGGAAGGAAGUGAGUUCUGAUAAGAAGGCUAAGGUAUAUAGUGGAGAUGUGAAAGAGCUUGGUGUUAGUGUUAACAAGAUGGUCUGCAAGGACCAAAUUCGGGUGAAAAUGGGAGAAAAUGCCAUGCACUCCACCUGCUUGAUGAAAUGCAGCAUUCAUAUGGGCUGUGUAAUGCAGGAAAGAAACAUUGUAUAACAAGCGAGCAAUCAUAGGCUGCAAUCUGUCUGUUGUAUCACAAGGCAGCAAAGCUGAAACCCCUUUUGUUUAGGAAAAUCAUAGUCUCAUCACAUAGUACUUUAUACCCUAUGGUGAGCUCUACCCAUCUACAUUACUCAAAUUUACUUAACUAGUGUCCCUUUCUUUGACAUUACCAUCUACCAGAUACAUGACAUCCAUAUGCAGACCUAGUCUAAUGUAAGUAUCUCAGGCAAUCCAGGCCUUUUAGGGGGUUGGCGGAUGGGUGAUUGGUUAAGAAUGGGCUGAAGUUCAAGAUCUUCUUGUGGUUGUGGUUGUGCUGCGUGAGCUUGUCUCUGAAAUGGGGCACUGAGGAAGCCAUAUACUGCUCUCGAAGCUCUUGUUGAUCCGCUUGCUGCUGCUCUGCCUGCUGAUCUGAUCGAAUCCAAUACUGACUGAGGGCCUCCGACGUAAGCAACCAAGGAAGUCAGAGCUGCAACAGCCGCUAAUACCAUAUAAGCCCCCCUCCUUUCAACCGCUUCGUUAGGCAACAAGUUGUGGGGCGUGGUUCUAGCCACACCAACCACUCCAAGGAUGCUGACAGCGCCUACGAGGACUCUGUUGAAAGCUCCGAUACUGCCUGCCAAGAUUCGACGACCUAGUCCCGCAUUCUCUGUCACCGGAACUGUUGACGCGCCCCCGAGCAUACCACAUAAGUUGCACAGGACGUAUACAACAAUAUAAUUCGUUACCCAUGGACACUUCUUUCGAAUGAGACAAGCAAUGACAAUCACCAGUAUCAGCACGGUUAACAGAGGUAAACCAUACUUGAUCAAGUCUUCUACAAUGGGAUACCAGUAUGGAGUGGGAGUGGAAUGCCAAUAUGGAGUGGGAGUGGGAUACCAAUAUGGAGUGGGAGUGGAAGUGGGCUUGGUUUUAGGCGGAAGUGAAAUUGGACUUGUACCUCUCGACGGAGAAGAUGGCGAGGUUCCGGUGUCCUGCACGUGAUGGCGAAGUUCCAUGUCCUUCACUAAGACGGUGGAGCUACGCGCAGCCGCCUCCGUUUUCUCCAGUUUCUGCGGCGUGGUUCUCGUCGCCGGAGGCAGUUGAGAUGACAGCGGAAGGGUGGCAGUGGCUGAAACGGCUGCGGAACUCCGAGGAAGCGAGAGCGGUCUCGCCGCGUUGACCAUCGCAGGAGCCGGAGAAGACGGCUCAAGAACACCUGAAACGGCGUCGUCUUCCUUUGUGAUGACCGCGGACCUCCGAGGAACCGAGAGCGAUCUCGCCGGGUUGAUCUUCGCAGGAGCCGGAGAAGACGGCUCAAGAACACCUGAAACGGCGUCGUCUUCCUUUGUGAUGACCGCGGACCUCCGAGGAACCGAGAGCGGUCUCGCCGCGUUGACCGUCGCAAGAGCCGGAGAAGACGGCUCAAGAACACCUGAAACGGCGUCGUCUUCUUUUGUGAUGAUCGCGGACCUCCGGGGAACCGAGAGCGGUCUCGCCGCGUUGAUCUUCUCCAAAGAAGAGGGCGCAUGCUCAGUUGAAACGACGUCGUCGUCGGAGAUGAAAAGAUGAGCAGAGAGCGGACUAGCGCCGUUACCGAAGAUGGUCGUCCCACCGGAGCCGAUCACCAUCUCCGGUUCUAAGUCUUCAACUCUCGCCGUCGGAAGCGACGGUUGGCCCGAGGCUUGCAGAACGACGUCAUCGGUCUGUUUCUUGACAGUCGUUGUGGAUGUGGAGGUGGUUGGGGGUGAACGAGAGGCAGAGUUGGCGGUGGUUGGCGGUGAACCGGAGUCGGAGUCGACGGCGGCGAAAGCGGUGGUGGUGAGGAGGAGAAAGAUAAUGCCCAAGAGAGAGGUUGGGGACGCCAUGGGAGAGUUAGUUAAGGUCUGGUAAAUUUCAGAGUGGAGUGAAGUGUAAAAGGCGAAGAAGAAAGAAGGUAAAGGGGGAUUAUAUACACGAAUCCCAGAGAGCGAGAAAUUCGCAGAAGCGUAACAGAAUCGACAGCUCAGCUCGGGUUUGUGCAUCAAAUUUUUGGCGGGAAUUCACACUUGUUUUGUGGGGCAGGGUCGGGACUGCAAUCGUAUACGUGUUGAAGUCUUAUUGGAGGAGGAUCAUAUAAUACAAGGUCGUUAUACGAUUACACGUGUGAAAUUCUUAUUAUUGGGGCUGAGGCUUUAACAAACUUUUCCUUUUCAAGAAUCUAGUACACAGAGAAGAACAACUUUUGGCUGGGAAUUCGGUUUGUUAUGUGUGCCUAAAAUUGUUAUAGGCUAUGUUUACAUAAUGUGUACAUUUCAAGUCACUUUUGCGCAUGGUGCAAUUUUUAUAGGCUAUGUUUAUUGUCUUAUUAACAAAAAGAUCUACUCCACUGUUCCGAGAGAAGUUUGGAGAUCAUUAAGUGGUUCAAGUUGAAUUGUGAUGGCCCGAUAACGUCUAAUUUUGCUGCCUUUUUUAUGUGAUAAGAUAUUCUUCUAGUUUCCGUAUUAUGGCUCGUGUGCCCCCGGCUCCAACAUCUCAACUGUUCUGGUGGCUGAAUGCAUUGUUUCAGAGAAGGUCUACUUACUCCCAAGAGGCUCAACUGUAAUCAAAUUGAGGUAGAUUGAGACUUUUUCACUGUUAUCAACUGUGUCAGUAACAAAAUUUUCAUAUCUUUAAUCGGUGAUGUUAAAGCUCUUGCCCAUACUUUUAACAUUGCUAGGAAACCAUGGAUUAUUGAAAACUAAAGAACAAAGCAGAAAAUGUAAAACACCGAAGAGAAUUUGGAGACUACAUCUUGUAUUGCUUGUUAAAUUGAACAGUGUACAUAUGAUAGCAUAUAUGCUUGGUAACAAGCAUAAUGGUUGCACCAAAUUACACUUUCAUCACAAUAUCAAUACACAAAUGUAGAACACUGACCAAGAUAACAACCUAAAAUCAAAACCCAAUAUUCUGAUAUCAACUUCUAACUUCCAUUGUGGCUUCGGCUGAAAGAGGAGAGACCUUGCUUGAAAACUGCAUAGUUCACAUGGGCAGUAGUGCAGCAAUAUGUAAUGCAUCCUCGGCAGCAUAGCAACAUAUGAUGGAUAACUGAAAAACUCUUCAUCUUGGACUAAAAUCUGAUAUAUAGAAAUACUGAAAAAUGCAUAUGACUGCCACAAAUUUUUUGAUACUCAUUUGCACACUACUAGCGCCAAGAAAACCACUUGUGCAAUCCACAAAGAAAUCUGCCUCAAUACCAAAUUAUCUCCUCUCCAGUUUGAAUUAGAAUAGUAACAUAACAUCCCCUCAUCAUUUGAGCUCUUUUAGCAGCAAUAUGACUAUAAAUCAGUAAACAUUGCAAACUCACAGCAAUGAAGGCAGCGUCUCCCAAAAUGAACACAUCUCACACACAAUCCAUGCAUUCAAACUCCCAUCCAUCCAUCAAGACAAUUCACCAGUCCAAAAAAAAAAGAUUAUAAAACUGCUUCGUCACUUUCUCUUUUGGUUGACGGCAGACACAAAUUUUUGAUAAAAAUAAAAAAGAAAAACUGAUGAUAUCGUCAUAACAGAUAACUAGAGAGAAUCCACAAAUUAAGAGUAGGGAUGCUCAAUCACACAGACAAAUACCAAAGUUGCUAAGGAAUUUGAUGCUAGUUGAGUGAGGAUUAUGAGAAAUUGAUAACCCAUAGCACAAAUCGAAAGCAUAACCAUGAAAUUACUAUCUAGAUAUCAGAUAUUGAAAGCCUCAAAAUUCCAUCAGAAACAGAAGCUCAGAAAAAUUUAACCAGAAUACCCAUCGCACAUUCGACGUCAAAUCACCAUCUACUGCCGCUAGUCCAAUCGAUGAGAAAAGGAGAAGAGAUACGCCAGCGACCAUAGCGUCCAAAGGAGACGACAAAGAUGACUGAACAAAGAGCAAAGUCGAGGCCCGGAAGCAAACUCAGAUGCAGACCCUAAGUCCCGAAUUCAAAUUUCCAAAUUCACUAUCAAAGGGCGACAAGAAGAGGAGAAAACGGUUGGGUAACGAUGAUGAAAUCUGAUUUGAGGAUUUAUCGGCUUUGAAUUGAUAGACUAGGCAUGAAACUUAGAGAUAUGAGGCUAGGGAUUUAGAAAAUUGGGGAAAACGAAAAUUGAAAGCGAAAGAAACUGAUAACAGCGGAAGCUAAAGAUAGACGAAAGCAUGAAGUCCACAGGAUCAAGAGCCGAGGCUCUGAUACCAUGCUAGGAAAACCAUGGAUUAUUGAAAACUAAAGAACAAAGCAGAAAAUGUAAAACACCGAAGAGAAUUUAGAGACUACAUCUUGUAUUGCUUGUUAAAUUGAACAGUGUACAUAUGCUAGCAUAUAUAGGAUAGGGUUAAUAGUAAAUGUCCCAACUACCCUUAUACACUUAGCAAACAUCUCAUAAAAUCUUCAAACACUUAAAUUGUCAUCUACACCGAUAAUGCGAGUGAUCAAGCACCUUGGUGAUCUCAAUCCUAAAUUGUUUUUAUUUUUAUUUAUUUUUAUACGUAUCAAUCCUAAAUUCUUUUAGUUGAUACUUUUUAAAAUAACCAAAGCGCCCUUGAUGUAGUUGUCCAUAACUUUGGGCCAGUGAUUGUCUUUCGGGCUGGUGGUCAAUAUAAAGGCCAGGGAUUAAAAGUAACAAAUACAAACCUAACGAUUGAGUAGCGCAUUGUUCCUCAGUCCAGCAACUAGAUCCAUUCUAAAAAAUAAGUCCAACAAUUAGAUCAAAUGCCAGAGCGCGCAGUUUUACAUUUUUUUCUUUGAGAAUGAGCGUAGUUUUACACUUGAAAUUGUGAAUACAGUAUAUUACUAUUUUAUUGUAUUGUGAAAACUGAUAAUUGGAAAAUAGGGAACUGAUUUGAAUUGGGAAAAAAAAAAAAAAUAGUGAACUGAUCAACAAGAAUCUCAAAACCACAGGCCCAUAUACACCAUAACCCAAUCCCUACGUACAACCUCUCAAUCUCCAAACCGCCCCAUAACUUCCCAAUUUCACAGAACUGCCCCCAAACUCUUCCAAACACGUCACGUUAAGCCCCCCAAAGAUCUCUCAGUUUCACCCUUUCCAAACUUAUCACGUACCAAAUAUUAUUCUCUGCAUGAACACUGACCUCCAUCUGUUAUACCUGGGACGAAUCUUACACACUGCUCAUACUGCUAGUCUGCUACCUUAAUUUAUUUCCAAAAAUGUUUCCAUAAGUGCUCAUAAUGAGUCCAAUGUACUCUCUUGUUAAUGAGAUAUAAUCUUGUUUAUGAAAUUUUAAUCAGCGGCUAAAUUUUAGAUUUAAAUUUGUUAAUCAUUUUUUACUUGACCACCAUCUAAAUUGAUGACACAUAUUUUUUUUAUCAAUAAUAAAGUAAAACAAUUUGAAAAGGAGUGCGGCUAUUGGGACCUCCAGAUUUGCUCAUUGUACCUCCCUAUCUCUUCACACCUCCUUUUUAUUUUUAAAAACAAGCAUUUGCUCAUUAGACCUCUUUUCAAAUUUCUAAAAUAACCUUAGGUUUGUUAUUCAUAUAUAUUUCAAUAAUUUACUCAUUAUACCUCUUAUUCGCUCUCUAGACCUCCCACACUUUAAUUUUUUUUUUUCUUUUUGCAUAAAAACAUUUAUUUCAGACCUCGAUUGCUUGUAUUUUCUUUUUCUUCUUCUCUUUUUUCAUGAAAACCUCUUUUGCAACCUCAAUUCCUUGUUGUUGUUUGUUUUUUAUUUUUUUAUUUUUAUUUUUAUAUUUGCAUAGAAUGUCAUUAACCUAUAUUAUUUGAUCAAAUUGUAAGAACAGACAACAAUUUAAAAAAAUUUAAAUCAUGAAUUGUUUUCACAAUCAAUUGCAAAGCAGUAAAGUGAUGUUUGUAACCGAACGUAUAGUAAGUUAGUAACUACAAAAGUAAAGAAAAUAUGUAUACAUGAAGCAAAUCUGUUGAAAUAUUAAAGCAAGCUAAAAGCCCAGAAACCUUUGACCUAGAAGAAAACCCUAAGAAUGUCAAUUGCGUCUUCAUCAAUUGAGAUUCUUCCAUUUGGUGUAGUAGUUCUUUGCGAUUGAGCAAUGGUUGCACUUGGAUUUAGGGUUUAUAGACUACUCACAUUUUGUAUCGUUAACUUGAAGGAAAAAAAAAAAAAAGGAAGAAUACUAAUCUGAUUACAAUUUUUUUUUUUGUGAAAUUCAAUGUCUAGUAUUGUCAUUUUGUAUGAGGUUAUAUUUGUAAUCCAAUAAGUCAAAACAUGUGGAGGUACACUGAGCAAAUCUAGAGGUCUCAAUAGCCGCACUCUUUGAAAAGACAUGAUGUAGAUAAUUGUCAUUUAGGUGGUCAAAAUAAAAGUGUUUGGUAAAUUUGAAUCCCUAAAUUCUUUUGCAUUUAGAUGAAUCCCACCUCACAUGACUAAAGAAAGAAUUCCUAACGGUAAGAUUAAGAAUGCCUGAUCUCCCCUGUCAUUUCAAUUUAUCCAAAUGUAGGUCCGUACUCUGAAUCUACUCCAACAUCAACAUAUGCAUGGUAAAUUUGACAAAUUAAGAAAAUAACCCCAGGCAUGUAAAUCUCUUACAUUAACUGGGCCCCAUUUCACGCAUAAUUGCAUAUGAAUUUUUGGUUGUAAUUUAAGAUUGAAAUUUAUUUAUUUAUUUAUUUUUUUUUUUGACAGGUAAAGCCAUACGGCAAAUUCAUUAAUACUCAAGCCAGNNNNNNNNNNNNNNNNNNNNAACAAUCGGGCAAGUUAAGGACUUGGCAUGCUAGCACCACUCAUUACAUAGAUUCCGUUCACUUAUUUCGAGCAGAAAAGCCAGAAAUACUAGAGAAAAAAACAAAAAAACUAGAGUCCACUAUGGAUAAAACCAUAGUAAUUAUUCAAGAUGAAAACUAGAAAAAACUAAAGAAUUACUGUUUCUCCUUACCCUUAUCAGAAGGGCUUGGAGACCUGGUGAAGGAGCCAAAGAUGUCUUCCACGGCCACAGGAGCGAUGUCUUUGAUCAUAGGUUUAGUGGAGUACAAGGGAGGGAUCUGAAGGAUGCGCACCCAAAAGUACAGCAACGUCAUCGGUAUCUCAUCAAAGGGUGCAAUCCCAUCAUAUUCCUGUAAAACAACCGGAGCAUGAUGAAAAUUCCAAGGUCCUCCCCAAAUAACCUUGUUCCGAUCCUUCUUGAGGUCAAAACUUAGGAGAAAGAGAUUUUCUUCACAUGAUUGAAUGGUGAAUUUUCCUUCAAGCACCCAGACAUCUCGAAAAAAGCUUUUCAGAGCCGAGAGCUUUGUAGGGUUUUUUGCCAAAGGGCGCGCCAGCAGGUAGGAUUGCGUGGCUCUAUGCUUGGCUCCAGAGCGAGAGAGAUCAAUAGUGUCGUUUCUAGCAAGGGCCAACGAUGCAGCAAACGAUUUUGUAACGUCUUCAAUCGACAUCUCGACGAAGUUUGGCAAGUAGGCGGCUGCGCGGCUUCCUUGGUUGACGGCAGAGAGAAAAACUCUUGCCUUAGGGUUUACAGAUUAAAUCUUAGGAACAUGAUGCAGGUUUAGGGGGGGAUUAAGAUUGAAAUUUAUGAAUCUCUCGUUUCAAUUUAUGUGAGUGUGUUUGGAUGAGGGAAAAAAUGAAGAAAUUAAAAGUAAGGAUUUCAUAAUUACUAAAUUUCGAUAGAAUUGGAAACGAAAAAAUUCGUUAUUCAAAUUCUUCAAUUGAAAUUUCACUAAAAUAGGUGUCAUUUGCAAAUUCCUUUGUAAAAUCAAUUUUUAUUUUCAAAACAUAAUUCUUUAGAACUUUAUUUUAAACUAAUAAUCAGUUAUCAUGUCCGUCAUAUUUCUUGAAUUACAUAUAGCUCAUAUGUUGUGAAAUUUAAGGACCGUCUCUCAAUCAUAAGAUGACCUAUAAUGACUUCCACAACAGUGAAAGAUCCAACACUUCUCUCCCAUUACAUUUUAAAAACAAGUGUGAUCUUAUUUGCAAACCAAAAUUCUAAAACAAUGUCGUAUGGCAUGUCUUGGCAGUGUCUAGGCAUUAGAGCAUGUUUAACAGACUCUAUUUUGGUUUUUAUCUAUUUUAGAGAAUGUGUUUAGUUUUUUUUUUUUUGUAUAUUUUAGGAGUUCCAGCAAAUUAACAAAAUCUUAGCUAUUAUCACUUUUAGCUAUCUCGCUAGCCAAAUAUAGAGAGCGAGAUGACUCAGAUGAAGCUAGCUAUAAUUUAAUGCAUUCGUUUUAAGAUAUUUUACAUAAUAUAUAAAUACACUUAAACUAUUUAAUCUUUAAUUGAAGAAUAAUAUUAAUGUAAUGCUAGCUAAAAUAGAGAGUAUUUGUGUAGACGUAUUUCUAAAGUGGUUAGCUAAAAUAAUAUUUUAGCUAAUUCGAUUAAAAUUUAACUCAAAAAUAACUUGUUAGCAGCAUUUAACAAGUUUUCAAAUCUUGGCUCAAACACGCUUGCUUUACGAAGAACGUCGUUUACCUUAUUUCAGUGUUAAGAGGGUCUUUAAUCAUUGGAUCACUGGGUACAAAUUAUCAAUGAUUAAAGAUCACUAGGUCUAAGAGCAUCUCCAGCAGUAUUGCUAAAUCAAUUUUUUUUUGAAAUUUGCCAACUUUUGGGACGAAUAAGGGCUCCAGCAGAAUGCCUAAAAAAUUGAUAAAUCCUAACAUUGCUAAACUAAAUUGACAAAUUUAUCAAUCUAGACAUAAAUUGCUAAAGAGAAACAUAUGUUUUCCCUCCAUUUUUUAUCCACGUGUAAGUUUAUGAUUCGUUAAAAUAAUUAUUUAACUUACACUUAACAAUUACUGCUGGAGCACAAUUACUAUUUCAAUUAUUAAAUAUCUUAACUAUUGUUAAAUUUAACAACAAAAUUUAGGUUCGUUGACGAAAUAACUUAAAAACAAAAUAAGCGAAAUUAAAAGGAUAAGAGGAAAUUACAAAAGUUGCCGUAAUACAGCUAAACACAAGUCUCGCUCACUCUCUCUCUCAAGGGGAAAGUUCGCUGUGAGUGAGAAGCAAUCGAAAACAGCUGUCAAAACCGGAGAUCGAAUUUGCACAACUCCGGCGAUUGGAACCCUGGUAGUUAUCAAAACCGCCGUAGUAGACUACACCGAGCACCAGCCAUGGAUUUCCCGGAGCUUUGGGCAAUCUUCGGGCCAGGCGUCGCCGGCGCUGUGUUCGGCGCCGGAUGGUGGUUCUGGGUCGACGCCGUGGUUUGCAGCUCCGUCACCGUCUCGUUCCUUCACUACCUUCCAGGUCCGACCCGACUCGACUCCGCCCCCCCGUUAAUUGUGAAUUUUAGGUCUUUCAGGGUUUUUGAUUUUGGGAUUGGUGAUUUUUUUGCAGGGAUUUUUGCUUCUUUGGCGGCUUUGAUGUUCAAUUGUGUUAAGAAGGACGACAUUGACUACUCUCCUUAUGAAGAGGGCGAGUGGAGGUGAGUAAUUUGAUCCCUAGCUCAAAAUUUAUGAUCAAGAUUUCAGUUUUAAUUUGAUUCAGUAUUGGAAGUCUUAAUUUUGGUACUGUUCUUAGGGCUAGUUGAAGCCAUUAACUAAUAAUAUGAACAUUUAGAUUAUUGUAUACUGCAGCAAUUGGAUAGUAGUGUAAAACUGAACAUUCUCUAAAGAUUGUCUUUGAGAUUACUUAGAUGCAUCUACAUGAGGAUUGAGGGGUUUAUUAAAUCGUUGCGUUUGCUAUUUGCUUGUUUCUGAAGUUUUGUUCUGAACUUUCUUUAAAUUGCAACAGGUUGAAGCUUUGGCUGUUCAUUGCUUAUGUUGUGUCCUUUGUAUCAUUGGCGGCAUCAGUGGGUUUGCUAAUACAAGAUUCACUUGUGACAACCGGCCCUUCGGUUUGGACAGGAACUGCUGGUGUAUUGCAAGCCGUUUUCGUGUUGGUCAGGUAAAAUUGUCUUUCUGAGCCCCCGUCUGUCUGUUAUAACUAUAAACAAAGACACUCCUUACUGAAAAGCAUAUACUGUUGUUUAUGGUUACUCUUGUAAAUUAACGGCAUAUCAGUAACAUGCAUUAUUUAUGUUAUAAGCUUAUAAAGUAAUGCUUGCUGCUGGUUGUCUUCUGUGAACAAUGGCAUCCCUCUAAUUGAAGCACACUCUAAUAUGUUCAUGAAUGUGCACAAGUAUAUGCAAGCACAUGUUAAAUGCUUUUAGAUGAUUAAAAUGUAGUUCAUGCAACUUUUACAGUUACCAUCUGGUUUACCCGUGGUCUUUUAUUUCCUGCAGUGGGCUUAUAUAUUGGACUUCUCACCCGGAGUAAGUAGGGACCGUGAUAAGUAGUUAUUCAUGGGAAUCUGAAUUUCACAAGGGAGGGAAUAGAAUGACUUAAUGUAUCAUUUUACUCCUUCAAUCAAUUGGACCAAGAACAAAUGUAUCGUAAAUAGGGUUCAAUUUCAAAUUCAAUAGCUGAUACGAAAUGUAUUUUUCAGUGAUUGUAAAUUUAUAUUGUGCUAUCUUCCUAAAUUUGUGAAACUGAGUCGAUACUUUUCAAAAAUGCAAGUUUGUUUAUGUUUAAUCCAUUGAAUGACUGUUUUGCUGCUUAAGUUUGAUAUCUAAGGUUGCCCUUUCAAGGCAGCCUACUUGCUUCACAAGGGGUUCAGAUGCUAAUUGCGAAGUACAACAUCAGUUCAAGUCCUGCUUGGGUCUUAUGUUGUGCUACCUAUCUUUCUAAAUUGGUGAAACUGAGGCAAUGCUUUUACUAAUGUCAGUUUGUAUACGUUUAAUCCAUUGAAUGACUGUUUUGCUGCCUAAGUUUGACACCGUAGGCCGCCCUUUCAAGGGGGCCAUUUACUUCAUAAGCGGUUUAAAUGCUAUUUGCCACGGACGGCAUCGGUUCAAGUCCUACUUAGGUCUUUAAUUAUCACUUUCUUUUUUCUUCUUUUUUCAUAUUCAUCUUGCGCUUAAGCAAAGUAGCUAGAUGACACACGGACAACUAUCAGAUGGAACUAUAACAUCUUUAAAUUUGAUUACAAGGAUAUUCGGCCAACCACAAGUAGAACGACUGGCAACUUAAACAAGGCUCUCAUCUAGAAUCUCUUCCACAACAUUUGGCAUUACUUCUGGUGAUACACGCCCCUUUAAUAGUUGUGUGUGUGUGUUUUCAAGGUAAAUUUUUAAGCGUAACUGCUGUACAAGAGAGGAGAAACAUUUGUUUUCUCGCAGCAAUGUAGUUCCCACAUUUAAAUCCCAUGUGCUGUUUUCAGUUGGAUUAUGAAAUAUGGAAUGGUAGCUUAACUCCUUGAGUUGGUUAAAUAUGGUCGACAUAAAUAGGUUUAACUUGCUGUAGCUUUCAUAUAUUGUUCCCAAUGAAACUGAUGCCCAAAACAUAAACGAGUCUAAAUCAUUUCACAUGUGCAUCGGGCAUACAAUUAUGAAUGAAAGACAAGUAAAAGAAUAAUUAAUCUAACAAAACAGAAAUGAAAUGACCGCAAAAUUUCAUGCGCACCAAGGUAAAAAUAAACCCCUAUUGAUUUCUUCUUUUCCGUAAAAUGGACCAAAAACAUAAGCCUUUUCUUGUAGAAUUAAACCCCCUAAAAGAAAGAGGAAGGAACAAGGACCAAAGUACACCAAUGUAUCAAUUUUCUCAUCAUCAUCUUCCACUGCAGACAAAAUAGCCCCUAUCCUACUCUCUCCCAUAAAAACUUAAAACCUAAACAAAAACCAUUUUAGGCAGGCAGGAUUGGGGCACCUGUGACUUAUUGCACUAUUUGCAGAAUGCAUAGUUCUUCUCCAGACCCAUUCUCUUGUUUCUUACCAAACCCAUCAGCUUCUUUUUCUUUUUUUCCAAAACAAAGAGAUAAGAGACUAACCAUCUGCCAAAAAAUUAAAAAUUCUUGGAUCUAUGUGUGAGAAAAAGUAUAUCAAGCUUCAGACCCAGAGUCAGAUGAGCUCAGUCCAGUAGUUGCCCCACCAAAAUUAGUUGCGUGAGAUUCAGGCAGUGUUGAAAGCUUUGGCUGCAUGCCUCGAUUCAGUUUCAGAGAUGGUCUCAAUUUCAUAUACUGCAUAGAAAGACACAAAGUUAGAGAUAAUGUUCAGUUGUAGAACCAACCUAUUCAGCGUGCACAAAGUGACAUUUACAGUAAUAUACUACAUAUUGCACCAUUUAGUAUGUCAACAAUUCAAUUCAGAUCGAGUUCACAAAAAGUGAACAGACAUGACAAUUAAAUUUCUUACCUGGUCAUAGAAGGCAUUGAUCUCUUCUUCCGUUAGACCGCCAUCAUCACCAGAAUUUUCCUCCCAUCCAAGAGAACGAAGGAAACGAGCUUCUUCCUCAUCCGGAUAAACUGCUGCACUUGGGCCAGUACCAGAAAAUCUCUGAACCUCUUCAGAGCUAACACCAUUGCCAGUUACCUCACCACCAUUUUCAAUGUGAGGGCUCGCAGGAUCACUGAACACUUCCCCAGUUAUGUCACCAGAUUUCUCUAUAGUGGGAGGUGAAAUAUUAGGGCCUGAAUCUGGGAGAGUAAUUGAACUGUUCACUGAGGUUUUCUUCUUUAGGAGAUUAAAGAAAUCAUUCCGGCUCUGGACUUGAGACAAAGAAGGUCUCUUCUCCAAAGUGGCUCCAGAUUUCAGAUCCAAGGCAGCCACCUUUCUUUCCACCGCCAAAAGCUUUGGAUUGUUAGGGCUCCUUGAAGGAGCGGACACAACUGGAGGAGCAACAGCAAGUGGGCUAUUUGCUGCUCUGCUGCUGGCAUUACUUGUCGGGCUAGUGACAUCCUUCGGAGAAGAGAUCCCAUUUUCCCAUACUGGUUUAAGAACAAGGAACCCCUUCCCAUGAGAUGUCUUUGGAGCAUCAGACUUGACAGGCCCCCCAUGAAGAGAUUGAUUGGCAUGGUGCGAUUGAGAGGGCUGCUGCUGCCCACCCUUCACAGGUGCAAUCAUCUCACCAGCUCUGACUGCUGGUUUGGGCUUUAAUUUGUCAGAAGAACUAAGAGCCUGAAAGAUAAUACAAAACUAUUAAGAAAUUUAAAAGAUAACAGCAUGCAAAAAAUAAUAAACAAGCAAAAAGUGGGAUGUUAGUGAGCAUAUAUACAUUUCUCAACGGUUCAUUGUUUUGGAACAUAAAAGCUUAAUAAGAAAAUUUAAAAGAGCAUGUGAUAGAAUACAAAUGUCAUCUUGGCAAUCCUCUGCUGAAAGAAAUCAAAAGUUUAUUUUCAUCUCACUUAUCCUAAACGAAUAGUAUAUCGUUCAAGCACCUUCUCUUAAUAUAUAUUUUCACUUCUCCAACCCACUUCUAUUUAUCAACAAACACAUAUUGUCCUUAUCGAUCAACAAUAUGGUAAACCAAGCAGCUUCAACCCCCUUCCCCUUCCAAGAAAGAGAAGACUAUAAAGCAAGUGAUAUCUAUGUAGUAAGCCCAUCCCAUCUUAUAUCGAACCUCUUCAACACUAAGUGAGGCAUCUAUGUGUUCCUUCUGCAAAAAUAGACUGAACUUAAUACUCAUUGUUGGGAAAACUGCCCGCAUAGAGCACUACAUCUUAACUGCACACCACCAAAUUGCGCUUUUUGUGUGUGUGUGUGUGUGUGGUGGGGUGGGGGGGGGUGGGGGGGGGGGGGUNNNNNNNNNNNNNNNNNNNNNGNGGGCGGGGGGGGGGUGGGGAACGAUAUGUUUCAAGCUACGAUGUCCGAGAGAAGAAAUAAACAUGCAACUAGUCUCUCAAUGUAAUGUCUUUGUAUUGCUAACUCAUUCCUAGACAAACAAACAUAACAUCAAGUGCCAAAGAGCCUGUAUCACCCUUCCAUGAUUUAUAUAGGGGGAUGUGAGGAAAACAUAGUAAAUGGAUCCAUCCCAACUACAACUAAAAACAAGAGUUUUUAUUUAUUUUUCUUUUAAAGGAAUCAAAUACAAGAUAUUAGAAGAGAAACGUUUAACACCCGUCAAACAACCUCAUGCAGAUAGUCCACUUACUGAAGAUUUUGGCAUUGAAGGUGUCACUGGUAUUAAUUGCCUCGACUGCUUGAGAGCCAAUUCCUCAAGCCUUUGUGUCCUGAUAGAUAACUGCAAAAGAAAAUGCUUUGUUAGAUAAACAAAUAGCACAUUAAUUGAAUGGUUUAAAUAGCACAAAACAAACAAACCUCUCGGUUACCUGAGGAACAGUGCGAGCUCUUGCUGGAGCUUGCACUAAUGCUUCAGCCAUAUUAAGACCAGCCAUUGCAACGGAAGCCCCAGACUCAGAAGUAGCAGCAACAGUGGGUUGAACCGAAAAUGAUCCUGAGCUACUGCUGCCAAUUAUAGCAUUAGGCACCUCUGCCAAAGCUGAUUUAAAUUGCUCUCCCCCAAUCAAAGCUGAAUUGCCAACAGGCAGGCUCUGAACAGCUGAGGUAAACCCCGGAGAUGGGACUCUUCCGAUAUCAGGCACGCCUUGCCUUUCUUCAGUUCCAAGUGAGGGAAAAUCCUUAUCAAAUACAGCAUUCGGACUACCAACUCCACCCCCAGAAAGCAGACCAUUUCCAUUGUUAUGAAUGCUGUUGCUACCACUUUUUGAGUCAAUAGCAAUUCUUCGGGACAAAGUUUCACUUUUAUUCCUGGAACUCAUAGACUGGGAACGUCGCAAAGCAUCCUUAUUGCUAUACAAGCUCAGAUGGUCAGGACAGUCACGGUCCCAAGGCUCUCCAAAAUUUAAUCUUUCUUUUUCCUUUUCACGGUCCUUAUCACGGUGGCUUCUGCUAAAACUACUGUAGGCAUGCUUUGCAGAACCAUUGCUAGAACUCCUCCGGGGAUUAGAGGAGGAGGAGCGUUCCAAAUAAGAAGAGCGAGUGGGGUCAAUGUCACUUGUGGUCUUUGUAGUUCUACUUCUUGAGUGAUGAGCCGGCUGAACAUCUACAUAAGUAUUACAGAACAGUCAAGAAACUUUGUGUUAUACUAACAGAUACAGAACUACCAUAAAUUCAACAGGUCCAUUGUGACAGAUGUCUCCACAAUCCAUAAAUGAGUGUCUGUGUAACAUAAUUGCAUGCAAACAAAGUAUUAGGAACACAAAACAUCAACAAAACGUACCUGAAGAUGAUGCAAAAUGGUGGUGGGUUGAACUGCCACCCCCAGUAACACCGCCUGUAUUUCUCAGCCAUUGUGGAGCUAAUGGGCCUAAUGGGGGUUCACUUUUUUCCAUAAGGAGCACUGAACAUCAUCAGCUAUAACAACAGAAACACUUCUCACCUUCUUCCCCACCUCCGCCGUUUUCCCCCAAAUUUAAUAAACUUCAACAAAGAGAGUGAAGUUCCAACCACAACAAAUUUCUCUUCUUCACAAUCAACUGCCUUCAGCAAGUCAGUCCCACUACAAAUGGAUGGGUUAUCCUAAGUCACAACAAAAAUUUCCUCCACGAAACUUAUGAAAAAAGUAUCCACACAGUUGCUUCGACAGGGUAUAUUUGCUCCUCUACAAUUCUAAAAACCUGGACAAGCCUUAUUACUGCCAAUAACUAUAUCUACCAACACCGCGGCUUAUGCACCAAUUAGAAACCAAGUUUCCACCCACUUACAAACCCGGGGCGGGCAAUGCGAUCACUUCUCUUAUUAAAAAAAAAAGUGACACACAGAAUAACCUGUCUACUCCUCCAUCUUCGAAUAAAAGAUGGAUUUGCAGGAGAAAAAACCGCACCACACUCACUCAGAGGACCCUCAUCUCCAACCCCGAAACAACACGAAGAAGCAAUAGCUCUGUAACUAUGGCAACAACAUCCAAAACCACCCCAAUCAACCAACCAAUCAACAACGCAAAUAUAAAUAAAAACAAAAAUAAAACCCUAGGCGACGGCGAAAUCAGAGACUGAAUGCGGCGAAAAUAGAAACCCUAGAAUCCUCCUCUUCUUCUUCUUCUUCUCUAUUUCUGUGUGUAACUCUCACAAAAUAGACCUAGGGGGAUUUGCAGACCCCGAAAUUAAAACAACGGAGAUGGAAAAAGAGGAGAGGACUAACCCUAGGGCGCAGUGAUUGCGAUUAAGCCAAAACGGUAACCGUUUUGAUAACCGCCUCUGACCUCAGUGUGUGUAUUGAAAACCAAUGGCGUUUUCGGAGGCGGAGAGCGAGAGAGAGAGAGUUUCAGAGUCACCGAAGCGACGAGGCGGCAGAGAGAGAGAGAGAAAGGCAACAAGGAUUGGAAUGAGGGACGAGGAGUCUGAUGGAGUCUGGAAAUUAAUAGGGUUUUGUUUUCGGUUUUGCGAGAGAGAGAUAGAAUUGGGUUUCGGGUGAGAGAGAGAGAGGCAGAGAGGGUGUGUUUGUUAGUUUUAGACACUGCGGAACGAAACGUAUGAAGAACAGCCUCUUCUCCUUUAGGUAUCAAAAUUUUAAUUUCUUUUUUUCUUUUUAAUUUUAUCUAAAUUAUGUUUAUCAAUUUUCGUUUUAGCUAUUACACACCUAGGACCAACCCACCUAAAUUACUUAAUGAAACACGAAAAUGGCCAUAUGGGUUUUUAUUUUGAUUUAUAGUUAUUCGAGUCCGGGAGUGAUUAAUGUGGAAACUAACUAUUAAGUAUUUACCUAUUGUGCUCAUAUCGUAGAUGGAUUUAAAAGUCUAUGAAGAUCUUUAUUCGGGAUUUAUAGAGAAGGGGGACUAAUUGUGAUUUUCUGAUCAACCCUUUCCAUUAGGGAGUGAGAUUAUUAUCUUUAAAUUUUUCAUGACUAGGAAAUGAGAGAUAAGAUAAAUUGUUAGAGAUGUUAAUUAAAAAGUGAGACAUUGCAAAAUGGUGUUAUGUGAUAUGAUCAACGGUGUUGAUUUUAGUUGGUGACAUAACGUCUCCCCCUAUCAUGGGUGUAUAGUAUUUAUAUACAAACAUAUGUUAUCAUGUGUGUAUGUUAUUGUCUUCUUUUUCUAUUUUUAGCUUUGUAUGUUUUAUAUUGUCAAAAUGAAUGUCAAACCUGAUUUGAUAAUAUUUCAACACUACACAAAGGAAAUAAUAGAAAUAAAAUUAGGGGAAUGGACUAAUGGAUCACUAAAAAUAUUUUUUGAUGUAAGUGGUAUAAUAUCUUUUUUAGUAAGUAGAAGAUUGUGAGUUUGACCAUUGAUAGACUAAUUUUAGUAUUUAAGUUUUUUAUCUAAAUAAUAAUUUUUAGAUGUCAAGGAAGCAUGACCACCUAAGCAUGUGUCAUUAAUGUGAACAAAAACAAGUCUUACCAGUGAAGGAAGGUUUUUUUUGGUAAUAACCAGUGAAGAAAGGUUAGCUAUAUGUAGAGAAGUACGAAGAGCGUAACAAAACACAACUUUACUCACCAAUGCCUCAACAUACUAUGGCAAACUAACAUUUGAGACUGUAGCAUAGAUACCUCUAACAUAAGCAGUCAGCUUCCUUAUCUCACACAAUAUUACCAAUAGUUUCAUUUUGGGUAGCUUGAUCAAAAGCGAUAUCAAGUUAUCAACAUAUUAACGUUUAUCCAACAUACAUUUGAAACGUUCAACUUCAAUUUUAUGUUACUCUAUUGUAGAAUUUAUGUUUCUUUGUACUUCGAUAUAUUUUUUCCUUAUAACAUUUUUGUAAUUGUUUUCUCGUCGCUAUUAUUGUUACUUAGGGCUUGACAAUAACUUCAUUCACCUAACUACCUUAGGAGUAUUGGUUGAUGAAUGAAUUGAAUUGCAUCGCCACAAUGUCAUACACUCUCAUGACAUGUUUAUUUUGAAUGGAAAAGUGUCAUGAAUAGGGGCCAAUAACAUGAAUGGAAGAAAUCAUGAAUGAACAACAAGUAGAAUGGAGACCGAAAUAAUCGGGAUGGAACAAUAUACCCCUUUGGGUAUCAAGUUAACGUUUAUUUAAUUAGCACAGAUUUAGUAAACACAAUAUCGUGGUGGAACAAUAUCACCCUUGGGUAUCAAGUAUGGACAAGAUGGAUACGACUAUCAUAGUAGCAAAGACACUGAUAAACGGCGCUGUCAAGAUUGAUGCAAAGUUGGCGAUGACAAAGAUUUCGGAGGCCAAGAUUGAAUAGAUAGAUUGGGCUUGUGUAAUGGUCAACAAGUGGAUGUGUAAUGGUCACUUGGCAUAAUUAUCUUGUAUCCUUAUUGAAAGGAAAAGUUAUCAUUUGAUGAAAAAAAGAAAAGAAAAAGGGCCGAGUCUUGUAGCGAAGACUUAUAACCAAGCAGGGGGCUGGCAUUAAAGUGAUCAGAGAAUAAGUGAGUAUCUGCUCAAUGAGGUGUGGGGUUAUCUUGGUUUGUUCACUUUGGUGAAGUCGCACUAAGCACGCCCCAGAUCCCUCGGGUUAGAAGGCCUCCACUCGAAAAAAAUGGGUAGCAAACCAAAAAAAAAAAGAAAAAAAAGGAAUCCAUUCUUAAUUGUGUUAGUCAAAGUGAAACACAAAACUGAGAGAAAAAAAAAGAGGGAGUGCAUGAUUCAUAAAUGUGAAGAUGAGUUGCCAUAUGUCCUAACUCAAACUAUGAUCUACAAUAGAAUUAACUCAAUUAAGGGGUAAAAUUUAACUAAAGAGGUAACUAGAUUUAGGACGUAUCACGUGACUUUUCAUAUUUUACUUACGAUCUACCUUAAAUGACUCACACGUAUUGUGUUUCGUAACUUAACUAACAAUGAGUGUGCAUCAUACAUAAUGUAAAGACGAGUUGCUACAUGUCCUGAUGCACACUAUGACCUACUAUAGAAUUAACUUCCCUAAUGAUAAGUGUGACGAAAACAAAUGUGGGUACACUAAUGUUAACAUGUUACAACAAGUAGAACAUAUAGCAAUUGCUCCAGAAACCCAAAAGAGAUGUCAAUCAGGAAGAUCCGGCUCCUUCCUCGAAGCUCUAGCUUAAAGGGCAAGGAGGUUCUUUGAAAUCUUUUUUUUUCUAUUUCUCUUUUUGCAUUUUCAGUUGUUUUUGUUUAUUUUGGAACAAUUGUUUUUGGUCCAUGCUUUUCACAUGGGGGAGCUUUUAUUUUCUUGUUUUUAGUUUGUUAGAAACAAUUGCCUAUGAUCUAUUUGCUGAUUAUAGGCUCCUUAUGAGCCGAAAUUUGUAACGAAGAUGCAACCCUCAUACGAAUCAGAUGAUCUUGCUUGUCCCCUGUACGCAUGGUAAUAGAUCGAUUCAUAUUAUACUCUUUACUUUAGUAUUAAUGACAAAAUUGUCUUUGAGUUCAAAAAUGUCAAAGUCAUGUAUCAAAUUCUUUUAUAUAAACAAAAGGUAGGCUUUAUUAUUAUUAUAUUUUUUUUAGAGCAAUGUAGUGCACUGUGAAAAUAUCACACCUUCUUUUUCUUUUUCUUCUUUGGGAAAGGAUAUCACACCUUUUUUUUGUGUGUUUAAAUUAGGGUGUUUGACAUUUAUAUGAAGACCGAUGCAGCCACAGAAAAGUCCACCUCAAGGUAAGAAUUGUAAGAAGCAACCAUCACUAGUCAAUAGAAUCGGGUUGUCGAAAAACUGACCCUGAUAUUUUGCGAAUUUCGACCUUUCCUGGAAAUUGAUUAAAAAAACAGCUAAGCAUUUUGAAACUCUUUUAUCUACACGAUUCCUACAAUGGUCCAUGUCACUUGUAUUUGUACAUAUUUUUGUCUCAUGUGUUGGAUUUUUGCGAUAUCCCAAACUAUCAUUCUCCAAAAUAAAAAACAAACAAAAGAAAACCUUGGUGUUACUCUUUUGAUUAGUCUGUUUUACAUACGAAAUAUAGUCGCCUUCCUUAUCUUCUAGCUUUAGGCCUUUAGCUAGCUGCCUGCAGCACCAUUAAUAUAUUUGAAAGAAGAUGGAUGCUCUUGAAGUUUAGGUUCACCUAAAUGUAAUUAUGGUUAUAAACUUUAAUUAGUAGCCUAAAUGUAAUUAUGAUCAUAAACUCUAGUGGUGAUUGAUUAAUAAAUACAAUCAUCCACUUUACAUUUGCAUAUAGUUCAAGUUAAUAAUUAAAACUGUUUCACCAAAAUAAGUUAAUUAAAUAUUUUUGAUUAUAUAAUUCCUUUUUCAAUUUUUUUUAUCAUACAAACUUCUUUUGAAGAAACCAUACAAACUUUUAAGAGUGACAAAAUUUUCACCAAAAUUUGACAACUUGAAUAGCACCUAUGAUCUUAAGUCAAGCUAGAGAGGUCGGAGAUCUAUUUCAAAUAACUCCUGUCUGUAACAAUAAAGAAUGUCACAACAACGUAGCCCUUUCAAAUAUUGGUUAGGUCUUUCGAUCGGUAUUAGUUUAUCAAGAGUUAUAUGUAAGUCUCACAUAUGAAUGAUUAAGAUUGUACUGUAUAGCUUACACACUGUAUAUACAAAGAUAAUGCACUCAUGGACUCUCUCAUACAAUCUCAUAAGUCAUAACCUCAUAGUCAUUGAUUACCAGUAAUAAACAUACAAGGACUUAUGCACUUAUGGACCGGAGCAGAUUCUACGCAUUAAGGUGCACUUGUACCAUUAAUAUAUAAGUCCUCAAAUCGUCAUGUGCAAAUAUCGAAUGAAGACUAGUCACCUAAAUUCUUUAAUUUCAUUUUCAUUUUUGAUCCGACCAAAUUAAGCGCUUAUAAUAAAAGUAUCUUUUAUUCGACAUCAGGUCAUCACCUCUUGUGUUAUAAACACUCAGAACUAUUUUUUUAGGUUUCAAUUUUGUUAACGGUAUUAAAAUACAUGCAUGAUAAUACGACGUGCAUGACCAAAUUAAAAUAUUACAUAUUAGUUACUCGGUCCACUUAGACUUUGAUGCGUAGAGAAUUUUCGCUCAUUGACUUUCCAACAAUCUUAUAACCUCAUAAUUACUGAUUACCAGUAAUAAAUAUACAACGGUGGAUUAAUGCAUCUGUACGUAGGACGUACGCUCAAGAAUUUACACUCAUCCUCAGACAAACACGAAAGGCUGAACAGAGAGCUGUCUUUCCCAGGUAGGGCCCCACCACCCCCAAACUGUCCACGUGGCACCGCGUUUUCCUUUUCUGUUCUUCCCCUCCGACGGCGUUUACCAGCCCCCAAAAAAGUCCCCUACACUCUUUCCCCUCGGUCCUCGUCUCUUCUCUUCCUCCCAAAAACCUUCCGAUUUUCCCGGCCAAAAAAUCGCGAGCAGCAGCUCCGUCGCGACUGAACCACACGCGCAGCCGGGGUAGACCCUUUAGAUGGGUUUAUCUCCCUAUGCAUCAUUUACCGCGUUUCUUCUCUAGCAGCAGCAGCGGCAGCGGCAGCAGCAAGGGAGCUAAAGCUAGAGCUAAAGCUGAAGCUAAAGCAAGAGCUAAAGCUGAAGCCAAAGCCAUGGAUCCGAAGCGGCGGCCCAAAUUGGAGCGGCGCAAUGCGGUGAAGCACAUUGACUACGACGCCUCUACUUCCUCCCCACACUCGCCGCGCCACACGCGCUCGCUCGACUUGACCGACCGGACCAGCUUCCGGGUCGAAGGAAACGGCGAGUUCGAGCGGAUUUGCGCCAAGCUAGGGUUUUCCCCGGACGAGUUCGAGAUACCCGAGGCGGCCUGGGAGGCCCGGAAGAUCCGCUCCACCAACUCGGAUGUUCUCCCCAUGGCGAAAUUCUACGGGAUGGAUAGUCCGAGACCCGACCCGGGUGACGAAUCGGAUGACGAUAGGGUGGAGGAGCUGUGCGAUAGAGUCAGGGAUAGCGUUAGUGUUACGGUUGCCGACUCGACUCGGUCCGAAUUGGCCGGGCCGAGCGGGUGUUGUAGUUCGAGUAGUAGUAGUUGUAGUGUUAGCGUCGGAAUUAAGGGAGUGCGGCCGCCGGGGCUGAAGCCGCCGCCGUCGAUGGCUAGGGUUCCGGUGAUCGACGAUGGAUGCUCCACCUGGGAUCUUUUGAGGGACUUCGCGCCGGAAGAGGAUAGAGAGGCGUCGGACAUGGUGCAGAGAAGGUUUCGUCCUCCUUCUUCUUCUUCUUCCGAUGAAGAAGAAGAGGAGGAAGAAGAAGAAGAGGAGAAUAAUGUGGCGGUUGAGAUUAGAGAGACGGUGGUGAACUCCGGCGGGUGUUCGUUUACUACUUCCAAUGACGAUGAUUCUUCCAGUAGUACCACAGACCCUUCAUACAUUUCCCCAAAUGGAAGGAUUUCGCCGAAUGGGAGGCCUAAGCUUGUUAUCACUUCUUGGGAGAAGGGUGAUCUUCUCGGCAGCGGCUCUUUCGGGUCUGUGUAUGAAGGAAUUUCUGAGUAAGUGCUGCUAAAAACUCAUUCUAGCUGCUUAAUUUAUGAAUGCUCGAUCUUGCAUAUGUCUUAAUUCUCAUUAUGUUGCAUUGCUUGAAGUCGGAGUCAUUCAAUCUUGUAUUCAUAUUGUUUUGCUAGUUCACGGAUAUCUCUACAUUUAGGAAUAUGUGGAUUGACUGUUAAACCACUACUGGGAAGGGUUGAAACUUCAAUCUGUGUUGGAAAAAAGAUGGAGCAAUUCGUUUGUAUUCGAUUCCACUUUGUUCAUUAAGGGGGAAAAGAUAGGUUAAAGUGAUAACCAGUAUGUUAGGAUGAUUGUUGAAAAAAUGAACCGUUGUAGUUUCAAAAUUUAAGUUGUGUAUUGUUUGAAAAGGAAAAGACCAGCUCUGGUUGGAGAAGAGGAAAUUAGAACCUUCAUACUCGAGCUAGGCUUGUUAUGGGAUUAUUGAGUCUUUACGGUAUCUCUUAUCUUUAAAUAUGGGAGAAGGAUUAGAUGAAAUCCUUGUUUCCUUAUGAAGAAUUUAUAACUGUAUUACAAAAUGAAUUUUUCUUUGUUUCUGAUGCCCUAAUAUACUGACAAGAUGUUCUCAUAUGAAUGUCUAUUAAAAGAGUGGUUCCAUGUUUGUAUCUUUUCUUUAUCUGUGAUAUCCAAUCUUUAUUGAAUAUGAUUUUGCUAUCUUUCAGUGGCGGAUGCUUCAUUGCUGUCAAGGAAGUUUCCUUGCUUGAUCAAGGAACCCUGGGGAGGCAAAGAGUUUCUCAACUUGAACAGGUAACAAUGGCUUGGAUUUCAUUUUAUGUCCUGAAAUAGUAUGUCUCUUAUAUCAAGUAAUUGAUACAGUAAUUGUAUACCAGUAGGGUCUAUCUUGAUUUUUGUAUCUUGCUGAGAUACUCUCUUCUCAUUGUCUGUUUUUGUUUUUCUUCCAGGAGAUUGCUCUUCUGAGUCAGUUUGAACAUGAGAACAUAGUUCAGUACCAUGGCACACAAAAGGUACCCAUUAUUCUAUAGUCUAUACACAUGGAUAAUUGUUUAGCUAUGCUAUGAACUUUCCUAUAAUUGUAAGUACUCAUGGAGGUUCAAACUUCUGUUCAUGAUAUAAAAUUGGUACUUGCAACAGAUUCAGGUCAUGAUAUGCAGAGGCGUUAUUUUUACAUUUAUUUGACAUGACAUUGAUACCUUUGAUGCUGGUCUGCACAUUUUUUUAAGUACAGACCAGAGUAUGAAACUGGUAUUUUUUGCCUUUAUUUCGCUGUAUUUAUUUUAUGCAGUUAAUAUCUUUGUUUAAUUUCUUUUUUCCCAUCUACGAACUGACUGUAGAUAAAUGUAAACAUGCUGUCUACACUGUUAUGCAUUAUUGGGGUUACCUUAUCAUCUAGUGUCCAUAUUAUUUGAUACUUCUGUUUGAGUCCAAAAGUAUGAAGAAUUCAUAACAUCAAUACCAGUAGGUUUAUUUGUUAUGAAGCAGUUAAGCCAUUUAUUAGUUCAGCAUUAAUUUUUCAUAGCUCUUAUACCAAUUAUAUUUUCUGAAUCGUCUUUGCAGGAUGAAUCAAAGCUUUAUAUCUUUCUGGAGCUGGUAACCAAAGGCUCCCUUCAAAAGCUGUAUCAGACAUACCAUCUGAUAGAUUCGCAUGUCUCUGUAUACACUAGACAGAUCUUGCAAGGUCUGAAGUAUCUUCAUGACCGAAAUGUGAUUCACAGGUAACUCCCCUGACAUAUGUAUAUAUAUUAUGGUUUUGGCUUUAUUGUUCUCAGAAGAUUGUGAAAUCCCACCAAUGAGCCAUAUUCAUGUGAGGAUUCAUUCCAAAAGUGAGAAAACAAAGUGGCGCACCAUCACAAUUUCUGAUCAUCCUUCAUCUUGUAAUUUGGGUAUACCUAUUCUCAUCUUUCUGUGUCUUCCAUUCAGGGACAUUAAAUGCGCAAAUAUUUUGGUGCAUGCUAAUGGAUCUGUGAAGCUUGCAGACUUUGGAUUGGCAAAGGUUUGUCUUUCAUUCCCCAAAACAAUUGUAUUUUGUUGUUUUCAGUAGUUUGCACAAGGUUGUGAAUUAUUUCUCCUUAUACUGUGUUAUGUGUCCUCUUACCAGAUUACCAACAUGAACGACAUAAAAUCUUCCAAAGGAACUGCAUACUGGAUGGCCCCUGAGGUUUGCCUCUGCACUUUUGAAUUAGAAUUGUGUAUUAGUUUGCGUAUUUUUAUUUGAAAACGUAUUAUGUUGAAUGCUUAUGAGCUCUCUCAUUGGAGGAUAUACCUGUAAAUCCUGUAAUACUUCCAAAUCGAUCACUCAUUCUUGUUCUACCACCCAUCGACUGAGAGUGAUUCUUUUAGGAUGACUUUCAUGAACUAUACUUGCUUCUCGAUCUCUGACAGAAUUGUUGUUAGUUGCUUUGGGUAGGUUGUUGGAUUUUGAAUAUACCAUUUAUUAGAAAGAGUGGAUAUUGGUCAACAAAUGGCCAGGGGAAUCAGUAAGGUGCUAUAUUUUGUAUAUUCUAUUUCUACCAUAAGAUAAAAACAAAUUUGAACUACAAGAAGAUAGGAAGUGUAAACCGUGCAGUGUAAAGACAUGUAAUAAGUAGUCUAUCUGAUUUUACCAUAAGUAACUUGGUUUAUGGUUCUAAUCCGGACUUUACAACCAUUUUUAAUUAUGAUUCAGUAUAUGUAGUGGUGGUGGCCCUUGGGUUAAAGUUUACCUUUCUGUGUAUGUUGUUCUCCUGAUAUAUGAUUUUUGCAGAAAGGGCCACCUAUAAAGUGAUGUGGUUGGUAGGCUUAUUUCAGAUGUGUACAUGUUUAUUUGUAUAUAGUCACAAAUCACAAUCAAGAGAAGGAGAGGGAGAUGAGAAAAGUGAAAAGGAGAGCAAGGAUGAUGCAUAAAACUAAAACUAUAAACUUAUUAAAUCUAUUUUUAGUUUUUAAGAGAACUGUAAUGCAGCUUCUCUCGAUUUCCUUCUUUGUCCUCUUCUUUUUGUUCUCCCUUCCCAACACCAUUUGAAAGAAUUUGUGUUAAGUUCAUAAAGCAAUUUUGAUAGUUAACCGUUCUAGUUAAGAUGGUCAUUUCAGAAUCAACAGUUCCUUUAGUUCUUUAUGCUUGUGGCAAUGAUUGCUCAGUUUGGUACUUGGAGAUUGUUUGUUGGCACGAAAAAUCUUUUGUAUCAUGUGUAUGAACCUGUCUCAUAGCUUUUUCUCCAGGCCUGAUAGCUUUAUAGGCUGAUGGAUAUUUGUGAUUGAUGGGGGCGGGGUUUUGUUUGUAGGUAUCCUGCAAUCUGAAUCUUACCAGCUUCUAUUUUUCCUUUGUAUUGAUAUGAAUUAUCUUUUUCUAGCAUUUAAGUGAUGUCUUGACUUUUGCAACUUUGAAAAGCUGCAAGAUGUACAUGACCAGUUUUUUGACCAAGAGGUCGCUUGUGACUAUUCUAUCAUGUAGAUGUAGUACGUUGUCCACUUUUUUGGGAAUUCUUAACCAAGCUAUUAUUGUGCAGGUUGUUAAUCGUAUGAGUCAAGGUUAUGGCCUUCCAGCUGAUAUAUGGAGUCUUGGAUGUACUGUGUUGGAGAUGUUAACCGGGCUGGUUCCAUACUCGAAUCUCGAAUGGGUUUGUGCCAUUUUCAUUACUCUUUAUGUUUCAGGAUGACUAGACUAUACAUUUCUUCAAUUGUUUGGAUAACAUUUUCUCUUCUGUUUAAACAGAUGCAGGCAUUAUGGAAGAUUGGAAAGGGGGAGCCCCCUCUGGUUCCUGAUUCUCUUUCAAAAGAGGCACAAGAUUUCAUCCGUCUAUGCCUACAAGUCAAGCCAGAUAAUCGUCCCACUGCGGCUCAGCUUUUAAGACAUCCUUUUGUAAAUAAGUCCUUUCCUCCCACACCUUCUGGAUCAGUAUCUCCUUACAAUCAGCGCAGACAGAGUUAAAAAGAUUUAUUCAGCUACAAGUUGUGAAGGUAGCAAGGUAAAUUAUACUGAUUUUCACUGCUAAAUAUUGCUCAUAUCCGCACUACGACUCCUAUGAAAGCGAUGAAAAAAAAAAAAACAAUAUGUUCACCUAUCAAAAGAAGAAAAAUAAAUGCAUACUUCCACUGCCUUUCAUUUCUCAUAUCUUUGCUUUCGAUACCAGCUCUAUUCGACCCAAAGAAGACCCAAAGAAGCAAGACAACAACUCAUCAGGGUUAAAAAAAUCUUUUCUGGUGUACGGUGUUCAGCUAUCAAAUAUUGGCUUACACUGGUAGAGUGCAUGCUUGUUACAACUUCAGUGAUUUUCAAUCCCGACGUGGGAUCUGUCACUUUAGACGAACAACAAGAAUGAUUUUGUCCCUUUGUGCAUGCGAUGAAAUCAUCGUGCAUGUGGAGCAAAUCCUGCUAAUUAUUUCACCAUCAUUUCUGUUGUAGAUAUAUGAUUUUGACUUUGGAUUAGUGUUUACCCCUUUGUUCCCCUCCAAGGGAAGUGCUAUGUACACACUCAAGUGAGUGUUUGGUGGGUAAGAGAUAGUAUUGGCAAGUUGUGGUAGAUAGUUUUGUAGUAUUGGAAAGUAAUUCCGAUUUGUAUAUAUCCGUAAUCUGUUACUGACAGUGUCGUAAUUGGUAUGUGCAUUUCUUUUUAUGGCCGUUGAUCAAUAGAGUGCAUUCAUGAAUGUAUGUUCCUUAUGCAUAACACUUACGGAUCUUGAUUUUUGUUUCUUCAUGAUAGAGAAAUUAUGAAAUGCUAUCAAAGAUGCUAUACUGCAGGUUAAGAACAAGCUUGUUAAAAUGCGUUGAUUCUGGCUUCAAAAGAUUUAAAAUGAACGGAAUAAGCCUAAUAAGAAAAAAGAAAGACCAUGCUCGUGUGUUUCCUAUCCCAAUGUAAUGUAGUCGUUGUCCUCGCCAUUGCGUAUCGGUUCAGGAGGGGAUGGUAGAUCAAGUUCGAAGGUGCUUGACUCGCUAUUGCGUAUCAGUUCAGGAGUGGAUGGUACAUUAUGUUCGGAGGGGCUUGACUGUUAAAUUUUAUCCAUAAAUUGUUGCAAUGCAAAACCAUAUUAGUUUGACAUACUAUUCAAUUAAGAGUAAAUGCCUUAAUGAUACUAAUUUUAAAGAUUUAUUACCCACAUCAAUGAUAAUCUUUUCCCAAUGCCCAUCUCAAUUAUUCAUAAGAAAAAGACAUUUAUACCCACUGUUCUAUUCCCACCACUUAUCUCCUUUCUUAUCUUCUUUCCCGAUCACUUCUCACUCAUCUCUUAUCUCUCCUCUCUCUUCCUCUCUCUCACCUCGACGAACUUCCAUGGUGGAAGACAGCGUCGCCACCGACGCCCUCGAGCAAGGAGCAUCGGCACUACACCGUCACCAUCUUCCUUGACGACCGGGCCUCUCGCUUGCAACGAUCUCUGGAUUCAUCUUUUCGGUGAACACCAUCGGAAACGGCACCUCCGACCCGACCAGCUCACCGUCGACCGUCAUGUAAACCUCCCGGUAAGCUCUGUUUCCUCUUCCGGUGGUCAAAUUGUUCAUCGUGAUGUACAGAUUUAGUGGAUUCAGAUUUGCUUGGAAGGGAAAUCCGAUUGACUUUCGAUUCUGAACCAGAAUUCUCGGUCGUCGGCGUUGGAGAUCAGGACGAUCAAAUUGGCAGGCUCCUCAGGAACAAUCCUCAAUUUUCGUGUGAUUUGUAUUUUCGUAUGAUUUGAAUCUCCAUGAUCCUCAAGUUUCAACCGCAAAUGUGAUUUGAAUUUGGAAUCAUUUGGUUUCUUACCAAGGAUGUAUGUUUGAAUAGUUUCGGAUUGAAUAGUAUGAGUUCAUUGGUUUUACUAAUUUACUACCCCCAGUAAAUUUUGUUUUUUUGUAAUUAAGUUGAUUUUUCCUUUGUUUUAUUAUGUAUUAUGGCAUUUGGAGAUACUGUUUACAAGUUAACUGCUCCCAUUAGAAGUUUACUAGGGGUAGUAAACUUUAGUAAAAAUUUAACUACCCCCAGUAAACUUUAUUUUUUCGCAUCUAAGUUGAUUUUUCUCCAUUUUAAUGUGUAUUAUGGCAUUUGUAGAUACCGUUUUGCAAAUUUACUAUCUUCAGUAGAAGUUUACUAGGGGUAGUAAAUUUAAGUAAAAGUUUACUACCCUCAGUAAACUUUAUUUUUUGCAUCUAAGUUGAUUUUUCUCCUUUUAAUGUGAAUUAUGGCAUUGGAGCUACUGUUUUGCAAGUUUACUACCCCAGUAAAAGUUUACUAGGGGUAGUAACUUCAUUUUUCGCAUCUAAGUUGAUUUUUCUCCUUUUCAAUGUGAAUUAUGGCAUUGGAGCUACUGUUUUGCAAGUUUACUACCCCNNNNNNNNNNNNNNNNNNNNAAAAAAAACAACCUCAAACUACAAAACCCUUACUACAACCACCAUCUAAAGAGUGAAAAUAAAAAGUACUGACUAGAGGAAGAGAUCUGCUCCAAGCUUGUGUUCCAAUUUUAUGUCUUAGUUUUGUAAUAGCAUCCGCCACGAAAUUCGCUUCUCGGUGAACAUGUGUGAAAGAGACUUGACCUAUUUGAGAGGCAAGGAAGAGAAUGUCUUUGACAAAAACUUGAAUCUUCCAAGGAGUAAAUUUAAAGAUGUACCAUUGAUAAAAUUGAUUAAGAUUUGAGAAUCUCCUUCAACCAAAAUUUUCUGAAAACCAUAGAUCCAUGCUGCUAAAAGACCCGCACGUAAGCUAUGAGAACAUAUUUCAAUUAAUAGUUGUUACGUAUUACUUGAAAUGUCAACUAAAUUAUCUACACUUUUUAGUAGGGUUGGGCACGGUCCCAGACCAGCCGUAAUUUGACAAAGACCGGGACCGGCGAAGUAAGUCCGGGCAGGGCUUUAGGACCGGUUAAAACCCGGACCGUGCCUGAACGGGCCGGUUUCUCGGGUUUCUCGGGCUUUGUGAUAUUCUGUUUCUUUCAAUAUUCAAUAUGUCAUUCAAAGCCAACAUCUCGAGUUCUCGACAAAAAUUUCAUCGAACGAGUAACCAUCAAACAAACCUAAACACCAUACCUGAAAAUCUUAAACAACCCAUGUGCUCCACCAGAUCGCCGAUUGUUUCAAGUACCCAGACUUGCCGGAUUGGUUCGCCGAAUCUGAAUCGAACCCAUGUUCUCCACCAGAUCGCCGACUGUCUCAAGUACCUAGACUUGCCGGAUUGCUUCGUCGAAUCUGAAUCGAACCCAUGUGCUCUACCAGAUCGCCGACUAUCUCAAGUAACCAGACUAGCCGGAUUGCUUCGCCGAAUCUGAAUCAAACUCCACGACAAGCUCUUGCCAUUGCUCCCGACUCAACUGACGAGGACUUGACGGAUGAGGACGCCGUCGAUGGGAACGACGAGCCCGACGAGCCCCGACGAGAUGGAUGCUCUCAUCGACAACAACGUCCUCGAGCUUCUGAUUCAAAGUCCUCGAAUUUGGAGAGAAAGCUUUUCAACGAUUGAUCUUUGUCGACCUUGUUUAAGAACGAGAGAAAGAGAAAAGAAAAAAGAGGAAGCUUCUUCAUCGAUUGAUCUAUGCCGAUCAAAUUUGUUUCCAUAUGCGUCUGUGUUUCAGAAAGACAGAAGAGAAAGUGAUAAUUGAGAAGACGACGAUUUGCUAUUUAAGAUUAGAAAGAUAAGGUUUUAUUAGAUGGUGAUAAUCUCAUGUUUGUAUACAAUGUUCUUAAAAACACUAGCCUCUAGUCGGAUGGACAGUCGACUCCUAACGGUUUUGUAUUUUUCAUAUUUUUCAUAUUUUUUAUUUUUUAAUAACAAAUAAAAUAUAAAAAUAAAUUUAUAGGAUGUAUUAUAAUGUUUCAAAAUAGCAAAUAUUUUUUUUUUGAAUUAAAAAAAUACUUUAUUAAACCAGACUGCCAAAUAUCAAUAAGAGCUACAUCAGAAGGCUUCUCAAAAAAGAAACCCAAGACUAGCUUCUAUUACGAGCAACAAUAACUUCAUGAAGCCAUGGGGCCCUGAAUCAUAACAAAACAUAGACUGGACCAUCUUCAAAGCAUGUCGAGCAAGAGUGUGAGCAAUCCUGUUUUGGCGCUUACGCACAUGUUUCCAGGACACCCAUUCCAACUCUGCAUUCAUCAUACGAACUGCAUCCAUAAUUUCUCCAAUGUCGCUCAAAUCAAGUACAUUCCUACCAAUUGCAUUGAUCACAUUGACCGCAUCUCCUGCAAUCGCCAACUUUGUUACCCCCAUUUGUCUACACAAUUUCAUCCCAUGCCAAAGUGCUAAAGCUUCGAUGAUGUGGGGUUUGAGAACAGCUUCCAUAGGCACCGAAAUGGCUCCCAUCAGCUCCCCAUUAUCACUUAACACUACAGCACCAAUACCAACAAUAUUUGUAUUACUAUCACAAGCACCAUCAAAGUACAAUCUGGCAGCCUGCUCAUACAUACUGCUUCUCCCCACCUCUCCAUGACUUUGCUGCACUUCAGCACCAUUACCCCCUCCCAUCUGUAGAUUUUUCCUUCUCAACAUUACUCCAGAAAAUUCAUGUUGCCACUCCAAGCAUUUCUCCACAAUCUGCCUAGGCUCAAGGCCUUUUUUCCCAUGAAAGACCUCAUUUCUGUCCUUCCAUAACCACCAGCAAAUAAGAGCAAACAAUUCAGUAUUUUUGAUAUUCCCCUCCAUAGCUACCAAGCCAAAUAAAUCAGCAAAGCUAGAAAUCUGCUAACUUUUAUACACCCCUCUCCAGUAUGUACAUUUCCACACUUUUUUAGCCACACGACAACACCAUAAACUAUGAACCACUGUCUCCUCUCCUUCCCCACAUCUCCCACAGCCACUAUGAGAACAGAUAAAAUGGUCAACUACUAUGUUCUUAGAAAUAAAAUAAAAAAAACAAUUUGAAAUAAACAAAUUAGGCUUUGAUGUGUUUUGAUUUUUUUUUUUUUAAAAACUAAUCGGGCCACCUAGCCCGCCUAGGCGCCGCCCAGCCCGUUAGGCGGCCGUUUUUCUCGCUAAUGCCCAGAUUGAACGAUUAGUGGGAAAUCGGAACGGUGAGCUGACGUCUAACGCCUAGGCGGCGUUUUUUAGAACAUUGUUUCUAUAUAUUGUAGAAUACAACUGCAACUUGAAACAUAAUCUGGGCUUGAAAAACUAGCCCAUAAUGGGCUAAAUGGCACAACAUAACUAUAGUUCGGGCUUUCGGGCUCAAGUAUUAUUAAAAAAUCAAGGCCUUGGCCUGGACCGGCAUAGUCAUGGACCGGCUCGAAAUGAACAUUUUUUAUAAAAGGAUCGGAAAAAGCCUAGCUCGGCCGAUUAGGGUUAGUUUGUCAGUUUUUUUUUUGCUGCUACGGGCUUUAUGCUCAGCCCUACUUUUUAGUUGUCCAAUACCAUUUGGUCUACCAGCAUAGUCCCUCCUUAGUAAGUGAGAGGUUUUGAAUUCGACCCACAAAAGACUAGUUGUUACCGAUAAAAAAAAAACUUUUCUAAGCUAUAUGGCUUUUGGUUAAAAUUCCUUAUACCACUGUUCAGAUUUUGGUUGCAGCAUGCAGUAAAACAAAAUGUGCUCUCGUUUUAGCUAUCAUGCUAGCUUCACUGUUUAUAUUAGCUAUGAUGCUAACUUUUCUGAGUUAUAUGACUUUUGGUUAAAACUUCUUAUAUUACUGCUUAGACUUUUGUUACUGCAAUAAAACCAAAUGUGCUCUCGUUUUAGCUAUCAUGCUAGCUUCAUUGUGUAUCUAGCUAUGAUGCUAUAUGACUUUUGGUUAAAAUUUCUUAUAGUACUGCUCAGACUUUUGUUGCUUAGUCUAUCGUUUUAACUAUCAUGCUAGCUUCACUGUGUGUUUAGCUAUGAUGCUAACUUUCCUGAGCUAUAUGAUGCUAGUAUUCACUUCUUAUUCUACCUACUUGAUGUUAUUUUUUAUUGUUUUGAUUAAAAUGAUGUUAAUUUUUUUAGAUGAUUCACUUUAUGCUCUCUGUCUAUUUGUUCUGGAUGGAUUUCAGAUGUUUAUUGUGGAUACUUGGAUACUUGAUACUAAUUCUAUUCAAGUUUUCCAUGAACAAAAGCGUUUGGUUAAAAUUUCUUAGACUACUGUUCAGAUUUGGGCUACUGAUAAUCUUCAGCAGUAGCAAAAACUAAAUGUACUCUCUUUUAAGCUAUCAUGCUAGCUUCACUCUAUUCUACCUAUGAUGCUAACUUUUUUGAGCAAUAUGAUGCUAGUCUUCACUGAUGCUAGCUAUAAUGUUGAGUUCUUUUCUCUUUCUAUUUGUUUUGGCUAUAUGAUUAUUGUUUUGCCUUGAUUAUUCUCUUCAUGUUUUCAUAAAUUUUGAACAAAAGUGUUUGGUUAAGAGUUCUUAUACUUGAUAAUCUUCAGCAGCAGCAAAACUAAUUGUUCUCUCUUGAUUUUCAGCAAAACCCAAUCCAAAUGGCUUCCCCUGCCACUAUCACCCACGUAGCUCUCUCUGCAGCCAACCAAUUGAAGGAAAUGGUGCAUUAUGCUCGGUUUCUGAUCAUUAUUGUCGUGUGCAUUUGCCCAUUAAUUUGGGCUCUCAAAAUUGCUUGUUUAUCUCGGGAUUGGUGGUGAGACUUCUUUGGAAAGGGAUUGUUAAACUUCUCUCUAACAAGUUCCUAAGUUUCAGAGGCCUUGCUUAAAUGUUUGUUGCAAAGAGAGCCUUGAUGAUAGCAGAAGCAAGAGACGAGCACAAAUUGGGGGUCCACCAAGAGUUAAUAAUGCUUGAAAGGCAACAAAAAAUCUGGAUUAGGAGCAUAGCCGUAGGGUUCAUUGUUUCAGUUGUUCAGUCGUUUAUAAGUUUUUUAGUCUUUUAAUUUUGAUCGUGUAAUUUUCAUUUGAAUUUGAAGAAUGAAUGAAAUAGCUCCUGGUCUUUGAUUAUUGUGUUUCCACUUUCCAGAAUUGGGGGUUUAGGGUUCUACCUUCCCCAUUUAUUAAUACUGUAAAAGAUCACAUGAGUUAGUUUUUUAUGAUGUUUAGGGUUUAGGGUUUAGUUUGUUAUGAUGUUUAUCAUUUCUUGCUUUCCAGAGAAGCCAACAUUUAACCAAAAGACGACAAAAGUUGUCAUUUGACAUAUUUUUAGAACAACAACACAACCACUCUUCAAGAGAUAAGGAAGAAGAGUGACUGACCGUAUUAGUUAAGUGAUGGGUGAGUUGCACAGUCAUUUGACAAUCACGGAAUAAAUGAUGUUUGUAAAAGAUCACAUAUGUUGAAAAAAUGUUAUUAGGUGAUAAGUUCCAGUACGGUAUAUCUCUUAUCACUAAAUUUAUGGCAUUGUAUUGGUCUUAUCUGCAAGAUCAUAAAACGAGUUGCAUCAGUACUAUGGACUUCUGUUUUCACUACACCUGAAUCUUGUUUCCAUUUUUUAUACAAAGUAAAUUAUGUCUUUGUUGUGUGAAAAAUGGAACAAGUAGCGCUAUAAGAAUGAGUGUAACAUAAUAUUUGACUAUAUUCAAGAUGGAGGAUGUAAAAUGCAACUUAAGUGCGAUGGGAGCCAAAAAUUAUUAUAUUCUGAUUCUUACAAGUAUAGUGUAAAUUAUGUGUUCUCAUGUUCGUAUACUGAAUGAUCAUGCAAAUAAAUGUUGGUAUUCAUGUUGGGAAGAUAGACAUGUGAUCCAUAGCUUGGAAGAAAGACCUACGACCAAAUAGGUUUUUAUACGUGCACACCCUUGGUCUCUUUUAGUAGAGAUUGAAGGAAAGAAUCACAUAGGAGGACAUGUCGAUUCGAAAACGAUAAUUCACACGCGUGAGCACGGUCCUUCUACAUGCGCAUAUGCGCAUGCAGGGAGGCUAGCACUAUUUUUAGUUUUAUAGAUAACUUUAAUGCAGCUUCUCUCCAUCUCCUUCUUUGUCCUCUUCUUUUUGUUCUCUCUUCCUAACACCAUUUGAAAGAAAUUGUGUUAAGUUCAUAAAGCAAUUUAGAUUUUUUUUUUUUUGUAGAAGAAACGAAAAUGAUUCAUUAAACAAAGUCAGUUACAAUCCCUAGUGAUGAUAUCCUCAAGAAAAGGAGGAGUAUAAGUAAAAAAGACAUCACAAGGUUUACAAUUUAGAGCCUAAACAAGCAAGGGUGUGUGCCGCAUAAUUUUCAUCCCUAUAAAGGUGAGUGAAGGUGCAACCUGAAAGCUAAACAAAGAGAUGCAGAACAUCCUCCUCAAUCCCUUUUAAAAGAACAACAGAAUUAUGAAUUGAGUGGAUGACUUGCAUAAGAAGGAGAGAGUCUGUUUCCAAUUGGGCUAGACUAAAUCCGUGUUCCAAAACUAGGUUGCAGGUAACUUUACCAACUAAAGCUUCAAUACGAGCGGGGGAGGAAACCUGAUCAAAAGACAAAGCCUUCCCACAUAUAAACUGACCACACUUAUCCCUAACAAUAAUACCAACACCACCAACAUGAGAUGUCAUGUCUAAGACACCAUCCAUACAAACUAAACCAGCCACAGUUGGGUUUCUUCCAUCUAUACCUUGGUCAAGGAGCUAACGGAUGAGAAACAUUGGCUUGAAGGUACUUAGUAUACCAAACUUGGGCACUAAGCCUUAAAUUUUGGGGAUGGCAAGAUUUGUUUUUCCAAACCUUGUCAUUUCUUGCUUUCAAGAGAAGCCAACAUUUAACCAGAAGGCGACAAAAGUUGUCAUUUGACAUCUUUUCAGAACAACAACACAACCACUCUUUAAGAGAUAAGGAAGAAGAAUGACUGACCAUAUUAGUUAAGUGAUGGGUGAGUUGCACAAUCAUUUGACAAUCACGGAAUAAAUGAAGAGCAAUCUCCUCCUCGACUUCGCAUAAAGGUACAAAUAGUUGGAAUAUCAACAUGCUUUUUAACCAGAUUUUCUCUCGUAGAAAGGAAGUCACGGCAAGCUUUCCACAAGCAUAGCUUCACCUUGCCCGAAACCCUACUCUUCCAAAAAUUUCUUCUAGAAAGGAAUAACAACAUCUGAGGUGGGAGAGGAAGAGCUAGAUGCAGACAAAAUAGGAAGUACAAUGUUAUCCCUUGCCACUAAGUAAGCAUUUUUCACUGAAAAUACCCCUUCAAUGUCAUAUUGCCACACCAGUUUAUCUUUCGGUUGUCUUGAACUUAAAAUAAUAGAGGUGAUGGCCUUCACAUCUUCCAAAGGAAAUAAUCUCUCAAGUAAAGAAACAUUAUUGGAAAAGUGUAGCUUAUAUAUGAGCUAUUUCGAAUAUCGCAUCGGAAACGUGAUAGAGUCAUCCUUGAGUUAUAAGGAAUGAUACCAUACACACUAAUGUCGAGGCCUUUUAUGUAAAACCUCAUACCCGUUUCUCCACUGGGUGGCUAAAGUGGGAGGAGUAUCGGCAUUAUUGGACACGUGUGUAUGGGGCCCGUCGGCCGCCUCUGCAUAACAAGUGGUAUCAGAGCCCAGGUGACGCUGGGGACAUAGUGUCUCAUACGAUCGAGUUGCAAUUUGGUGGAGCUCUCUUGUUUGAAUUGAGAUCACAAGAUUCAGAUGGUUGUGAUUAAGGUUGAGCUAUUAGAAUUUGAAUAGUGAGACAGUUGGAGAUGGCUUGAAUCACGUCAUGAAAAAAGUGUGAUUUAGAUAUAAGUCAUUUAAAAUCUCACAUCGGAAUCGUGAAAGAGUCGUCCUUGAGUUACACACUAAUGUUAAGGUGUUUUGUAUAAAACCCCAUAUCUCACCUUCGUCUUCAUUACCACGUAAUCACGUAUUGACGACGUGUGUGAUGCAGGUCCAAAUGACAACACAAUGGUGCCACUAGUUCCUCACUCUGAACCGAACCGUAUCCGGAUACGAAUCAGAUCCGUAUAUAUAAUCACAAAAGUUGCCCACGCAACGCAACCACCUCCGCCUCACGUGACCCAGCGCCAACAUCGAACGCUCUCUCCUUCUUUCUCUCUCUCUCCGUCUCUCCCAUUCAAUCCCAAACUCUCUCUUUCUCUGCAACCUCCGCGGAAUUUGAAUCGUCUCUCCGACGCUUCCAGGUACGGAACCCCCCUCAUCCUCCGCCCUCGAUCUCAAAUUUCGCGCCUUUCUGCAAUCCCAUUUUCUAGGGUUUCAAUUUCAACGCAUAUAAUUGAUCCCAUUUUCUAGGGUUUCAGUGCUUUCUAGGGUUGAUUGCAACAAUAACCGGAUAGCCGGAGAUUUGGGUUUUUACUUUUUACUGUAAAGUUUCCAUCUUUCACUGUUUUAUCGAAUUACCUUACCAUCCGUACAAUUGUCUCCUAAGGAUCAAUUCUUAGAAAUCGAUCUCGGAUUCAGUACUGUAAGGUUGAAUUGUCUUUUGUUUUUCUGGGUUGAUGAGUGUCUUUAUAUUUCAAAGUACUUGGGUUUUUGAAACUAUGAUAUCUUUUUGAAACUCGGUUUUGCACAAGGAACACUUGAAAUUGUUGAGUGUGAGCAUAAGUAAUGUUUGUGAUUUAUGUCUGAAGGGAUUUGUUUAUUGUUUGUGGUUAAAUUUGUGUUAUGGGUGCGAUACUGCCAUGAUAAUCUUUGAGUGAGAAGAGAAUGACAGAGGAACACAUUGGAAACAUUUGAUGGGUGAUUGUCAUGCUGUUCUUAACCCUGAAAUCUCUCUAUUAAAAUUUUAAACAGAUUAUAGGGGUGUAUUUUGACUUUAUCUGCGCAAUUGAGUGACUAGGAGAGUUCUCUUAACUUUAGUGUAGAUGGAAUAAUUGUAACUGCACUGGAAUUUUUGGUCGUUCUAGAGGAGGCUUAGGUUAAUUUGUUGUAGGAGUUUUAUGAAUUCGUAGAUGUUUUGCUGUUUUCUUUUGUUCCUGUAGCUGGCCAGCUUGGCCUUUAGAAGGAUAUUUUAUAUGCACAAGAGCUUUGAGUGCAUCUUGGAUGUGCAUGAGCUGUAUAAGUUUCAUGGUGGUCAAAUACAUGCUAACUAGAAUUCGGUACCUUGACUGUUAUCUUUGCACAAUGCACCGCAAGUUAACACUGGAAUUUUAAUUUAAAUCAUUGCAAAAAACUGCCCUCCCUCGUAUUGUUUCUGUUUUGGGUGUGUAUAAUAGUUUUGCUAUAGUAUGUAUGCUUUUUUGAUCUACAAUUCCAUCUAUACUCUCCAUUAUUCUUUUCGUUAGUUGGUUAUCACGGGCCUUUGUUGACUGCGACUCAUUUUGUGUAUAAUUGUGUCUGUAUUUGGUUUUUGAUUGUCAAAAUAAUGAAGAUAAGUUUUCUUCUUCUUGAAAACAGUGACUGAUAGAUUUUGUUAUCAACAUUGCAAAUGGUUAGUGCUUAGAUUACGCAAUUUAUAACAGUCCGUAUAAUGUAUGGCUUUUUAUUUUAUCUUUCAGUACAUCCUAUUCAUUUUAGAGUUGUACAUGUUUGAUUAGCUACGUUAAAUGGACUUUAUUCUGAAGGUGGUUAUCAAAACUCCUUUGGUUAUUAGUAGCAGAAACUAACCACUGAGCGUGUUUGCCUUAGACUGUAUGAAAUUUCAGAGAUUAUGCAGUGCAAUUUUUCCUCUUUUUCAUAUGGUUUGACAGAACUGUUGCUUGUAGGCUUGUUGGUAGAGUCAUAGACAGAUCUUCGCAGUAACUUGUAAAUAUGUUUUGUUAGAUGUGAAUGAACAAUCAACAGCCUAGUGAAUGUUGCUAACGAUUUACUGUUGUGGAAAACUUGGAAUAAUUUUCACCUUCUUUUGUCAAGCUUCAGGGUCUAUUUGUACAUGGCCAAAGUCAACAAGUUGCGCCGCAAAUCUGACUCUCAGUCCUUGAGGAGGACACCAUAUGUGCUAAGGGCUGUUAAAGAUGUCUGUGCGAAAAAGAAAUCUGCCAAACCAUUGAAGAAGAAAGAUUGGGAAGAUGUGAACUGUUCAGUGUGUAUGGAAUCUCCUCACAAUGCAGUUCUCCUCCUUUGUUCCUCUUAUGAUAAGGGAUGCCGCCCUUAUAUGUGUGCUACUGACCAUCGCUAUUCCAACUGUCUUGAACAAUACCAAAAAGCAUACACAAAGGUAUCUUCUAUUCAGAAUUCGCAAGAGUGGGAUUUAUCAGUUGGAUAUUUAGGUUUCAAUUCUAGUGAAGGGGAGCCCAUUGAGAAAGGGGAGAAACCAGAGCUUCUAUGCCCACUUUGUCGUGGGCAGGUUAAGGGUUGCACAGUGGUGGAACGUGCAAGGAAACAUCUUAAUGCCAAGAAGAGAACUUGCCUGCAGGAUAAGUGCUCAUUCUCUGGAACUUAUAGAGAACUCAAGAAACAUGUCAAGUCAAAGCACCCAUUGGCACGGCCCCGGGCAGUGGAUCCUGUACUGCAAGAAAAAUGGAAGAAGCUUGAGGGCGAAAGAGAGAGGAAUGAUGUAAUCAGCACCAUAAUGUCUUCUACACCAGGGGCAGUGGUCCUUGGGGAUUAUGUGUUGGAGCCUAACCAUGAUGGCAUUUACAGUGAUUCCGAUUCUGAACUAGAUGACUACAUUGAUGAUUUGGGUUUUGGGCCAUUUGUGGGUCUAAGUGGUGCUCUUUUCUCACAGCGGAGGUUUCAAACGGACUAUGACUCUUUGGAUGAUGAUGAUGAUUUUUCACGUGCUGCAGCUUCUAUUUCUUCUGUUGCACCUCGACGCAGUUUCCCAAGAAACCGGGUGAUAUUUGGUAGGCCAAGGCGGCGUCGUAGAAACAGAGAAGAACGUGCACCUGGACGAUUUGUGUGAUAUAAGUUACCUAGAAUCUGGGAAGUCUUGGGUUCUGCUUUUACAAUUUGCAUCUUUUCUGUAUUCAUCUCAUUGCUGCACAUUGUUGUAAUGGUAUUCCUUAGCAUUUUUGUUAAUUAUUGUCAACUAAGGCAGUUGACUCCAACUUUUCCUUUAUCAUCAGCAUUGCUUCUUUUGCCUGAUGCCCCACACUGUGAUUAGUAAUAGGUUUACUGAUUAACAGAUUGUAGAUAAACAAAUACCAGAGCAUUGCUGGUGGAUGUUUUAGGGUGUUGCCAUGCCUUGAGUAUUCUCAUAGGUUGCAACGAUUUGCUCUUUGCUGCCAUUUGAACUGGGAAAUGAGUUGUGCUUUCAUUUACUCUUUUCUUGAUUCUUAGAUUUGCUCUUGGCUUCCACUUGAACAGGGAAAUGAAAUUGUGCUUUCAUUUUAUUCUCUUCGUGAUUCUUAAACCAGUAUUUCUCGUCUGUAGAUUCUUGUAGACAAUUUUCAGCAGCUGUACAGUUUUUUCAGUUUCUUUAUUAUCUUUAGUGUUCGGGCUCUAUAUUGUAUGAUCUGUGCUCUGUUUUGCCUCCGUUUUUUGCUUUUUUUCUUUAUUGUCCUCUGUUUCGUAAUCUUUGCACAAAGUGCGAGGUAUGUUAAGAAACGUCUGUGGAAGCUUAUUUAGUUUUGGAGUUGUUUUCUGAAUAUAAGCUGGUUAUGCCUGCAACUCCAGAUGCUUGUUAGGCUUUACAUAUACAUAUGACCCAGUUUUUCAAGGAACUGUAAAUUCUAUUUCUAUGAAAGUAGUAGCGCUAGUGAAAGUAUUUAAAACAACAGCAUUACAUGUGAUCAAAAUAGACCUGGUAACAUAACUGGGCUAUGGUAGUAGUACUAAUACAGAUCGUACACAUCUUGAAAUCUAUAGCCACCAUCUAGUCCAUCAAACUCGAAAGCCACGGGGAAUGUUCUGCAUAGCCCUGUAGGAAACUUGAAGGUGAUCGUCCCGAUUGGUGGGUCAUCCAAAUCGAUAUCCAGACCAAGAGCUCCUUGUCUAGAGACUCGACUCCAGCAGCCUUCUGAUCUUACACUUCAGAACAUAGGUUGUGAUCUCAGUUGCAUAGCUGUUCAGCUUCCCAACCUUCUCAAACUUGUGCAGUUGUGGGUGCUGCUCUUCUUCUGCUUGAGCCAAACAAGCCAGUCGCUUUGAUGUAGCCACAUUACACCGUAUCAUGUCCAUCAUGGGCAGGAGUUCAUCUCUGUGAUCAGGAACUUUGACUUCUCCUGGCAGAUAUCAUCACCAUGGUAGAGCUCAUCAGCCUUGGCUCUCAACUCCUCAAUUACAACAGACAUUCUUGUGAAACUUGGUACUUUUGGUGGUACUUGGUUUCUGAAAUUUGCUCAUGUGACCCAGUCAAUUUGUUGAUUUUGUGCUGUUGCUGAUUAUGAUAUGAGAGGGAUAGCAAACCACAUCCCCUCUUACAUAUGAAACUAUAGCAAGGUAUAGUCCCAAUAAUUUUGUUGUGCAAAUAAUUUGGCAUGUCCUCCUAAUAGGUGGUGAAAUUGGUUUAGCGAAUUACUUGCAGAGUAUUUUCUGCUGGAUUAAUGUAGUAAACAUUGUCCUCAUUUUCAGUGUUUUGACUCGGCAAGAUGUUCACUGCUUACAUCUAAACGUGCACCUAUUUGAUGUGACAACAGUUCCACCCAUGGAGGAUAUUAUGGAUCUGAAAUUACUUCUGUAACAAACAGAACUGGAUAAGUGGGUGAAAGGAACAAGACCCUUUCAACUUCCAUCUCAAUGAACUAGAUGAUCAACAUUCAUAUUUGAUACACUAAUACAAUAACAAAAUUGAACAAGCCAGAUGAUCAAUCAGCUUGAUGAUGUUUCCGUUCAACUUGGGACCCUUUGUUGCAGUCCCACAAACCUCUCAGCAUACACCUCAACUUCCUCUGCACAUGUGUGACACACAUAUUCAUACAUCAAAACAAACUUGCAUAAUGCAUAACUAGAAAAAAAGAAUGUGGAAGAAGAUUGAUUGACAUGACUGUAACAUACAAUCAUGUUCGAAUUCCUUUUUGAGUCGGUAGCCUUUCUUUUGCUGUAACUGUUCCAUUUGGAACUGCACGGUAUGUCGACUUCUGGUACUAAUCGCUGAUACCUCCAUCUGCCACCCUUUGGUCUCCGGAGUCUCACUGGAGUUGUGAACCUAUUUCUAUUUGGCUGCUCAGUAAUGUCAAAAAUCAUUUUCAGUUUGAUAAUUUGUUGAAAAUUGUGCUCUUGUUAGAAAAUGUUAUAAUGGUGUGUUGCCAAACUCAAACUGUAAAAUCAAACUACUAUUGAUAAGAGAUCUUGUUUUAAAGAGUGAUCUGUAUCAAACGAGAACAUACUUGUAACAUAUCUGGUAAUAGAUGAAAUGAAACUAACCUUGUGCUUAGGCUUUGAGUUUGAGCCAUUUUUAGGCCGCUGCAACUGUUGAGAAGUAGCAUUUUUUCUUAGCUCUUGAGCAUAAGCAAGAAGAUGAGCCCGACGAUCAUAGAUGUGUGUUGUCGCAGUCUGAGGAGGCUUUCUGGAGAUUUUCUUGGGAUUAAUCUUCUUAAAGGGAUGAUGUGAGAGGGAAUCUGAUUCAACAUAGACAGUGAUGAUGACUUCCUUGUUGUUAGGCCUCACUUUUGUGUCAUUGUUAUUAAUCAUCUUCUCCUCUAACUCUUGAUUGCCCAUGAUUCUGAGAUCAGUGAGGUGUGAUUGAAUUGAAAGCAUUGCCUUUGUUAUGUCUAAGGAAGCACUUGUUGGAAACACAGAUGAGACAGGUGUUACUCCUGAAAGCAACAAAAUAGAUUGUGCAGAUGAUUCAAUUCAUGAAUAACGCUAAUAUCAUUGACAGUUUGACACCUUCCAUACUUAUCAUCCCACCCAUCGUACUUUACUUUUUUCUGUUAGAAUUUACAAAACAGGAAUUAAUUUCAAUCAAUAUUCCAAAAAUGUUCUAAUUUUGAUCCUAAUCUUAAUUUUUUUUUACUAAAAGGAGUACUAAGAUACAAUGUUUGCUACCAGGUAUCCAUGAGUCUCGGAACAAAGAGGCAAACUACUAGCCUGUCUAUCACGCCAUGGCAAUGAUAGUAAGGUUCAAAAUAUGUUAAGUGCUUAUUUAUACCGUCCAAAAUAGACGGAUGAUAAUAAUAUCAUUCUAUCAUAUAAAGUAUAUUGAUAAAUUUCUAAGGAUAUAGUAGUGUAAAUGAAAAUGAAUUUUAUGAUUUUGGUGGAGAAUACAUUUGCACGAGUAUAUGAGAAUGUUUUCUUGUCAAUGUUAUUAAGGGAAGGUUGACCGCUAAUUACUCUGAUACUGGACGUCUUUAUUCUGAUCUAAGUUACCGUAUGUUUUCCGGCUAAACUUGUGGCUCAAUACAACUGGGUGAAGUGGAUGAGCAAAACAUUUCAAACCUCUUUCCAUUUUCUUUCUUUCAGUAAACACAAACAAAUGCUGCAGCUCAUGAGCAUGGAUGCAUAUGUGAUUUGAUGUACGUAGUUAAAAAAAACAUACUCGUACAUGUUAAUUCAGGACGUAUGUUGAUUUGAUGUAGUUGUACUUGGAAUGAAGUUAAUCUCAUAUAAUAAUACUGAUCUGUGUAGUGGUAAAUCUUGGAUAGGAUAGCUUAACAAAUGGACAAAUGGAUUGUUUAAUGAUGAUCACAUUUGAGGAGAAAUGAAAACGACCACAAAUUAUUGGUCUCACACUAAUAUGUACUAUUCUUAACUUAAUUAAUCACUUGCACUUUGGCAAUAUAGGGGAGUAAUCAACCAGUGACAGUGCGUACGUAGUGAGUGACUAUAGCAAGUUAACGUGAGUCGUGUGAGUUGGGGCUUCAUUGAGGAAAUGAGCAGCUCGGUUUAAACUUUUAAUAAUAUGUUUAGGGUGUGGAUAUUUCCACUCCACUAAAUGCUCAGUUCAUCUCACGUCUUAUUUUUUUACCUUUAAUGUUCCAAUUCUGCCCUUAAAAUUUUGAAAAAAUCUGGUUUUUAUUUUCUUUCUUUUAACUUACAAUUAUAAAAAUGAUAAAAUCUNNNNNNNNNNNNNNNNNNNNNNNNNNNNNNNNNNNNNNNNNNNNNNNNNNNNNNNNAAAUAAGAACGAACAAUCCCACCACACCGUAUAACCACCCUUGAAGAUUAAAGUGAUUCUCAAAUCUGUAGAGAAUUGUUUUUUUUUCCCCGUAAAGAUGUAGAGAAUUGUUGUUGUUUGGAUAUUAUAGAUUUUAAUUUAAUAUUAUAUUUUCAUAAAAAUUCUUGAUUGUGGGGUUAGUAUUGGAAUAUUUAGUUUAAAAUUGAAAUGUGGGGUGAAUAAAAUAUUUGAUGGGAUGACAAUAGCCGCAUCCUAUGUUUAACAACAAAUCAUCAUGACACUACAUCAACAUAAUUUUCAAUGUUUUCUUUGGCCAAUAAUUCAAACAUAUAUGCACUAAACUCAGGGUAAUUAAUACUUAAGAUUCAUUUCAAAUCUUCGGCCUGUCCAUUUAUACAUCAUGUAUUUUCGUUUAUUUCUACUUUCAUGAUCGAGAAUCGCAUAUUGAUCAUUAGCCCUAUAUGGCUUUCACAAGGUAGUCUACAUUGCCAGGCAAAAGAAAAUUCAGCACUUUGUUUUUGUCCCUCAAUUUUCUUUGAAAUAGUUCAUGAGUUACGUGGGAAUUACGUUUUUAGUUCAGCAGAGUCUUUAAUUUGAUUCAACACCCGACAUAUAUACCUUUGAUGAGAAUUCAAAAACCAGUUUGGUUUGCAAAUUCAGAAAGACCGGCCCAAAAAAACCCUAGCCAGUGUUAGAGGUUUGCUACCGACACGUCGUUUCAAUGAAAAGUUUUAUGGUCGUUCUCACAGAAAAUCCAUGAAUACGUAUGAUCCAGAAAAGUACGUGGUGAGGAACCAAUGAUGGAGAGGCUGCUGGUUCUAUACAAUAUCCCACCACAAAAUCAAAUCGAUCGCCAGCAAAGUGUGGGCUCUGUGGCACUGCCAUUUCGAGAAAGAAAAAAUAUCCAAACCACAAGCCAAUGAAACCAGAAACCAAGUCACAUCACGACGUCGCGAGUGUCCUAGAUUCGUCUUCGAAUUCCUAGCUCUAUAGUAAAAGGGUCUCAGCCAUAAGUUAAAAAGGCUCUGUCGACCUAUUAGGACGUCGAUCAUCGAUCUCCAUGGACCCGAUGAUCAUGUUUGACAAUAAUAUUCGACUCUCUAUUUUGUCAGAUGGAUGAGAAGCAAGCAAAGACCAAAAACAGAAAAUGGCUCCAAGGCCUCACCAAAGGCCACACGGCCAGCUUCUUCCCUAACCCCCUCAGUUUUCUAUCAGCCGCCCCCAGUUGGGAUGUUGUGGCUCGUGACCCUUCUAUCAAUUCUGUUAUAGCUUUGGUUUCUCAGCAUAGAAACCAUGGCUGCUAGGCGCCCCAUGUUUUAGUGCAUUGGCCAUUGGAGCAUUCCAUUCGCCACUUUUCAUGCACAGCUCCUAAACAAACUGACUGUCCCCAGCUCUCUAGCUUCCUCAUAUUGAUUUGCUUGCGUCCAGUGAUUGACUUAUUCUGCUCCAUCCCUUUAACUUUUACCAGUUGUAUUUUGUUGCUGCAAGAUCUGAUUAAUUAUUUGUUAAAUCGAACUAAUCGGGAAUCUUACAUUUCUUUUCUCUAAUCCACUCUAUUAAACAAGGUAAUCACGUACAUUUGUUUAGCGACAAGCAUUGCCUACCUGCAGCUAAACCUGCCCUUUCUGAUUUUCAUAUUCGAACCAGGUGCAACAACAAACUCUAAAGUUUGUACUUAACAGUAUUAUUUGCGUGGUACCUGUACUUUUGCAGCAAAUAAUAUGCCAUAAUGAAACAGCUAGCACCAUACAAUCUCUGAAACUAAGGAUUAGAAAAUUGAGAUGAUACGUACCGUAAGGUAGCUCUCCACAGAUUAAUGCUCAUACGUACAGUCGAUCAAUGAGUAAAUUAAACACCUCCAAAACCCCUAUAGCUUAGAGAAUCAUAUAUAUACUCACCAAAUUUAAGUAGGAAAAACUACAGAUCGAGGGAACAAUUAAAAGAUUUUGGCGAUGAAAAACUAAUAACAAUCUGUUUAGAACACGAAUACAGCAAUGUCUUUUUACAAUUGUGCAGUAUAUAUUUUUUUUUAGAAAGUAGGUGGUUACCUGAAGCAAGUGCUGUUUAUUGUAUGUAUACAAUACAAGUAUCCGUAUGGACCGUAUAAUAGUUUUUCAAUUGUAGAUUUGCAGGUAUACAAAUACAGUGAUUACAGUCACUAUCAUCUUAAACUUUUGAAGUGUAAGGCAGAUAUUUAUGGCCUGCUUUUCAAGUGAGAUAUUGAUGUCAACAAAUAUCAUUCGAAAAGUCCCCGGAAU